UUUUUUUUUUUUUUUUGUGGGGCUAUCUUAAUUACAUCAAGGGGCGGUUACAAUAUCUUGGUCUCCUCUUGGAAAGUUUUCUUUAGGGGGGUUCGGAUAUUUCUCAAACGUCCUAAUAAUUAAAUGUUGAGCUGAAUUCUUUUUCAUUACAGACCCAGCAUGAGCGCCAUGAAAACACACAGCUUCGAAAUGAGAAUGAAAAGCUUAGGGCUGACAACAUGCGGUACAGAGAAGCUCUUAGCAAUGCCUCGUGUCCUAAUUGUGGAGGGCCUACUGCCAUUGGAGAAAUGUCCUUUGAUGAACAUCAUUUGAGACUGGAAAAUGCCAGAUUAAGAGAAGAGGUCCAUUUAUUAGGUUUAUCUUGUUGUUGGAUUUUGUAACAAAUCCUGAUCAUAUCUUCAAAAUUUAAUCUGUUUCCUUUUGUUCGCAGAUUGACCGUAUUUCAGCAAUCGCUGCUAAGUAUGUUGGCAAGCCUGUGGUGAACUAUCCACUUAUAUCGGCUCCGAUGCCUCCACGUCCACUUGACCUUGGUGUUGGGAAUUUUGGUGGACAGCCAGGCAUUGGAGGGGAGAUUUAUGGAGCUGGAGACCUACUUAGGUCGAUAACUGCUCCUACUGAGGCUGAUAAGCCCAUGAUAAUUGAGCUUGCAGUUGCAGCCAUGGAGGAGCUAGUUAGAAUGGCCCAAAUGGAUGAACCCUUAUGGAUGGGUAGCCUUGAUGGAACAAAUGCAGUAUUAGAUGAAGAUGAAUACGUAAGGAUAUUUCCUCGUGGUAUUGGGCCUAAACCUACUGGUUUUAAAUGUGAGGCUUCAAGAGAGUCUGCUGUUGUUAUCAUGAACCACAUCAACCUUGUUGAGUAUCUCAUGGAUGUGGUGAGGUUCCUUUAAUUAUUUUGCAAAGUAUACAACAUUUAAGAAUAUAAAUACAUUUUGAUUCAAUAUUAAUUUUUGAUAAUGUCUUGGCUUUCAGAAUCAGUGGUCUACAUUGUUUUCCGGCAUAGUCUCAAGGGCUUUGACUUUGGAAGUGUUAUCAACAGGAGUUGCAGGGAACUAUAAUGGUGCCUUGCAAGUGGUAAUAUACGUAAAUUUUCUUCAAUUAUCUUCCAAAUGGCAACACCUUCGCUAACUUGAUUAACGGCGGAUAUAACCCGAUACUUGAUUUAAAAUAUAGUCGAUAUAUUUAUUUCACAUCCCUGACAUUUUAGGUGUGGAGUUCAGAAUCAUGAAACUAAAUAUGUGAAGGUCAUAUAUGAUAUCAUUCUCUCCAAGAAUAUAUAACUAAUUGUUUGAGUUCUAUCCAGAUGACGGCUGAAUUUCAACUUCCAACUCCACUUGUUCCUACCCGAGAAAGUUACUUUGUGAGGUACUGUAAACAACAUGCCGAUGGUACUUGGGCAGUGGUUGAUGUUUCAUUGGACAAUUUACGCCCUAGUCCGGGAGCUAGGUGUCGAAGGAGGCCAUCUGGAUGUUUGAUUCAAGAAAUGCUUAAUGGAUACUCCAAGGUGAACACUUCAUUAUUGUUGGAAGUUGUUAUACUCUACUUUAGUUAAGCUGCACCAUUUCCAUAAGCAAUGAUUUGUUUUUGCUACGUUUGUAAUCGAAUUUCUUCAUACCGUAGGUUACAUGGGUUGAACAUGUAGAGGUGGAUGAUAGAGGUGUUCAUAAUCUAUACAAGCAACUUGUUAGCUCAGGACAUGCAUUCGGGGCAAAACGAUGGGUGGCAACCCUAGAUCGGCAAUGCGAGCGCCUUGCCAGUGCCAUGGCAACAAAUAUUCCUGCUGGCGAUGUUGGUGGUAAUAUAUACUACGUAGUUUUUCAUUCUUAAUAGGUAACAUUGUACUGGAUGAUAUGCUUGGCCCUGGACUUAUAGCCCAUUAAUUUGUUUAUUCACAGUGAUUACUAAUCAAGAAGGGAGAAAGAGUAUGAUGAAGCUGGCAGAGAGAAUGGUGAUAAGCUUCUGUGCUGGAGUGAGCGCCUCUACUGCUCAUACUUGGACUACACUAUCUGGAACUGGAGCUGAUGAUGUUAGGGUCAUGACAAGGAAGAGUGUAGAUGAUCCAGGGAGGCCUCCUGGGAUUGUGCUUAGUGCUGCAACUUCCUUCUGGCUUCCAGUUCCUCCAAAAAGGGUUUUUGAUUUUCUUCGUGACGAGAGCACUCGAAAUGAGGUAUAAUAAUCAGGAGUAUUGGAUCCUCAAUUUUCUUGCUUUGAAUUUUUCUUUUAUUCCUGUGAAGUGAAAUUGAAAGAAUAAAACUAGUUUCAAUUUGUACUCCCUAAUUAAAUUAUUGGAUCUCAUUCUAAGACUUGAUUGCUUAAAAUACAGUGGGAUAUUCUAUCAAAUGGUGGAGUUGUCCAAGAAAUGGCACACAUUGCUAAUGGCCGGGAUACAGGCAAUUGUGUAUCUCUACUUCGAGUUAAUGUAAGUAUCAUACGAAAAUCUUUGUUCUUAUUAUGCAGUUGUCCUUCUAUGAUCAUAAUUAGUCUACUGUUGUUACCAAUAAUUUAAUUGAUCUAAUACAUGCACAAUUAUAGAGCGCGAAUUCGAGCCAGAGCAACAUGCUGAUUUUACAAGAGAGUUGCGCUGAUCAAACAGCCUCUUUCGUAAUCUAUGCACCGGUUGAUAUUGUUGCAAUGAACGUCGUACUUAAUGGAGGCGAUCCAGACUAUGUAGCACUUCUUCCUUCAGGGUUUGCUGUUCUUCCCGAUGGAACUGGAGCGCAUGUAGGAGGCAUGGAGGAGGCUGCAGGUGGAUCUCUUCUAACUGUUGCAUUCCAGAUUUUGGUUGAUUCAGUUCCUACAGCAAAACUAUCUCUCGGCUCAGUGGCAACUGUUAACAACUUGAUUGCCUGCACCGUGGAGAGGAUUAAGGCUUCUUUAUCAUGCGAAUCUGCAUGAAUUUGAAGGUUAAUUUAGAGGUAAAGUACUGGACUUGUGCUGCUGUGUCCUACUAUUCUCAAUAUAUAACUGACUGAUUCUCUCUGGAUUCAUGACCAAGGAAUGCAACUUUAUAUUUUCUUGCAGUUCAUUAACCAGAGGAGGAAAAAAGAGGGGAAAUUUGAGAAAAACACAAAGAUGGUGGCCAUUUUGGCUUUUAUAGAAGAAGAUUAAUGGGAGAAGUCAAGAGCGCACCUUGCAUGCCUCAUGGUUUGCGAUAAGGGAAAGACUACUAGUUAGCAACCAAAGCAUACCAUGGGGGAUCAGAAAGGACGUUAGAGGUUCGGGAAUUGACUUCGCCAAACAAAGUAAAAAGGAAAGACCUUAAAAUAUUAAUCCAAGGUUGAACUACUGCUCCUUUUCCCCUUCUUUAACUUAUUAGUUAGGGUUUUGUGCCCCGAUAGUACUUCAAGUUUUAUCUGCUCUCUAGAUCUCUCUUUUUCCCUCCUCUACUUGUUAAUUUGUUUGUGUUUUGAAGCUCACACCUCAAGAGCUUUUGGAAUAGACUUCCUUUGUUAAGCCUUGUUCUCUCUUUGAAUUUGUUAUAAUUAGUCUCCUUUUGAUUUGUCUUGGCUAUGUUUAAACUUGGGUUUACUUUCUCAAAAUGCUGCAAUCUUGAGUGAUUAUCAAUAUCAAUCCACAUCACAUACCAAAGAACAAAAUUAAACUAUUUCAAAGCAAUCAUCCUCCUCCUUUACACACACACACACACACACACACACAAACACCCACAAUAUGAUAAUCUUUAUAGACACACACACACUUAUAAGCAGUAAAGUUUUCCCCUAAUGACAGUGGCAUUUUCACUAGCCUUCCUUUUAUUUUUAGUUCGAGUUUCCCUCCACCUUUUUUUUUUAAUAAACGAGAGGGAGUAUUAUUAAAAACGGAUAGUUAGCCACAUAGAUUGUGACUACCUAAGAUAAAGUACAAAGCAUGAAACUAGAGAGAAUUGCAGGUACAGAGGCUGAAAACCAGACAAUGGUAAACUGCGUUUCUUAGCAAGGUUAGUCCACCUUCUAAUACCUCCUCAUCCUCUGGUUAAAUUAUACCCUGUAUAUGUGAAACUCCCUUAUAUGUUGUGAAAUUCUAUACAUUAACAAGUGAAAAAGAGAUGGCCAAUUCGAUCGGCUGCGCACCAUUUAACACUAGAUUAUUCCUUGCUAAUUACCAAAUAGUCCACAAGGUUGCAAAUAAAACUAACUUCCAUGCUUUGAUUGGAAUAUUCAUGAGCUAUAGCUUAGUCAAUGACUGUAGAAAUCUUCAAGAGAUUCCAGAAAAGUGGUUGAAACACCCCACCAUUGAAUUACUCUAUACCAAAAAUCAUGCCCUCCUCCCAUAUAGGUUCGAGUAAUUCUAUGUCAGAUUUGUUCCUCAAGUCUAAAAAGGUUGGCUAUAAAAAGAAGAUUCCCUCAUAGAGAUAUCGAGCCAACGAGUAAUUUUAUAGUAUCAAUGCUAAUCUCACAAGGGAUAGGCUUGUUUUCUUUUAUCUUUUUUUUCCCAGCCCCAUUUAGAUAUGCAUUUCCAAUCCUUCAUGAACAAGUAUAAAAAUAUGUGCAAUUAAUAAAAGCACGUGUCGUAUCUUGAUGGAUAUCGCGACAAGGGUCGAAAAUAUAUAUUGUGAAAAAUUAAAGUUGCCAUCUAUUAAUUAAAAAAAAUUAAAAAAUAUAAAAAUUAACACUAAUUUUAAAGAUUCAAGUAAAAGAUUAAUUAUGUUUAAGGAAAAAAUGAUAUUACCUUUAAAAUAUCAUUUCUUAUCAAAAGUUAUAUUUUCUAUAAGUUUAUAAGAUUCCUAAUUAACCAAGCCACCAAGUUUGAGAAUAAAGUGGGAUUUCUAGGUCGAGUGGAUGAUGAAUCAUUGAUAAAACAAUAAAUUUUAGGGAGAUUUUUUUAUUAGUGGCUAGUGAAUCAUUAAUCAAAGAGUGAGCAAUUACUAGAUUUGAUUAGAGGGAUCAAUAGAUGUAAUAAUCGGUAAACCUUUUUUUUUUCUUCUUCUUCUUUCAUAAAAAUUCAGAUAAAACUAAGCUUUGAUGGAAAUGAACAAGGUUUAGAAAAUUAAUGAAAAUAUCAAAGCCUUCAUUUUUAAGAAAAUAAAACGAGGUUAUUUAGUAGCAAUAGCCAUCAUAUGUUUCAUUACUUUUCAUAAAUCCUAAAAAUGAAAUAAGAGAAGAAAAAAAGAUAUUGAAUGAUCGAUUCAUACGAACCAUUAAUAACAUUGUUGCUACCUAAUUUUUGAUAAUUUUUUUAAAGAAACCAAAAAUAGCAAAAACAAAAAACUCAAAAAUAUAUUUUUGAUAUAUUUGUGUCGUUUGCGGCAUCUUUUACAAAGAAUUUCAAAUAAAAAAAAGAGAGAAAGAAAAAAUACAUUUAAUUUGGUUAAUGAUCUAAUUGUAAUUGUGGAAGGAAGAUGACCAAUUUGAAAAUUGAAAAACCUUUCAUCAAGCAACCAAUCUUUUUUAAUCAAAUGGUAUACAAUCAAUUCUUUUAAUUCAAGGGUUCAUUUUUCUUUGCUUUGUUUUCAAGUUAUCAAAGGAAUGAUUGAGAUUCAUUUUUGAAAUUCAAUGGUUGAUUUUGGUUUGCUUUGCCUUUAAGCCAAAAAAAACUUAUUUACCUAUAAAUAUGUGGUUAUAUCGCACACAAAAUAGAGGAUAAAUUUGGGGGGAAUUACCAAAAAAUAAAAUAAAAAAGUAAUUUUCACAUAUUAUCUCCCCACACACAUACCCACAUAACACAAAAAACUCUAAACCCAUUAUACCCUAAGUCAGCUGCCGCAUUAAAAAAGGAGGAGAAUCGGACGAUCCGUGUUGCCUUCAUCUCCCUCAUCUCUCUUGCACCAACCCGUAGCCACCCAAACCAUUUGCCCCUUUCAUCUUCUCUUCCCCAUCACUACUGUCACCCUUCUAGACCAAGCAAGCCAUCGUCUUCACCUCCACUGUUAAGCAUGACCUCUACCACCGACGACUCCCUCCUCUUUAUGACAACCCAUUCCCCAUCGUCAGCUUCCUUUUCUCAUCCAUUACUGAGCAACUCCCACACACAGAAAAAGAAAACCUUGGCCUUCUGACCAUCAUCACAGCCACAACCUACCCCUCCAAACUACCAGCCACACAACCCAAAAUCAAUAGCACCUUUUGUUUUGUUUUUUUGUUGAAAAAAAAAAACCCAUCACAAGACUCACAGAAUGCCAUCCUCCCCACAUUCUCUUUCUUCUCCACCAACCUUUUAUCAGCCUUAACCAACAACUAAACCAUUCCAGCUCUAGCUCACAACCAAACAACAAUCCCCCUUGUGAUCUUCAUAGUUUCUCUUUCAUUCCCAGUAGCAGCCAUCUAUAUAUAAAAAAAGAAAUUGUUUGAGAAAAAAACAAAAAAAAAAUUUAAAAAGGGAAACAAAUCGAAUUGUUUGCGUUGAUUUACUCUUUUAUAGGUAACGGUAGCUCUCACCACCAGCACAAAAAGAAAAAGGUGAAUAAGCAGUUCUAAAUCCACCUGUUUUCCACUUUGUUAGUGACGGCGCAUGGGUUCACACGCUGCCAGUGGUAAUGGUGCGUGAGACCCCUACACCGCCACUGUUUCUCCGCUUCUUAGAAGCUUCCCAACACUAUUCCCAGUAUUGUUUCAAAAUUUUAGGGGGCAUACUUUAUAAAUUAUAAAUUUCUUUAAUGUGUUGUUUGAAUUAUUUUAAAUUUUGAGUUUGUACUGUUUGUAAAUAUAUAAUUGUGGGUGUGUGUGAGUAAAACAUAGUAAAAAAAAAAGAAUGACAAUUAAUGGUUAAAUAUUUUGGUAUAGACGAUGGACUUAUAAGUGAGGUUGAUAUUUGAAUACUAGUAGUUGACUAGACAAUUGUUAGAGUUAUUCUAAAUAUUUAUUAAUUUUAAUUGGGAAUAUUUUUCACCGUAAUAUUCAAAUUACAAAAAAUAUUUUUAAUAAGAAUUUAUUUGAGUACACGAGCUCAUAAUAAAUUAUUAACACCAGAUUUAUUUACACGAAUAAAUCUCAAUCUUAAGCCAUAGACAGACUAUUGGUUAAGAACCCAUCAAAACCUUUAAACUACAUUUAAAACCAUAUAAAGCAACUUACCUUAGGUAGGAUGCACUAGGGGCGCUAAUACCUUCUUUAUCAACAAUCAGCCUCUUAUCCUUGAAUCUCUGAUAAAACUAGUACACUCGGAUUUUUUAACGACCUUGAAUCAAACAAUUAGGUGGUGACUCCUUUAAACCUCUCGACACUGCACGUUCAUGUGCAACAAACAUAAAGUUGAAUCCCAAAAGAAAAAGGAUGAAGAUUAUGUUGUGUACUAAAAGUAGAAGAUCAAAAACAUUGUGAGUGUGGUUAAAAAAUAAAAUCCUAGUUUAGGGUUAAGAGUUAGACAAUCUAGAAACAAAAGAGAUAGGUCAAGCAACAAGACUUAAACAAUACAAAAUUACAACAAUCCUUAAUAUCAUAUAUAAAUGAGAAUUUUAAGCAUAAUGAACUUUUAAAGUACCAUAUUAAAAAACAAAACAUUCUAAUAAAGAAGAUCAUAGUACAUCCAACAUAAGAAGAUCCCAUUUAUUAGACCCAUUAUAUUUUGCACUUUUUGUGAGGUUCUUGUGAACACAUUAAACACUUCUCUUUGUCACAUUAAUUUUUUUUUAUCUUUUAUUAUGUUUUUUUUUUGUUAUGGUUACCUAUCUUAAUUUAAAAACUUAUGUUAUUGGAUGAUACUUUAAGAAUAAUUUUAUGUUUAAAUAAUUUUCUACUAAACUUGAAAUUUAUACGAAUCUAUUAUUCUUUUAUACUAUUUUUUUAAUUAGAAUAUUUUGGAUGGUAAAAAACAUCGUAAUCAUUUUAUCAUUAAUUAAAAUUUUAAUACUAUAUUUAAAAAAAACAUAUAAAUCCAAAAAUUCAAAAGAUCCAAUAGUCACCAAAGGAGAUCAUCCUUUAUAGUACUUAAAUCUACCCAUUCCUCGUACUCAUAACUCUUUAUAGUAUGAAUAGUAUGAAUGAUGAAGACGAGGUGUUGAGUUAGUCUAACAUUUACAUACUAUUUGGAAAAAAAUAUUUGUAAUGAAUGUGUUUAGAUUUUGCUACGGGAGUGCUCUUUGUCUUCGUAUAUUCAUAACCAAUAUCAUCUCUCAAUUCUUAUCAUACUCUCAUACUCAUGCUCAUCAAUUAAACACUAUAUUCACUUCAAAAUCAUAUAUUAAUUACCCAAUUCCUUUAUUAGAAAAGAAGCAAAAAUAGAUUUGCUUUCUAUAGCUAGCUAGCAAGACUAGAAGAAGGAGGAGGAGAAGGAGGAGGAGAUCCAGAUAACUCCAGAAAUCACUGGGAACAAUAAUUUCGCAAGCGACCAGUUGACUUCGAUUACUUUCAUGGGAUGUAAGGGUGUUUUAUAUAUAUAUAAAAGGGGCUUUGCUACGUGCUAAAUAUAACUUUUAGAAAUCAAUAAUAGGUUCUCCAAUGGUGAGAUUGCGCUCCAAGGUCCAGGGCAGGUCAAAGAGCUUUGCUGUGAUGAAUUUGAAAAUCUUAUUCACAUUGAUGUUAUAGGUCGCACUUGAAAAGAAGAGAGUUGCAUUUAGAACCUUGGCAUAUGCUCUUGCCUGUCAUAAAUAAGAAUUCAAAUUACAAAUAUGUACUAUCAAAAAAAAAAUUACAUAUAUGUAAAAAAAAGAAAAAAAACGAAAAGGCAAAAGGGUCCAUUUCAUAUUUUCCAGUUAAGUUUUUAUGGUUAAUAAAUUUCUAUUAAAAUAUCGAUUGAUUGAUGUUAUUUUAUCUAUUUAUCAAUCAAGUCCUUGCAUCUUAAAACUAAGAAUAAGAAAUUAAUGCUUUCUUCAAUGGUGUAAACUUCAUCUUCCUUGAGAAACAUAAAUAAUUUAUCAAAUAAUUCUCUUAUGAAAUCUGAGGUGAUUAAUCGUUUUAAUUUAAAUAUAUAUAAAAAUAAACAAGCAUUUAAACAGGAGCAUGCGAUCCAGGAUUAUUUGACCUUUUUUUUUUCUUUCAAUUUCCGUUCAGGCUACUUAAUUAUUAGAUUGUUUAUGCCUCCACUACUAACAUGAAAAGUUUGAGUAAAAUCUUAUCAAAACUUUGGAAUGUUACCUGGCUUGCAAUUGUCCAUUGUAGAUCUAUCGGGAGCUGGAUAAAAUCAUCAAACUUGGUUCCUAUUAUAACAGGAACUGCGGUCUAAGAAAAUUCAAGAAAGCAAACAAAUAACCACAAGAUGAUCAUAAUCCUGCAGCAACCAAGAACAUAUCAAACCAAAGAAAGGUGCGCUAAUGCAGAUUUAUACCUGAUUCCAUCUCCUUGCUUCUUGGUACCACCUUAUAACACUGCAAUAAUGAUGGACUUUUCAUAAAUAAAGUAAACAUUCUACUAAUCAAUCCUUAAUGUCCAAAUUAAGAGGGGGGAAGGUGUAUAAUAGACAAUCAAGAAUUUAACUAAAGAAACCUGUUUAAAGUGACCCGACUAGUUAGAUCAAACAUGAUCAAAAUAGCCACAGAUCCCUUGCAAGCCACCGGAAUUUGCUGCUCCAAUCCUUCAUCGCCUACACCGUGAAUAACAUUUUUUUUGUACCAUUAAUUGUAUAUUUUGAUAGGAGAAGGAAGUUUUUUGUUUUUUUUUUAAAUGUGAUCUUAUUCACAAAGUGCUGGGGAAGUUAACUUACCGUCUAGUUCCCAGAGACUAUAAGAAAUACGUGCAUCCUUAACCAUCAAUGUUUUUUUCAUCAAUUUCAAACCGUUGUUAUGCUUCACUCCCUCAUCUUUCUCAUUUCCCACAUACUUUGCCUUCAAAAUAUUUGAGGGCAGAAUAAUUAUUAUAGCCAGCCAUCGUAUGGCUAAAAAAACCAUGUACGUAAAUAUUCUAUAGAAAAAUCUACAAAAAAUAUAUAUACUAACCAGAAAACUUGUCUUUCCAAUCUGACAAUCACCUAAGAGGCUAAUCUUUAAAGCUACCAAGUCUGAAUCAUUAUCGUGAUGGUUAUGACAUAUCGGUGGUGGUGUUGCGCUCGGCAUUGUCUCGUCGGUAGCUAGAGACCGGUGUGACAGCAUGCGGCGAUAGCGAACAGGCUUCCCUAAUGAACAAAUGAGAACGUGAUCCCAUAUACGGAGAAUGCAUCGUCUAAUGAUUGAAAUGUGGCGUUGAAUCUUUCGUCUGGGAUUGAAUCGAAACAUAAUUUGGCAAAAUUGAUUCAUAUUGGUUUUUGUUUGAGCAAGAGGGAUGGCCUUGAGAAGUACUGCAUGUGCAUAUCCCUUCGGCCAUGAAAGAAAUUGCUAGCUAUAGCUUGUAGUAUAUUACCCAUUUUUUCAAAGAUCACGGGUAUUUUUGGAACAUGCUAAUUAAAUUUUCAGUGACAACUGACAGCACCAAACCUUAUUUUAUUUUAUUUUUUGAACAAUAUUUUAAUCAAUCAUGUUUCUACUUUAACGGGACAAGACAAGGUCAUAUGGUCCAUAUCGCCAGCUGCUGUGUGUUCUUACGUUUCACAUGAAAUGAAAUGAAAUGAAAGGUGUAAUUUUAUUUAUUAUUGGGUUGUUGCUAGUCUCCGGUUAAUUUCUCCUACAAUUUCUAGUAGCCACAGCCUUUCCGUACGUCUAGCCAGCAAGUCCCUCACAUUUUUCUACGUAUACUGGUCGGCCUUAGCUCUCGUGUGGUGCAAGUGGUGCAACCCUUGCCAUCACUAGAUCGUAGCUAUGAAAUUAUUGUACGAAAGAACUAUUGCAGUAGCAUCGGUUGCAGAACGGAGUAAAGAAACAUAGGGCAUAGAAAUCCUCUUGGAGAAACAAUUGAUUGCUGAGAGCACAACAGAUGAGGAAGAAUUUGUUGAUAAAGUCCCAGUUGAAAGAGUUUGCUAGUUGGAGAUUGAAAGUCCAAGCUCAUCAAUGGCCAGGGUUAUUAGCAGCCACGGUCUGCUCUUCUUCGUACAACAAUGUGUUGAUCUAUUUCAGCAAGUAAGAUCGAUAUUGGUAUCCAAUUUUAGCACAGCAUUAUCCACAACUCGUUUUCAGGCUUCAUUGCAAGAAAUAAUAUAUUCUGUUGAAGAUAAUCCUUCGCGUGGAUCGGUAGCAGAAUUCGUAUUCUGUUUGCUGACUAGCUAGUUAUAGAUCGUUACUCUUAGACUUGUAACUAACAUUCCCACCCUAAGAAAGUAGCUCUUUGAUCAACUGGGUUCAUCAAAAUGAUUCCAAUUUGAACUCGGAGUUACAUUUACUGGAACAUCUUUGAAAAGGAAAGGAUCAAUUUAAGAAUGAAGGAUGUUAAAGCUGAUCAGAAGUUCAAUUCCUUGGGGGUGUGUGUGUGUGUGUGUGUGUGUGUGUGUGUGUGUGUGUAUUUGUAUAGAAUACAUAACAGCCUUGUGUGUUACAGAACAAUCUAUCUCUAACCAGUUCUAGCUGCCUAACAUUUUUGUAUCACAGGAAAGGAUGAGAAAAAUCAGUAUUUCCGACACUGUUGAUUUUAUUGUUUUGCGAUAGAGGGAGUGCUAAGAAACUUCAGCAGGAGGUUUUUUUUUUUUCCUCUAAGCUGGUGAAUUGGCGUGCACAUCUGAGCUCGGGCUAGCUUGUCGCUUGAUAUCAGUACUACUCUUCCGUUUAAGCAUCUCCUUAAUCUCUGCCUCUUUCCUGUCUACAAAAUCAAUCAAAUCCUUGAAGCUAGUUGAGUGUAAGGAGCGUCUAGGCCUUCCUGGCUGAAUCUCAUCAACCUCUGCCUCCUCACCACCUUCUGGAGUAAAUCUACGGAACUGGAAAAUGACCUUACAGCAGAAUGUGGUAAGAGCAAUGAAGCAUGAAAUGCCGCAAAUAAGAAACAGACCCCAGAAACUCGUCAGGGAGAGACGGCUGUCAUCGAUUUCAUUGAUUUGCUCCAUGCAAUCUCCAUGUGUCAGCCAUUUGUUGUGGAUUUUUUGGAGAUCACCAUUUUCUGAUAGUUGAAGAAUGGCAGUUGACAAGUCAACAGCUAGAGGAGAGUCCCUUUGAAACGCCUGCAACAAGAAAGUCUUAUUGUAAGAAAAUUACUGGAGUUCCCACACGGACAUUUCAUAACGUAUGCUGGACUUUACUACAAGCACUUCAAAUUCCUUUUGAAAACAUACCACCAGUCCUCUGGUCCAGGUCUCUCCCUUCAUAACGAAGGAGUUUCUGUGCUAACUUGCAAAUAACUAGUUCAAAAUACUGUUCUAAAUAAUUAUACAUAUCCUGCCAUUUCCUUUGGUGAUUUGGUCUCUGUUGUUAUACAGCAGCUAUUUAGUGUUACGCUCUAACAAGUGUCAAACUAUAAUGAUUUAAUACUUCCUAAAUAUCAUGAUUCAAGUAAAUAUUAUUAGUUAGCUAGUAUACCAAGUUUGCACCAUCCUAUAUGCUACUUUCAUGUCAAUAUUCAAUUUAGAAAUCAAGCUAAUCCAAACUGCAAGAUUUUCUGCAGUAAUGAUUUUUUCAUUCUUAGACUGAAAAAUAAUGUAGAUAGUACUUACAAAUCCCCAUCCACUUUUUGUGAACUCUUGGCCCACGGUCCUAAAUUUACAAUUGGUGGAAGACAGGAAGAGCUCAAUAUAAGGAAGCUCAUCAACAAUUGCAGCCACGCCACCAUUUUUUGGUCCAAGUUGAAGGGCAGUACUGUAUUCCUGCUGGCUUUUCAAUAUUACGAGUCUAGAUCCUGCUAUGUUGAGCUCGUCCAUCAGGUAGUUCCUUGCAAAUGACCCAUCUUGAAUUCCAAUCGGUUCAUUACUUGAGACCAAGCUGUCAAUCCCUUCGAUCCGUGAUGUUAACUGCUGCACUGUGAGGAUUGAUGUCAAACUAGCUGUGUAGCUUGAAUUGAUAAUCAACACUACAAAUAGCCAUAUGAUCAGCACAAAACGUCCCAAGGUGCUCACUGUAUUCUCUCCUACACCACAUCCAAGCAACUAAGAUUAGUAGGUGUUUCCCUAGAAAGCUUAUGUGAAGGAACAAGUAAAGAAAAAAUAGAUGAAUAGGCGUAGCUCACAUACUGUGUGAAAAAAACAUUGUUGAGAAACUGAACCUGCAAGAUCAGUGCAAAUGUCAGUUCGAAGCAUUCCAAUAUUUGUGAAGCAAAGCGCAUAAUAGCAAUGUACCUCCUCGGCAGGAGAACGCUUAAAACAAAGGCUUUGAAACAGCUGAUUACAUCUUGCCUACUACUGCCUAAAUAUAUUUGCUUUGCCUUAAUUACUAAAACGUUCCACAUUCUAUCAUGAUCUGUUUGACUGCAUUCUUUGAAAUAAUAUGCACCAAGAUCCUGAUCUCUCAGCUACAUCAAUGCUAUAUGCAUACUAAAAAAGUGAUUUUCAUUGCAUGUACUUUUAUUUCUGUAUUAGUUCCCCUGUAUCGCCAGGAUAUUUCAAGGCAUCUAUGCAACAGCAAGAGAUAUUUGCCUAAUUGAGCUGAAAUUGUCAGCCAGAAGGAAAUGCAAGUUUAAUAAAUUCAGGGGCCUACAAAUGAUUUCAAAGCAUGCUAACCAGAAUAUUGUCAUAAUUUGCUGACUAGGAGGACCCCUGAAUUCACGAUUCAUUCGGUGCUCAAGAAUCCAGACUACAGCUCCCACGAAAAGAAAGAAGGCACCUGUGACGAGCCACAUUUGGAUAGUAAAUGGCUUGAGGAACGCCCAAGGGCUAGACUUUUGUUCCUUGACUGGAGCAACUACAACCAGCCCUGAUUCCAUAAAAGGCUGCGUAAAAUCUACAAUCUUUGUCCUAUUUGUGACUAUAGUAACAUCUCCAACAGCUGCAUCAUAACGCUGAAGAGGAAGAGAUCAAACAGAAAAACUACUAGAAUGUAAUCAUCAAAGAAGGUAUAGCUCCAAAAUAAUGAAGAUACCAAGUUACAAAUUAUAGCCAGAUACUCACAUCUUGAGCAACCGCUUGGACAAUCUCAUUGUACUCUGGAUUUCGCUUGCCAUCUCCAUGUAGCAUAUAUGUGCGUGGGACAGGAUAUGGCAGCAAGUUUAUUGCAGCUUCGAAGACAUCAAUGCAGUAUCCCCUAACCCCUGGGGGGUUUUUGUCUUUAGCGACAAAUUGUUGAUAACUUAUGCGAUUAGGCACAGCAAUUCGCAGUGGCUUACCGUUUUCAGGGAAUACCCAUCCUCGAGGUACAAGCGAAGUUUCACCAGGCCAUAUUACACUGGAAAGAUGUUGAUUACUGGAAGAAUUAUUCCGAGGCUUUGUAUACAAGACCUCUGGAGAAAUUGUUGAAAGACCAGAGUAAUUUGACCAAUAACCAAUCCUUCUAGACCCUGUCCCACCAAUGUUAAGAACAUCAUAUGCUGGACGAACCAAGUUCCUAUCCAAAUCAAAUUGAAUUUGACCACUUGGACCACUGAAGUUCAUCCUGAGAAGUGUCUGGAGAAACUGUUGGCCUCCAUCAAAAACACGCAGUGAUGCCAAGUUCAUUGCGCUUCCUUUUGUGUCGCUCAACUUUGGAUCAGUAGAGUGUGAUAGAUUUCCACCUUCAUUGAGAAAAACAUCAAGAGCUCGGGCAGCUAACCAUACUGUAUCAUAAGCAUAAAGUGCAUAAGAAUUGAACCCAGAAGCACCGAUGCUCUUCUUGUGGUUUAGGUUGCUCCAUCUAGACAUAAAACUUCGUUUGAGAUCAGUUUCUGGAUUGUGAUGGCGAAGAGAAACAACCCCUUGUAAGAGAUUCAUUGUGUCAGUGUCAUCUGGUUCUAAUGAAUCUAAAACCGAAGGGAGCCAAUCUGUAGCAAUCCAAACAUAGCCUUUGGUCAUCAUAUGAAGACUUUUAGCUACAGAAAAAAUUGACAAACCGGAAUCUGGAUUUACAUGUACAACAUAAACCCGAGAUUCCAUCUGGUUAACUUCAAGCAACAAGUCGGAGAUCUGACUUCUGGGCACUCCAGGGGUCAAGGCAGCCUUGUAAGCGAUCUUGGCACGCUUUUUUGCCAGGGCAUCACCCAAUAUAGAUAUCCCAUUCCUGCCACAAUCAUCAUCCACAAAAAUGGCAAUUACCUCUCGCCAACCAUAAGACGUAACCAGAUCAGCAAUUGCAUACAUCUGGAAAUAGUCAUUCUGUGUAGUGCGGAGGAAAUAUGGGUACUGUAAUGCUGAAAGGGAAGGAUCUGUUGCUGCAAAUGAUAAAAGUGGAACAUGAAGUUCGUUGACAACAUGAGAUAUUAUAUGAGCUAUUCCAGAAGAUUGGGGGCCAAUCACAGCAACAACACGGUUUUCCAUCAGCUGCAAAGCUGCAUCAUGGGGAAGGAAACUUUCAUCAAAAUUCUCAUCAUUAUGUCCUUACUUAAUUACAUAGGUGCGGAUAGUCACGCCUAGCAGUUAGCUGGCAUGAACAUCUAAACAAAGUUCAAGCUAGAAAUAUCUCACCAUUCCUAAAUUUGGCUUUAAUUACCAAUGGACAUGAACAUCGAAUUUGUUCUGCAUUAUAAAUUACAACAUUUCAAUGGCUUUCAAAGUUCAAGAAAAAAAAAAGAUUUUUGCUGGUGUGGAUAAUAAAUGCGAUCAAUACAGCCACACAUACAGAACUAGGCAGCAUCUUUAGUGCUAGAGACACCAUUAUUCAUGUUUAGUCAAAGGAAACUGUAACUGCAAAGCUAAUAAGAGAAAUGGAGAUUGUACAGUAAACCAUAGCGGGCAAUGGAAACAGAGACUGCAAUUAAAACAGGAGUGCAGGAAUUUAAAAAAUGAAAAAGAGGCAAAGAAAUCCCAAAUUCAAAUACAAAAAGAAUAGUAUCUUGAAAAUGAUUUUGAGGAAGAAAUACCUUCGACAGUUCCAAGAAAUCCACUGCAAUUAGUGUUGUGAGAAAUAAGGUUCAAUCUAGUCCCGGGAAGAACGGUUGGAUCAGAAUUGACAUCGUCAACAGCAGCAGCAAUAGCUGGCCCAGCUGCUCUCCCUAUCACUGAAUCGAAGGUAAACAAACUUCCUAUAUUUGCAACACUCGGUCGUGGAGAAGAAGAAGAAGAAACACUAGUUCCAUUUCCAUUUGCAGCUGCCUGACCAAAAACAACUUCCAUGGGCACACAAAUACCAGUAAUCAACAGCAGCAGCAGCAGCAACACUCUUUUCAUCAUCAAAAAUACUCUAGUAGCACAACCACCACCAGCAAUAUUCAAAGACACAUCCAUGGUAACUAACCAAGCUUGCAAUCAAAUUAAAAAUAAAUAAAUGAUUCUCCACGUCAAGCAACCAUUUUGUUUCUUCAAUGUAAUAAGUACCUGCCAAUGAUGAAACACAAGCAGAGACACAUGUUAAUGAACAUCGAAAGCCGAAUUAUGAAUAGCAACAAAAUAUAAUAAAGUAGAAAAACAAGCUGUGGAGCCCACAUGCAAGGGAGGAAAAACAAAGAAGGAAGGAUGUUGCGGUGUAGUGGAAUAUUUUGGUAUGGCUUUAAGCUUUAGCUUAGAUCAGAUUAGAUGUUAGCAUAUAUUAGUGAUUACCUUGAAGCCCAGAUACGGAAACUAGUUUGAACAGUUGAGUGCAUCAUAAUUAAGCUUUGAGGAUGUAAUGAAAAAACAAGGAUCAAGAGAGUGGACAAAAGCUCUAAACAGUCUUGCAAGCUCAAGUAAGGAAUGAUUCUCUCCUUUUAUGUCUGCUUGUUUUAUUAUUCUCUGGUGUGUUUAAGCUUUUUGCAAAGGACCAUGGCUAGCAUUUACUACAAUUUAAUAAUAAUAAUAAUAAUAAUAAUAAGAGUUAAAGUAACUCUAAUAUAAUAUCUUUGGGAUUCCACUCCAAACAUAUAUCAGUUAAAAUUAAUUAUUUUUUUAUAUUUUUAAAUUAUUAAUAUGUUAAUGUCAAAAAUAAUUUUAAAAAAUAAAAAAAAUAUUAUUUUAAUAUAUUUCUGUAAAAAUACACUUUAAAAAAUAAUUAUUAUUACAUUCUUGAACACCUCUUAUCUGAUUAUGAACCAAAUUUACUAUUCUAUAUUUCUUUGUGGAGUAGAAAUCCAUCAUGUGAUCCCUCAAGUUUUAAAAAUUAGCUAAAUCACCCUCUUUGUGUCAACUUAUUUUAGGAUUUCUUUUCUCUUUUUUGUUAUUAUAAAGGAGAGAUUCAAACUUAAAGCCUCUUAAAGGAGAGAAGACAGUGAUACUAAUUGAGUUACAACUCUCCUUUUUUUAAAGAAAAUAAAUUAAUAUGAGAUGUUAACCCUCGUGUUUUGAAUUUGUAGUCAAGCAUGUAUGUGGUCAACCCUGGCGACUACAAACUGAACUGUUGUGCCUAAAAUUAAAGUGUAAUGGUCGAUUUUUCCAAAACUUGAGGUAUCAAGACAUGAAUUUACUUUUUAGAAGAAAAAAAAUACAUCGAAUGACCCUUCUUGUCGUAGUUUUGAACCCGGCCCGGCCCGACGGGUUGAUCCGGGGCUGGAACCGAUCCAGGUUGAAGAAAAAACGGGGGAAAGAAAAACCCGGUGUGACCCGACAGGUUGACCCGGCGACCCAGUCACGACCCGGUUGCAAACCCGUUGACUUUUGUUUUUUUACUAAAAUAACAUCGUUUUGAUUUAAAAAGAAAAACUGACCCGACCGAUCCGGUGAUCCAGUCAAAAUCUAGAACCCGAGUCUUAAAACGAACCGGUCACCUGGCCGGGUCUUAAAACUAUGCUUCUUGUUUUGAGAGUAAAGAAUCAUACUCGUAGAAGUUUGGAAGCAUUUCCAUUUAUUCCCAAAUAAUCAUGCCAUUCACGUGUACUUAUCGUGUCUACUUGUAAUGUAUAUGUAAUAGUGAAUGUACCCAUGCCACGCUUUUGGUGGAAUUCCAAGUUAAUUUCAAAUGCAAAAGGAGAAUAUGCAUGUACUAUAUUAUAGAUGUGUUUUUUAAUCUCAUAAAAUUUGUUAAUUAAGGAAGGAAGGUUUAAUACAAUGAAUUGAAAAAAAUAUAUUAAUAGGUAAAUAAAAAAAUUAUAAAUGUUAAUUAAACAUUGAAUGUUAUUUUUUAAAAUAAAAAGUAAAAUACAAAUACAAAUACAAACAUUUUACAUCGACAUCAUUUUUAUUUUAUUUAUUUAUUCUGAAGCUAUGAUUACUAAAUACAUAUGAAUUUUAAUUUUAUAAAUACAAAAUACAGAUAUAACUAAUCUAUCUUAAAUCUAAAAUCAAAAAUCAAAAAUAAAAUAUAAUAAUUUUUUUUUUGAGGUAUUGCAAAAUUAUAGAAACCAACCAAAACUUUUAUUUCUAUUAAAAUAGUCAAACUAAACAACUUUAAAAAUGAGAAAGAGGAAAUUAAUUAAGAAUUAAACUAGAAAAAAAAAACCAAUGAAAAAAAAAAGAGUCAAGGUUACUUGACCUAGAAGACUAAGCCCACCCAUUUAACCUAAAAGGCAAAAGCCUAUACGACCCAGUUUUCUAUUCUUUUUUUUUUUCAAAAAAAAAGGGUAAUAUGUUGUCUUUUCAAAUAUUGUUUUAAAUUAAUCAAACGACAUGUCAUCUGUCUAGAUCAACAACAUAUCAUUCACCAUUAUCUUUUCUAAUCACCUUCAAUGAUCGAAAAAUUAGAGUUUGACUUUUUGUACUCACAAAAACAAUUUUCAACCUGUUUUUAUGAAAAACACCCCUAAAAUACUUGAAACUUCCAUAAACUCAUUCCAACCCUAAAACAUCAUCUAAUCACUUUAAAAAAUGAAAAUCUAAUAUAAGAAUAAAAAAGCUUUACGGAACCUAGUCAUCCUUUUCUAGCAUGUUCAAAGGGCAACACACCACCUUCAUUAAACUCUCCUAUCCAAAACCUCCUAUCUAAAACGAACCAAUUAACACACUACACCAUUAAACAGUUUUACCGACGGAUUCAUUCCGUUGGUGUAAGACACACAACUCGUCGGUAAAAUAUUUACCGACAGAAUCUGUCUGUUGGAAUAUUGAUCGUUGGUAAUUCUCCUUUUUGUCGCUGAUUCUGUAGGAAAUAAAAUAAUAAAAAACAAACACCAACAGUCUUACAGACGGGGGAAGCGCACCAAUUUUUUUUUUCUCGCGAGAACUAUACCGACGGACGUGUUUCGUCUGUAUUUCCAACGGUAAAUCACCGACGGACUGACCGUCAGUGAUUGUGGCAUGGACGGUAAAUAUUUCAAAACUCUCUGUAUAAUAUCGACAAAUAUAUUUCGUCAGUAAUAUCAACAGCAAACACCGACGAAAUAUAUCAACGGUACACCAAAAUCAGCCUUUUGUGUCCAAAAUAUGGCUUACCAUACCCUUUCUCUUUCCUUUACCUUUUUCCAAUAACUUUAUCUCCCCUUCCUACAACCAAUGACUGAAAUGUAAACGAAAAAAAAUUAAAGUUUAAGAUUGAAAUAUAAGAACCUAAAACAACAAAGUUCAAAUAUGCAAAAAUUUUAAAAAAGUAAGGGACUAAAGUGAUUUUUUCCAUGUCUUUGGAUAGUAAAUACGAAGAAAAGGCUCUAUUUUUGUUUAUUUUAUUUUUGGUAAUUAUUCUAACUUUUUUUAACAAUAACCUAAAAUUCCAUUUUGUAAAAUUUUUCUUUCAUGUAAUAUCAAAAUAUUCUUUAACAUCUCGCACACACGAAAGCAUGCGAAUAAAAAAAAUGUCAAAAUAUAAAAUCAUGAUAACAUAACUUUUGAAGACGAGAUUAAAAAAAAACCUUUAAUGAUCAAAACAAAAUGAACUAAAAACUUGAGGGUCCUAGAUUGAAAAAUUGUCUAAUAAACAGGGAAAUGAGUGUUGAUAAGAACAAUGAUUUCCUAGACUUUUUUAGUUUAUUAAGUAAUAAUUACACAAAUAAGUAUUUUGUUUUUUGAGUUACAACAAAUAGGUUUUUCAAUACUUAAAAGUUAUUCAAAUAUCAAAGAUAAGAUUUGAUAAGAUCCAUUCAUAUAUCUGAACAAAUUAUGUCUCUUUAAAUCAAAAUUAAUUUCUUAUGCAAUUUUCCACAUAACAAAUACAAGUUAUACAACAUAUGAAACAAGAUGAACAUAACUUGCUUGGAUUAGCUUGAUAUGGAAGUAGCUUUUGUAUUCGUUCAAAUUAGAUCAGAUUGAAGAAUUUAUUCACUUGUUAAGUAAUCAUUAUCCAUUCUAUUUUGUUUUUCUAUUUAAAAAUGAAUAAAUAUGUUAUUUUUAAAAACCAUAUGAAAUCACAUAGUUAAAGUAUUGAAAUAAAUAAAUAUUUAUUCAUUAAGAUAAAAUACAAUAAUAAAAAAAUGUUAAGUGAUAACAUAUAAAAAUCUCCACUCCUCCCUUCACCUAACCUUGUAAAACAUGACUAAUUAACCAAUAGUUAUUUAAACCAUACAAAAACUAAAACCAGCUAUGUCAAAUGACAUUGGUAACCAAUAAGCCAAGUAAAAUCAAGCAUAAUUCAAUCCUUCUAUUUUAAUGAAACUAAUUAAUUAUCAUCAUGAGUUUAGAAACUAUAUAUUCAAUCUUGAAAUUUUAAAAUAUGUUUAUGCAUUAAUAAGAUGGACAAUCCAUAAUCUUGUUUUAUCUUUCUAAAGCUCAUGAUUACACCUCUAAACACUAUAAAAACUGAGGUAUUCACUGUUAUAAAAAAAAAAAUUUGUAUAGUAUCCUCCUUAUAUGUGGGGUAAUACAUAUACAUAAAAUCUCAAUAAAUAUUGUUUAUUCAAUAAGAAUAUGAGACUUUACACAAAAGAUUACAAUGCCUUGAAGAAAUAGGUAAAUAUAUUAAUUUCUAAGGCUACAUCUAACAAUUUAUAUAUAAAAAAAUAGAUGGAGAACUAGUGUUUAUCAUUUAUCUUUACCUAAACUCCUUUCAUAAGCCUAUUACCUUUUAUACCUCAUGAUGGAGAACAAGUAUCAUUUUGAGGAUGCUUUGGUAAUAAUCAUUGUCCUUUCCAAUUAUAAAGUAUAAAAUAUGCUCACGAUAAUGGAAACGUGGUGAAUAUUUUCUUAAGUAAUGUUGUAAAUGGAAAUUAACCCCUUCAAGUUAAUCCUUGUUAAAACGCCUCUAAUUGGAAUAAAAGGGAAAAUUUUUCUAAACAAAUGUUUUAUUGAUACACUAGUAAACGUUGAAACUUAUUUCAAAAGUCUCUCUGCAACAAAUUUUUAUUGUUAUUAAAAUGGACUUGGCUUAUAACUUCAUCAAUGACCAGCCUUUGUUUCAUGGGAUUAGAAUGACAAUCAAUAUAAAAUAUCUAGUUAUGAAAUUUUAUAUUGAAAAGGAGUUGUCACAGUAAAGAAAAAUCAAUUAAUCUUAAAAAAAUACUUCUCCAUUUGCCUCAAAUAAAGCUAUGUUUAUUGAACAAACAAGGUUUUUUAAAGAGAGGGCAAAGAUAUGGACUAAAGCCAUGAAAAGAUAACCAAUCGACCCCUAUGAAAUAUGUCUUCAUUUACUUUAAAGAUAAGAAAACUAUGUUUAUAAAACAAGUAAGGCCUCCAAAAAGAGAGACCAAAGAUAUGAAUUGAAGCCAUAAAGGGAAAACUAAUUAGCCUUUAGGAAAUGCACCUUCACUUUUCUUAAAGGCAAGAAAACUAUAUUCAUUGAACAUAUAAGGCCUCUAAAAAAUAGACUAAAGAUAUUGACUAAGGCUGUAAAAGAUGAAAAAGAAGUAAGUCUCUUUGAACAUGAUACUAGUGUAAUUAUUAAGAUUAGAUUUGCAUUAAACAUCGAGUAGGAGAAAGCCAUCACGAAGCUUUUUAAAAUCCAAAGGACUAAUUUCACUUUUAAUCCCUCAGAUACUCUAAGUAUAGACUAGGAUGUGGCCUCCCAUAUAUCAAACAUCAAUUUAUCUCUCAUUUUUACUAGGAAAAAAAAAGAGUUUUAAGGUGAAAGAUAAAAGGUCAUAAUUGAGGAGGUAGAUAAGUUGCUAGAAGCAACUUUCAUUUGAUAAGUAAUGUACUCUGAUUAGCUUGCCAAUAUGAUUAUGGUGAAAUAAUGGUCUUGAAAGAUUAUCAUGUUCUUUUUCAGUCAUUGAUUUGUACCCAUUGCAUCUCCUCUUUUGAUGCUAUUAUAGUAUAAGAACAGUUGGUCUGAAAAACUAGUUUUGAUGUGGACUUUUUGCUCUAUAUAACAGUAUGUUCAGUGCUACAAAAUGGUUAUUAUUUCAUCCGGGCAAGAGUACAAGUGAUAGGGUGUAAAGGAGGGGUGUUUUUUUGUCUUAUGUAAAGGAGAAAGGAGGGAGUUUUAAACCUUGCGCGCACACACACACACACACACAGAAAGAGAGAGAGAGAGCACAGUUGCCCAUUUAUUCUGUCUCACGGGAAGUUGAAGACAAUCUACAAUGCUUCCUAAAAUGACUUUGUUUCCUUUAUAUAUAUAUAUAUAUAUAUAUAUAUAUAUAUAUAUAUAUAUAUAUAUAUCAAAACGAGGUGUUUCAUUUAAAUGAAACAACAUCGUUUUGACGGUUAAGUUCUUCUUUUUCAAUUUCAAUCUUUCAAUUUAUUCAAUUAGGUCCUUAAUUGAAUUUUAGGAAUCAAUUCAAUUUUACCCCUAUAUAGUUUCAAAAACAUCCCCUGAUUUCAGUGUGUUUUUCAUCUUAGUCCUUGGUUUUGGAUUUAUAAAAAUUGAUCCUGAUCCUCAAUUGAUCAUUUAACCUUUGAUUUUCUUCCAUUUGGCCCACAAUUUCAUUGAUUUUAGCCCCUGAAGUCUCGCGCCUCUAACAAGUCGGUCCCUGAUCUUGAAGUUCUUUGAUUUUGCUCUUAAUUGACCCUAAAACUUUAUUUUUCUUGCAAUGUUGUCCUUAUUUUCACCCAAUUGACUUUGUAGAAAUUAAAUUUUGUCCUCUAAAAUUUUAAUCUUCUCAAUUAAACUCAAAUCAGGCUUUCAAUCUUAAUUUUUCAUCAAUGAAGUCUCUAGUAAAAUUAAAUUGACCAAUUAAAAGUCUAAUUAAAUCCUUGCACUUAAUUAAAUGUUUUAAUUUGACCCAAAUUAAUUCUUAAACUUAAUUAAAUCUUUAAUUGGACCCAUAAUUAAAUCAAAUUGACCUAUCAAAAGUUUAUUAAGUCCUCAUACUUAAUUUUUAUGUAAAUUCACCUAAUGGUCAUUUAAUUUGGCCUUAAUUUGUAUUGUAUCUUAGUCUUGGAUUCAAUUAGUUUAAUUGGGCUCCACAUUCUGUUCAAAAUCCUAAUUUAAUUCCUCCAUGUGCUUGAAAUCCUUCUUAGCCUACUCUUGCUAAUAUUUUUUUAUUUUCAUUUUUAUUGUUAUUUUUUGUUACUUCUUAUUUGAUUUGAUUUUAUUGUAUUUUGAAAAUAUUUAGAAACAGAGGGUAAAAAAUUGGGUUAUGAAAGAACCAUAGUUUCCUUAUUUCUAUUUUGUGUAUCAGAUCUAGAACACCUUCUAAAACUUUUUGACACAAAUUAUUGAAACAAUGCUCAAUUACUAUUUGUGACAUACCUCGGUUUAAUCUCUUCCACUUUUCAAUGUCAUAUCAGAGCUGACUUUUCUAAUUACUUGUUUAUGGGUAUGGGUAUCGUACCACAAAUCAUGCAACCUGUUAUAGAAAUUUGUUAAACAAAAAAAAGGCAAGGAAAUAAAAGAAUACAAGUUUACAAUAAUAUAACAUUAGUUGGUUUAAACAUACCUAGUUGCACAAUGGUUUUCCCACAGUCUCCUAACAAGUGUCUUGUUGCUUUUGUCCCACAAAAAAAAAUUUCUUAAUUGAUUUCAUACAUUAAUUAGUUUUCAAAAUUUUAAAAACUAGUAACUCAAAGUAGAUAUUAUUUAAUUAUCUAACCUUAAACUUUCUCCAUCAAACAUUUACCAUAUUCAUCCAUUCAGGAUGCUCAUAAAGCUCACUCUAUUAAAACAAUGGUUCUUUAAACAACCACUUCAUUGUAGAGGUGAUCGAACAUGCAACUUCAAUAUUAGUGAACUUGAAAACCAUUUCAUCAAUGUCAUUUUUAUGUAAUAUAAAACUUAAAAUAACUUAAUACAAUAAAUAACUUCAAUAUUGAGAUAAAAUAUUAAUUAUAUACAAUGGUCGCCUUUCCAUUAUGCAAUAAUUUUAUCUGAAAAAGGCCCUAUCAAAGAAGAGAUGCCUACUAUGUUGUCCUUAUUGGUUAAGUCUUGAUCGGUAACUUUUACAUUAAGUGGUGUGUCUUUAUAAUCAUCAUCUAUAUUAGCAACACAAUCACCGACACUAAUACUUGAUAAAGUAGUAGCGCUCUUAUUAGACUUACACAUAUUUCUUCUUGAAUAUAUGGUACCUAAAAAGAAACAAUAACAUAAUGACAACACAUACUCAUGGAAUUUAAAUUCGAACUCAUAUAAGCCAAAUUUUAUUUUGCCAAAUUUUCUAAUAAACAUGCUAAGAAAAUUAACACACAAAGAGAGAACAUAAAACAAAAAAUAAAAUAUUCAAAUAUGACUCUAUAACCAUAUAAAAAUAGCAUCUCACUUCAUCAAAAAAUUAACCAAUUACUACAUUUCCUUUCAUAGAUAACACAUCUAAAUUAGUAAUAGCCUUCACAUUUUUAUUUGUGCUACUCCACAACAAGUACAUUUAAGGAAUCCAAAUCAAGCAAAAAAUGAUAACAUUAUCCCUACAUAUAAAAAACCCAUAAUUUCUCAUUUUCUCGUACUUUCUUAGCUACCAAACAAAUAGGUUACUUACAUAAACAAUAAAAAAGAAAUCAUAUUACUAAACGAACAAUCCCCCCCUAGUCACAUAAACUUAGCCAUAAAUUAUCUUCUCUUCACUUCACUAUUUAACCAACCAAGAAACCAUAAUUGAUACUUAAACAAACUCUCUUCACUUCACUAAUCUCUUUUUCUUAGUUAGCUAAAUACUUAAAUUAUAAAUUAUAAAUCAUUACCCCACUUUUCCACCAACCAACCACGAACCCAAAUCAUCAAUAAAAAUAAUCCUCCACUAAACCAAGUAAAAAAAUAAACAUUUAAAACAAUACCUAAAAUUCAAAAAAACAAUCUUCCUAUAUUACCAACAUGCAAAAAUUAACAAAACCCAAAAAAACCUAAAUCACAUGAACCAAAUAACAAAUAAAUUACCUUCAAAUCGGGUAAAAACCAUAACCCAAACUUAGGAUUUAACAAUGCCAAGUCCUUAGUUUAUUAAAUGAAGAAGAAGAAAUCAAACUUGAGAUGGGUAGAAAAGAGGUAUUGUCAACGUGGGAUGUGUGAGUGGGGUAGGGGUAAGAUAGUUACUGUUGUUGUUUUGAUGAUGAUGAAUAAGAAAAAGAAAAAGAAGAAGAAGAAAAAGAAAUAGGAAGAUGAGAGGAACUCUUGAGUUUUAAUUCAUUUUAAAAACAUCAAUGAAAAUUCAUUUAGUAAUUUAAAAAUAUUAAAAAUACCAAUGUAAUUGUAAACAAAAUAUUUUUAUUUUUUAUUCCGUUUAUUUGUUCCCAUAAAAAAUUACUGAAGAAAAUCUUUCAUCGUAAUUUCCAUAAGUAAAUAAUUAUGAAACAUCUUUUGUCAUGUUUUUGUUAUUAGUGUAUGCCCACAUCUAUUUGUUUUUGUUACUAUUCUCCAAUUUUUUAGUGGUGUAUGCUCACGUCUAUGAGCAAGUUGGUUUGUUUUUGCAAGUAUAAAUACUUCAUGAAAAUGUCCGGCAAGGGAGGACACAAAAAAAGAAAUAGAUAGACUCCUACAAGGAGAAAACAUUCUCAUGUGCGGAAAGGUCCAGAAUCAAUCAAGGUUUUCAGCAAGGAAGGAAGAUGAUAAAAACUCUUGCUUAAAAUGAUUCAUGCAUGCAUGUCAUAUAAAAAAGAGAAAAGAAGAGAAAAAUCUUUUGAGAGACUACGACCGUGUCUUCAUCACAAAAUUGGAAAUUGAUUAUCAUCUUUAUAAAUUUAAGAACUCGAGGUCAGUCGGAGCACGUUGCAGGUGAAGUGUUGAAUAAUCAAACUGUGAAUUUAAAGGACAAAGGUAGAGUAUACGAAGGUGGAAGUUUCUGACUCAAAAUAAACUUUAUUUAUAUUACAAUCCAUACAAAAAUACCAAAAUCUAUUCAAAAGAUACUCCAAAAAAGAAAAAGAAAAAGAAAACAAAACUGUAGUUAAUUGAGGUGGUGGGGUUGGGACCAAGGUUGUUAAAAUCGCGAUUCAACUCGUAAAAUCGUACGUUUUUACGAGUCAAUAUAGGCUUUACGUGCUAAAUCGUUCACAAAACUCGGAAAUGGGUAAAAUCGGGUCAAAAUCGGGUAAAAUCGUUAAAAUAGGGUGAAAUCGCUUAAAAUCACGAUUUCACUGCCGAUUCAACGAGUUUGCCCGCAGGAGAUAAAACAACAAUGUUGAUGACAGGUGUCAACCGCCUAUUGGCUUUAACCGAGCAAAAGUGACAAAUUGACAAUUGCAAAUUCAUCGAGGAUGCACUAUGCAGUCUUCUCUUCACAUUUCUGAUUUCACCAUUCACGUUCAGAACAGAAAAAAUCCCUAAAUUGAAAUCCAUAAGCAUACCAUCAAGCCAUGAAGUUUGGAAAAGAAUUCAAGACCCACCUAGAAGAAACCCUUCCUGAGUGGAGGGACAAGUUUCUCUACUACAAGCCCCUCAAGAAACUCCUCAAACAAUUACCUUCCACCGUUGAUUCUCCAUAAUUUCUUCACUCUCUGAUCAUGGAAGCAGACGACUUGUCAGUCCUUCACAAAUCACUCUUCGAAGACAAACUCUCUGCCACCGAUCUCUUCUUACAAAAACUCUGUUCUGAUACUUCCAUCAAGUCAGCCCUCCAACGAUUCUACUCGAUUCUAAAACGCGGCGUUUCACUGAUCGAUGAUGAUGCUAAUAAUAGUGAACGCAAGCUAGGGUUUCAAUUAUGGACCGAUUCGCAAAUUCAAUCUGUCGUUUCACUCGGUAUCGCCAUCGUUUCGUCUUCUAGAUCUCUGUCAGGUUGUCUUUUUUACUCGAUUUCCACUUUUAUUUAUUGAUAAUUUAUUUUAAUUCAUUUUUCUGUAUGGUUGAAUUUUAAUUAGCAGUUCAGUAGUUAACUUGCUAAUAAUUUCGAUUUUAUUUUAUUUAUUGAUAAUUUUUUAAUUCGCUUUUUUUUUGUAUGGUUGAAUUUUAGGAUUUGCAAGAAUGGUUUGUUAGAAUUCUUAGUGAAGAGCUUGACAAGUUCAAUGAUUUCUAUGUUGAUAAAGAAGAAGACUUUGUUAUACGCCUUCAGGUUUCUUUCUUGAUUUUUCUUUUCUUUCUUUGUUUUACAUGUUUAUAGCUUUGUGCAUAUGGGUUUUUAAUUUCGAGGCUUUUGUUUAUUAUAGCUCUGGGAAUUUAAGGUAUUGUGGUUUGAUGGUGGCUUUUAAGGUUUUUUCUAUAUGCAUGUCUUGUAAAUCCGAACUCAUGGGUCUGGUUUAAGGGUUUUGUAAGUUUUUGAAUAAUCAGGAGAGGAGUAGAAUGGAGAAGACAUCGUGACUUCAUUGGAACAGGAGAAUAGUGGGAUGUCAAGGAAAAAAGACGCAUAAAAGUGGCUUUCCUUUCCCUGGUAGUGCUGGGUGGUGUUGUCAGAUAGUAUGUGAAGAGGAGAUUGUCGAUGGGAUUGGAUGGGCUUGAUAAAGUUAAGAAUAACUUUUCCAGUUUGUGGAACUUGCUGAAGUAGAGCAGAGUAUUUUGUAGUAUAGUUAUAAGGCCAACCAUCGUCAAUUAUAGCUGACAAUGGGAUUGUUGGAAGUCAGUUGAGGGAAUUGAGGGUGCUGAAAUGAGGAUAUUGAAAUGAAAUGCCAGGUCAUCAAUAUAUGAGAAUUCUUGGGUUAUAACUUAUGAUGAAUGGAUUCUGUCUAUUAUUUGUAAUUUGGAUGAAUGGAUUCGACGAAUGAAUUCUGUCUAUUAUUUGUAAUUUGAAUGAAUGGAUUCUGUCUAUUAUUUUCUGAUUGGAUAAUAAUAUAGAAGAUGGGCUGUUAUGUAUUAUGUUUUUUUUUUAACAAAAAUUUAAUUACAAUUAUAAAAUGUUUGGAUUGAUUACAAGGCUGAUUUGAAUUGAUUCUUGAAUUUUUAUUUGAAGCAUGAAUUUUUUUAAGGUAUUUUAAAAUUCCUUACGAUUUUACGAUUUUACGAUCCGUUUUUACGAUUCGAGUUUGUUUUGCAUUUUCCGUGCCGUGUUAAAAUCGCGAUUUUAACAACCUUGGCUGGGACCUCAGUACCUGGUCCUUUCUUUUAUAGCUGUGUGAUAUUUGUCAGUGAAGGUAAGGCCCCCAUGCAGAUGUCCCUUUUUCACUCUUUUUUCUUUUUCCCGACCCCAGAUAUAUGUGGACUGUUUCAUGUUUAUUUUAUUGGACACAUGUAAUAUUUAAUCAAUCUUUGGACAUGUUGUUGCCUCUCUUUUCAUCAUAACUUUUGGGUGUUAAUGAGGGUUGCUUGCAGCAGCAGAUUUAAAAUAAAAAUAAAUAAAUUUUCAUAAAAAAAAAACACGUUGAACCUCAUCCACGAAUAUUAGAUAUGCGUUUACAAUCUCCACGUCUCGUGAUGCUGUCAGACAAAAUCUCCCAUAUUAUAGUAGAUCCAACUCUGUUUUGUGUGGUGUGGCUUCAAAGAUUUUAGCUCAGCCCCACGUUUACAAAAGUUUAUUGUUGCAAUAAAAAAAGAACAUAAUUAGAUGGCAAAAUCUAAAUUAGACCAACCAUAUUAGCUCGAUGUGUGAAUGCAGAUUAGAGAUGCAUCCCAUUAUCUAUGAAAGCUCUUCAGAAUACUUUUAAAAAUGAUACAGAAAGGGAGAGCAUUCCCGCACCCAAUUACAGCACAGGAGCAAGCUCUUACUGGUUCCAACUUCCAAGCCUUAACCCCAAGGAUGGGUCGACGGUCAGCUUGACUUGCUAGCAAUUGAAUUUUAUGUUUUGAAAAAUUGAUUUGAUGCCUAAUAACCAACCAAUGGUAUGCCCCGCAGUGUUUGUCAGGCUAAGCAUAUAUUUCCACGAAAAAAAAUAACAAUCACUACGCUCGCAAUGAUCACCACUUAAAAAUGAUACAGAAAGGGAUAGCAUUCCGGCACCCAAGGGCAGACGGCAUGUUAAAGGAUACAUGUAAAGAUUUUAUCAAUAUUUUUUAACUAGUUUUAUAUAAAAACAAAUUUAUAAUUUAUAAUUGAGUUGUCAAAAAAUUUUAAAAAUUUACGUGGAGCCUUUUAAUAUGAUGUUUUACCUUAGAUUAAAAUUUCAGAAUUUUUGAAGAAAUUCAGAGAUUUAAUGAAAAAUCACAAUUUAACUAUUUUUACGUUAUUGGACGUAAUUUUCAAUACGACCAUCAGAUUGAGCUGAAGUUUUACGAGGGAUCUUAAAAUAUAUAGAAUAAAAUCUGGUUAAAAUUUUAGGAUGAACAGAGUUUGAUAGUGCUAAAAAAAAAGGACCGUCAAAUAAAAGCAAAACGACUCAUUAAGAGCAAAAUAAUUAUUUGCCAUUAAAAAAUAAAACAAAUCAACUCUUCCUUUUUUUCAUAUGUUGCCGACCGGUCAAAAGUAGAAUAGAAAAAAAAAACCAAAAGAAAAGACGAGAGAAAAAGAGAGAAAAGUAAGGGAAAAUUAAAUAUAAAAAAAAGUUCAAGGAAAAUAAAUAAGAAAAAUGAGAGAAUAACCUUGUAAACUUACAAAGUCCAACUUAUAAAACACCAAUCUAAGGAAGAAUCAAGUGAAGGAAGGAGGAAUUGAGAGAGGAAAAAAAUUUAAUUACUUUUUUUUCCAGUUGACAUGAGAUUGUUAUUUUAUCCCGGUUGAGGGGUUGUUACAAUAUUGAUUCAGAUUCGAUUAUAGAUGAAUUAUAUUCUACAAAACAUCGAAGGAUGUAACUUCAAUAUAUAGUUGAUUUAUUUUUACUUUCACUUCAAUUUUAUGUACUUUCAAAUUUAAUUUUUAAUAUUUUAGGUAGUGUAUUUGAAUUAAAACUUUACAGUUAACUUCAAAAAUUCAUGUACAUGAGUUAAUAAUUGAUUUAAAAAAAAAUUAUAUAUUUAAUUAAUAACUCAAGGCAAGAAAAAUGACUCCACCUUGCCCGCACCCAUUUACAGCACAGGAGCAAGCUCUUACUGGUUCCAAAUUCCAAGCCUUAACCCCAGGGAUGGGUCGACGGUCAGCUUGACUUGCUAGCAAUUGAAUACUAUGUUUUGAAAAAUUGAUCAGGUCGUCUGUAUCCUAAUAACCACCCAGUGGGAUGCCCCGCAGUGUUUAUCGAAAGUCAAUUUUAUUCUAGGAUUGACUUGCUAGCAAUUGCUAAGCAUACCUUUCCACGAAAACAAAAUCAAUGUGCAGUCAAUUUAUUAGUAUUGGGAUGACAGGUGGGCAGUUUUUUUUAUGAACGAAGGCUGGUAGCUAGGUGGUUAGUGCAGAAUCCCCACCACCACCAUCUCCAUCUCAUAGGAACCAACAUUAUUUUUAAAAAUAAAUCAUGAAUAAGUUUAGAAAUAUAUCUAAGUAAUUAAUGGCAUGUAUAGAAUAAAUUUAUGAGAAAACACAUAGUAAAAUAACAUUUUUUUUCAUUUGAAAAGAUAUUGUAAAGGUGAUAUUUAUCUUUUCUUAAGCAUAAUUAACUAACUUAGUAGCUGAAUCUUUGAGACCGGUGUCAAUUUUAGAAUUUUUAGUUUUUUUUUUAAUUAUAUCAUAUAUAUUCAUAGUGAUGUGAUAACUAUGUUAAUGUACGAAACCGGGUUAGAUUUAAAAACAUUGUAGAAUAGAUCCCAUGAAAACAUAUAACAUUACUUUAUAUAAUAUUACAUGUGAUGGAAACAGGUACUAAAGCAGGCAUAAAAAAAAGUAAAAAUAACCAUCAUAAUAUUUCAUUACUAAUUAUUUGUCCAUUGCAUAGAGAAAUAACAUAAUAUUAAUGGGUAGAGAUAACAUAUAUAGUAGUGGAUAAUAUAUAUAUAUAUAUAUAUAUAUAUAUAUAUAAUUUGCAAUAUCAUAGAGGUGAUAUGCAAUAUCUAAACCCUUUCAUGCAUAUAUAAUUAAGGCAAGGCUAGCAACAUAAGACAGCUAAAUAUCCAUUAGAAUUUUAAUGGAGUCUUGAUGACCAGAGGUUUGAACCCAUGUUGGAUACUUGCUUGCCAAACUUUGUCAAUGUCAGCCAUGGUAGAACCGCAUUCAUGCUCGUCCCAUCCUUCCAAGGCAUGCACUAUUCCAGCCACACGCCAUGCGCUCAUCACUCUUCUUGGCAGCCAAUUCUGUCAUCAAGUAUUUUGCAAUACAAAUUAAUUAUCUUUCCUAAAUUAAGAAAAUAAUGCAAAUAGUACUUUAAUUUUCUGCAAUAUUUGACUAAUUAAUUACCUCGCAAGAGUCCACAUUUUCAAGAGAUGCAGGGGCUGCCAUUACUGGUAUGCUGUGAUAGAAGCAAUCCUUGCGCAAUUUCUUUGGGGGAAAUUGCGAGAAGGGAAUAAAUAAUGUUCCUUCUGCUGCUUGUUUUUGGUCCUCUUCUUUCAAUCCAUCCCCAACUAACCACGUCUACACAACAAAGUUUAUUAUGAUAUUAGAAAUGUCAAUAUAUAUAUAUGCUACUUAAAUAAUUUAAGUUGUAAUUUUAUUUUAUUUUUGACAAAAAAAAAUUGAUUUCUAAUUCCUUGGUAGCUAAUGAAAGCAUACCUUUAUUGAAUAACUCUUUGAAAGAAUUAGAUUGUUCUGAUCAGAUGUGAUGCCGAAAGAUUUUUUAACCUCACAUGGUACAACUACCUAAAAAAUCAGUGAAAAUAAUCGUAAUAAUUAGGAAUUAUAAAUUAAAACAUGACCAUAAAUUAAAUUUGCCUAUACAAUCAAUUUAAAUAAAUUACUGUCAAAUUGAAGCAAGUGACAACCUGUGCCUAUUUGCCUAGUAGCCUAGUAGACAACAACAAUACCUGGAUUCCCCUCUGGCAGAGAUUUAAAGCAACAGCAUAGGCAACCUUAGAGAGAUUGCCUCUAUGAAGCACUUGUGUUGUUCCUUUAGGUAUGCUAUUCAGCACUGCAGCAACGGCUAGACUGCUUCCAUCCACCACCUUCGUUUUGAGCCUGGGAUGCCUUUGCACAUAAAGUUCACCAUACCUAUUAAGCUCCUCUCCCUGCAUAAUUUAUGUUUGAACAUGAUGAAGAUAUAAUUAAUAAUUUAUGGUAUCCAUGAAAUAUGGGAAAUUGAAAAGAAAAAAAAAAACCCUAUAAACUCAACUACGUGGCAUCUAGUAAUGGCCGUUCUAAAGUAACCACCACUGUUUUUUUUUCCCUAGAAAUGCAUUAUAUUGAAGUGCUUGCCUGAUUCAAGAGACCGAGACUUAACACUUUAACACCUUUUUCCUCAGCUUCAAGUACAGCUUCUUCAAUCAAGGUAUUUAUGGAUACUUUUUGCCAUCGCAAGUUGUACUGCCAAAAAUUAGAUAAGCAAAUUAAGGAGAACAGAUUAAACUGAACGCCCUUGAUUAAUCAAUGACAAAGAAAUAUCCUUCUUAAUUACUUGAAUAUUGUAUUUUGGUAAGGUCCACGUCUGUAAUCUGAGUUUGUGGAAGCGAUUCCUCUCGACAACAAAAGUGCGUCCAUAAGUCCAAGUUAACAUCAUGGUCCACAAGGUCACCGGCCACAUUAACCAUAGAUACCACUUCGAUUCUUGAGGGUUGGAAGCCAAGCAGGCAAGUCCAAGCCGUAAAUGAUAGAUGGAAUCUGGUGUGGUAAGAUGAGUUAGAUGCACUACAUCAGGGGCUUCCUCGGGUCUCUUGAGCGAAUCUUCAUAGAGGGUAACAGAAGACGUGUCCAUUGUGCCAUAGAUGUAAUCAUAGAUGGGCAUGAAUAGUGAGUAAUUGGUUCUGAAUUGAGUGUGGUGAAGAGAGUGGUACCUGCAGCCAUAUCAAGUGUUUAUUAGUUCAUCAUGGAGGGAGUAACUAGUUCUAAACUGGCUUUGGUGAAGAGAGUUGGAACUUGCAGCUGCAUCAAAUGUUAAAUCAUGCAUUCGCGCUUAUCAGAUAUUGUUUUGAACACUGAUUAAUAGACAACGCAAUAAUGCACUGUCAGUGAAAAUAUAGUGGAAAAGGUGAAAUGUACGCGUCAAAGCUAUUAAAAUACAGUAUAAAAUCACAAAACGAUACUAUGGAAUUAUAAUUAACAGAGUAUUUUCCAUAGACGACUGUAUAUUCUUUUCAUCUUCUUUUUAUGCAAAAUUUGGUGAAUCAUUUUCCUGCUUUUUGUUCAUAAGUAUGGAAGAAAUCCCAUUAAUAAAACGAAGAGGAUACUGGUGAGAAUUAAUGAUUGAAAAUGCAAAAAAUCAACUGAGAUACAUCUAGACUUACGAUGGGGUGUACAUGAGGUACUUGAGAGGGGGGAAAAUGAUGAAGAGCCAUCUGGGAAUGAGUUCAAAGUUGCAGUGACCCAUGUUGUUCAUCAAGUCGAUGUAAGUGAUAUAACCAGCAAAGGAUGUUAAAGAGGCUGUCCCCGUCACAAUAGUCGUUAUCAAAGGUAUUGCGAAUAGCAUGGAGUAGGAUAUGUGCUCGGCGAAUGGAUGAAUCACAGCUGCGAUGCAGAUUUCCAGAAAGAAAAUGUCAAAUAAUUACACUUACUGUAUAUCAUCAUCAUGUAUUGCUAAUAGUAAUGGAGAAUGGUAUGCGUUCCCCUCAAUCACACACAAGAUUUUUCUUCCGUUAUUAUAAAAAUACGCGAACUUAAAACCUUCUAUGAAAGGUCAAUUAAACUAAGUUUAUCAACGAUCACACAAGAUUAUUAAUAAUUCAAAUGCACACCAUAUAUAAAUGUGUGUCAUUCUUCUUAAGGAGUACUUAAGAGAUUAACUAUUCACUUUGAAAUUCUUAAAUAACUUUUAAACCACCAACACCAUAUAUACAUGGGGGCCGGGGGUGUUUGGAGGGAGACUUACAAGUAAUGGGCUCUGUGACAAUGGAGGAAUGGUGGUGGGAAUGAUAGCGAGAGUAGAGAUAGUGGUGAUGAAGAAGUCGAUGAAGCCAAUAAUACAGAAAUUCCACCGGACCCAUAUGAAUCAGAGCUGUUAGAAUUACACCAUCUAACCUCCACAUGGGGAGAUGGCUAGCUCCUGGAAUUAUUUUGCUACCAACGUAGAAUAAAAUUCCAUUGAACAAUAUUUGGUCAUCCCUGCGGAUAUCCAACCAGAAAAUCCAAGUAUCAAAAAACUCACAAGCACUAGAGUGGAAAUUAAUGCAUGAAAUUAUUGAAAAAGUAUAUAUAUAUAUUUGAUUAUACAAAUACCAGUUGCUUUCUCUAUCAACUUGAUCAAAUUCAAUGCCUUUGUCAAUAAUCCUGUUAUUUCCUUUGGCUGUUCUGUAACGGGACAGGCUGAUCCAUAACUGGUUGUGAAGAACUCUCCACAACAGAAUUGGGAAAAUGAGAAAGCUUGGGAGAUCUUUUUCAUCUUUAACCAUAAAGGCGUAGAUGUUGUGAAUGACACAAGGAGCCAAUAUUACAUGCUGCAAUAUUUAAACACACAAACAAAACACAGAUAUAUAUUAUUGUUUUAGGGUUAUGAUAUAUUAACGUUGUUUGCACGAAAACGAGUUACUCUACGUGUGAUAUCAGAUAACGAGAAGAAAAGGAGCGAGAGAGAGAGAUGGGAGGGAUUUCCAUAUGACCUUAAAGCUUCCAAGAGGUUUCCAUGGCCAGUCUGUGAGAAUUCCAGGCCGAGAAGCCAUCACUUCACUGCUACUACUUGUCUUUGUUUCCUCGCUUGUAGCUAGGGAAGUCGUGUAUUUAUAGACGAUGAGUAAUAUAUUUUCUUUAGCGUUAACGUUAUAAUUAUUGAUGAGUAAUGUUUUUUUAAUAACAGUACUGCCGCUCGAUCAAGUUAGAGCUGAGUAAAUUAUAAAUUAAUCCUUUUAAUUUUGGAAAAUAAAUUAAUUAGUCAUCUUCUUAAAAAAAAAACAAAUUAUUCAGUUUUUUUGAUCUAUUAUAUGUUAUUUUCUAAAUUAUGUUUUAAUAAAUAAAUAGAUAUUAUGGAAAGAUUGAUGAGAAAAGUAGAUAUUUUUGUAAAUAAAUUAAUAUGAAAGUAAGCAUGAUUAACAAUGAUAAGUGAUUAAAUAAUUAAAAUAGAUUGGUCAACCAUAUUUGUAAAACGAUACAUGUUUCAAUAUACUAAACUCUCUUGCAGGGUAUUCUUUGUCUUUUUACCAUGGCUUUCUUUUUAUUAAUAUCAAGGUUACUCAUGAUGAUUAUUAUAUAUAAUCAUAUAUUAAAUAUUAUUAAAAAAAAAUUUAGUUUGUGCGUCGAGCUAAUAAGCAGGCGUCAUGUCAUUUGGACAGUAUAUGUGAGGUCAUGCAGUUAUCAAACACCACCUACUGCAGUAGUAUUUGAAUCAUCUCAGCGUCAUCUCCUUGAAGAGGUGACACGUGUUUCAAACGACCCUUCAGUUUGGCAUCAAUGGUCUUUUCAUCCUUUUCUUUUUUUCUCUAUCUUGAUUUUCGCACUACCCCUUAAAAAUCUUAAAACAUCCCAUUCAAUUUGUAUUUUAUUAAGAUUUUGUUCUUUUUAUUUUUAUUACUAAUUAUUUUAUUUUGAAUAACUUAUAGAAUUAGAAUUCUUUUUCAAUUUCAUCCCCCUUCAAUUUUUUAACCUUUCAAAUUUGGUCAUCAUUCUUUUAAUUGUUGUUUAUUUUAUUUGAGAUAAUUUUUAAAAUUGAUUUUUUUUCCAUUUUAUCCUCAUUGAGUUUUUUCCUAUCAAAUUUGAUCCUUUUUCUUUUGAUUGGUAUUUUUUAUUUUGAAAGAAAUUUUAAAUUUAUUUUUUUUCAAUUUCAUCCUUGAACAUUAAAUUAAUUGGGAAUUGAGCUUUUCAGUUGAGCUCAGGUCUAGGAUUUCAUGGGCUGCAAGUUUUAAAGAUUAGCCAAGGUUUAGAAGGCUUGCUCGGAUUUGCUUGAUUUUUUUUAUUCAUUUAGGCUUUUUUUUACUUUCAUCCAUUUAUUCAAUUUGAGAUUAAGCUCCAUUAUUUUUAUUUAUUUUAUUGUUUUAGAAUUUUACACUAAUUUUUAAAAUGUACCAGGUUAUUUCAGGUCUUUUUUUUAUUUUUCGUUCUUUGUUGAAUUUCUUUUGCCAAUUUUUUAAAUUGAUAAUUUUUUUAUAAUUUCAUCUUUCAAUAUCUAGAAUAAUUUUUUUAUAAAAUUAGAAUUCUUUUUCAAUAUUGUCAUUUUUGAAUUUCUUAAUCUUUCAAAUUUGGUCCUCAUUCUUUUAAUUGUUAUUAUUUUUAUUUAAGAUAAUCUUUUAAAUUAAUUUUUCUUACAAUUUCAUCCUUAUUAGGCUUUUUCUAUCAAAUUUGAUCGUCAUUCUUUUGGUUGCUAUUUUUCUACUUUGAAAAUUUUUUCAAAUUCAUAUUUGUUUUUCGAUGUCAUCCUUAAACAUUAAAUUAGUUAAAAAUGGGGCUUCUUGAUUGAGCCGUAGUAUGAGAUUUCAAUGUUGAAUGAUAUUGUGAAUUUCACUUUUGCUUCUUCCAAACAUCAUUUUGUGUUAAAAUUGACUAAAAAAUAUGAAGUUCGGGAGUUGAUAAUAACUGGAGAACUUGAGAAUGUUAUAAAGGCAAAUGAAGCUUCUAUUUUACAUCAACCUGAAACAACUAGUUAGGAUUCUCAUUUUAGUUCAAUAAGGAGUUUAAUUGAGUUAUUUGAAACAACAACAACAACAUUGCUAUUAAAGAUUGAAGAAAAUGGACCAAACUUUCAAUUUCAUACUAAGGCUUUCAAAUAUUCUUUUGCCAUGACAACUUUUGACUUUGUCAUUGUCUUACUUUUUACUAACAAAGUUAUGAGAGUUUAUUGAUUUUCUUUAACAAACACUUCAAAGAAAAGAUUAAGAUAUUGUAUAUGCUUUAAAUUUUAUUUCAUAUUCAAAUUUUCAACUUCAAUGUUUGAGGGAUAGCGAUUGGGAUGAUCUAUUUAAAAGUUUGGUAUUUUUUUGUGGACAACAUGAUAUUGAGAUUCUUGAUAUAAAUUCUCCUUAUAAGAUUGAUACAAGUCGUUCUUAUUAAUAAAGAGAUUCUAAUAUAGUUAAGUAUCAUUAUCAAUAUGAUAUAUUUAACACUGUGUAAUAUAUUUUUAACUGAUGGAUUUAAAUCAUAUAUUUUCAUAAAACACAGUGGAGUUGCUUUAUCUUGGAUCAGCAUUGAAUCAUUUUUAUGCCUUCACAUCAUUUAAAAUUGACGAUACAUGUAAGUUUGCUGAGAAAUUAUAUCCUGAAGAUUUUGCUCUUAUGAAUUUACAUGGUUCAAGAAUACAGUUGGAAUAUUAUAAGUUGUCAAUGGAUCAUCCAAACUUUGAGAAUAUUGAUUAUCUUGCUACAUUGUAUCAUCGUUUAGUUGACACAUGCUUGACAAAUGAUUUGGACUUGGUUAGUAGAAUGAUUCGAAUGGUACUAGCUCUUCUUGUUUUUUCAUCAAUGACUAAACAAACCUUUUCAUCUAUGAAGUUCAUUAAAAAUCAGCUUUGAAGUAAAUUGGCCUCUUUAGGCCGACACCAGCACCGUCUCGUUGCCAUUAAGCCUGAGCUGUUCACAGUUGUAGAGAAAUUCCAUUUGCGUGAGUAGUAUUAAUCAAGAUAAUAAAUUUCAAACACCAUCAUCUUCUGGCGACCCUCGUCUGGUACAGCGGCUUAAGGAAAAUAGGAAGCCAAUGAGCUCAAGCAAAUGGACAUGUCCUUCAAACACGAGAGCACCUGCUAUUGCCCGGUCAUUUUACAUGGUCCCACCUAUGCUGGCGAUUAUUCAAUUCUUACUUGUGAGUUUCGUGAACAUUGUAGAAUUGCUUACUCUCCUGUUGGCUUGAAAUGAUUAAUUUUCUGGAUGAGUAUCUCAUAUGCAUUAAAUAAGUGGAUUUCGUUAAUUAUUCUCAUAAAUCUAAUAGUUUGUUUUUUGGUAAGUAAAUUCUGUAAAAUACUUAUAUAAAAAUAGCAUUAUUUAUUAUAGAAAUGUGAUGUAAAUGUCAUUGGUUCAAUUAUGUUAAUGGGUUCGUGAAAAACUCUAACAAGUUUUUUUUUUUUUUAAUUACGAAGAACUAGAAAGUGAGAAGAUUGGACUUAAGUUGCAUGUAUAUAAAAUUAUUAUAAAAAGUGACAUGAACAUUUUUAUACAGGAUAUUUAUUUUUAUUUUUAUUUUUAUUUUUUUAAAGUGAAUUUUAAAAAAUAAUUAAUAGGAUAUCACUGGUUAUUUAUUAAGCAUAAAAAAAUUUAUUUUUGAAAUCUUAAAUUUAUAUUAAUAUGGAAAAAAAUGAAGUUUAAAAAAUUAUGCUAUGUUUAUUUAAUCUUAAAUUAAAAAAAUAAAAUUAAAAAAAUUAGUGUUCACGUCAACGUGAACAGUGUGAGUGAAUAUUAAUUAAUUUACUGUCUAUUUUUUUUUGUUUAAAUAAAAUUUAAAGAAUUAUGCCGUGUUUAUUUAAUCUUAAAUUAAAAAAAGAAGAUAAAGAGAUCACAUUAAGAGUUUUUAAGUAAUUAGAUUAUGAAAACUUUUUUUGUUUUUUUGAACACAUCAAGAGCACUGAAAAACUAGUAAUAUUGUAACAUUAAAGCAUACGUUUCAGUAUUUAGUAUUGUAAAACUGGAAGUAAUUAUUAACAAUUAAUAAUUAACGGCACUACAUAUGCGAGCAGGCUGUCGUUUCUCAUUUUAAUUAUUUCAUCAGAAAUAACAUGUGCCAAUAAAUGUGAGGGUGCUUUUUCUGCUAGCUGCGGCAAGGUUUGUUGCCGACAGUGAUUUUGUUUUCGUUUUUUUUUUUUUUUGUUUUUUCCCUCAUCUUACACUGUUAUUCAAAAAUUUUAGAAUUGUCGGUGCCCGCAUUUUAACUUUGGAUUUUAUUUUUGUUUUUAUUUCUUUUAUAAAAUCUUAAUUUAUUAUUUAAUUUUAAUUUGUGAUAUAUUAUUUUUUUCAAUUUAGUCUUUAUUUUUUUAAUUAUUUUUUUUUCAAGUCCUUUUGUUAAAUUAAUUUUUCUUUUUGGUUUCAUACUUCAAUCAAAAAUUUAUUUUUAUUUUUACUUUAAUUAUGAUCCUAAUUAUUUUAAUUAUUUUUUUAUCCUUUUGUUAAAUUUAUUUUUCUUUUCAAUUUUAUCCUUCAAUCAAAAAUAAAAUUUAUUCUUUAUUUCAAUUUUGAUCAUCAUUCUUUUAAUUAUAACCUUUUGUUUUAGAUCCUUUUAUAUAAUUGAAAUUUCCUUUCUAAUUACAUCUUUCAAAAUUUGAUUUAUUAGGAAUUGAGUUUUUUGGUUUUUAGAUUGGGUGCUCGGGUUUUCUCUAUUUAUUUUAUUUUCGAUAUUGGUUUCUUCAAAAAGACUUGCUUUUGUGAUUUUAUUUUGUUUUCUUUUCUAUCAUAUUAUCUCAAUAUUAUAACUUGGAUUGUAUGUGUGGUGGGAUAACCUGGAUUGACUCAGCUCUGAUUACCCGAGUUACAUGUUUGUCAUGCUAACUCGGGUUGACACAAAUCAUAUUUUUAGAUUUUUUUUUAUCCAACUUCAUCCUUCCAUAUUUAAUGAACUGAGAAUUGAGCUACAUUAUUUGUUCCUGUUUAAAAAAAUAUUUUCUUCAUAGGUUAUCAUGAUCACUUUUUGAAAAAAAAAAAUGAUCAAUCUGCUAUCAUUGUUUUUUUUUUUAUUUAAUUAAAAUAAAACUAAAUUAUUUGAAUUAUUUAGGUUUAUGAUUGAAUAGCGGGUUUUUCUUCUUUGUUUAAAAUGCAUUAGUGGCAUCUAAACAUCAAUUUUUACAUAAAAAAAAUUAAUUUGGACAUGAACAUCGAAUUUCUUCUGCAUUAUAAAUCACAACAUUUCCAUGGCUUUCAAAGUUCAGGAAAAAAAAAAGAUUUUUGCUGGUGUGGAUAAUAAAUGCGAUCAAUACAGCCACACAUACAGAACUAGGCAGCAUCUUUAGUGCUAGAGACACCAUUAUUCAUGUUUAGUCAAAGGAAACUGUAACUGCAAAGCUUAUAAGAGAAAUGGAGAUUGUACAGUAAACCAUAGCGGGCAAUGGAAACAGAGACUGCAAUUAAAACAGGAGUGCAGGAAUUUAAAAAAUGAAAAAGAGGCAAAGAAAUCCCAAAUUCAAAUACAAAAAGAAUAGUAUCUUGAAAAUGAUUUUGAGGAAGAAAUACCUUCGACAGUUCCAAGAAAUCCACUGCAAUUAGUGUUGUGAGAAAUAAGGUUCAAUCUAGUCCCGGGAAGAACGGUUGGAUCAGAAUUGACAUCGUCAACAGCAGCAGCAAUAGCUGGCCCAGCUGCUCUCCCUAUCACUGAAUCGAAGGUAAACAAACUUCCUAUAUUUGCAACACUCGGUCGUGGAGAAGAAGAAGAAGAAACACUAGUUCCAUUUCCAUUUGCAGCUGCCUGACCAAAAACAACUUCCAUGGGCACACAAAUACCAGUAAUCAACAGCAGCAGCAGCAGCAACACUCUUUUCAUCAUCAAAAAUACUCUAGUAGCACAACCACCACCAGCAAUAUUCAAAGACACAUCCAUGGUAACUAACCAAGCUUGCAAUCAAAUUAAAAAUAAAUAAAUGAUUCUCCACGUCAAGCAACCAUUUUGUUUCUUCAAUGUAAUAAGUACCUGCCAAUGAUGAAACACAAGCAGAGACACAUGUUAAUGAACAUCGAAAGCCGAAUUAUGAAUAGCAACAAAAUAUAAUAAAGUAGAAAAACAAGCUGUGGAGCCCACAUGCAAGGGAGGAAAAACAAAGAAGGAAGGAUGUUGCGGUGUAGUGGAAUAUUUUGGUAUGGCUUUAAGCUUUGGCUUAGAUCAGAUUAGAUGUUAGCAUAUAUAAGUGAUUACCUUGAAGCCCAGAUACGGAAACUAGUUUGAACAGUUGAGUGCAUCAUAAUUAAGCUUUGAGGAUGUAAUGAAAAAACAAGGAUCAAGAGAGUGGACAAAAGCUCUAAACAGUCUUGCAAGCUCAAGUAAGGAAUGAUUCUCUCCUUUUAUGUCUGCUUGUUUUAUUAUUCUCUGGUGUGUUUAAGCUUUUUGCAAAGGACCAUGGCUAGCAUUUACUACAAUUUAAUAAUAAUAAUAAUAAUAAUAAUAAGAGUUAAAGUAACUCUAAUAUAAUAUCUUUGGGAUUCCACUCCAAACAUAUAUCAGUUAAAAUUAAUUAUUUUUUUAUAUUUUUAAAUCAUUAAUAUGUUAAUUUCAAAAAUAAUUUUAAAAAAUAAAAAAAAUAUUAUUUUAAUAUAAAAUAUUAUUUUAAUAUAUUUCUAUAUAAAAAAUACUUUAAAAAUAAUUAUUAUCACAUUCUCGAACACCUCUUAAUCUAAUUAUGAACCAAAUUUACUAUUCUAUAUUUCUUUGUGGAGUAGAAAUCCAUCAUGUGAUCCCUCAAGUUUUAAAAAUUAGCUAAAUCACCCUCUUUGUGUCAACUUAUUUUAGGAUUUCUUUUCUCUUUUUUGUUAUUAUAAAGGAGAGAUUCAAACUUAAAGCCUCUUAAAGGAGAGAAGACAGUGAUACUAAUUGAGUUACAACUCUCCUUUUUUAAAAGAAAAUAAAUUAAUAUGAGAUGUUAACCCUCGUGUUUUGAAUUUGUAGUCAAGCAUGUAUGUGGUCAACCCUGGCGACUACAAAGUACAAACUGAACUGUUGUGCCUAAAAUUAAAGUGUAAUGGUCGAUUUAAUCAAUUUCCAAAACUUGAGGUAUCAAGACAUGAAUUUACUUUUUAGAAGAAAAAAAAAUACAUCGAAUGACCCUUCUUGUCGUAGUUUUGAACCCGGCCCGGCCCGGCGGGUUAAUCCGGGGCUGGAACCGAUCCGGGUUGAAGAAAAAACGGGGGAAAGAAAAACCCGGUGUGACCUGGUAGGUUGACCCGGCGACCCAGUCAAGACCCGGUUGCAAACCCGUUGACUUUUGUUUUUUUUACUAAAACAACAUCGUUUUGAUUUAAAAAAAAAAACUGACCCGGCCGACCCGGUAAUCCAGUCAAAACCCGGAACCCGGAUCUUAGACCGGACCGGCCACUUGGCCAGGUCUUAAAACUAUACUUCUUAUUUUGAGAGUAAAUAAUCAUACUCGUAGAAGUUUGGAAGCAUUUCCAUUUAUUCCCAAAUAAUCAUGCCAUUCACGUAUCGUGUCUACUUGUAAUGUAUAUGUAAUAGUCAAUGUACCCAUGCCACGCUUUUGGUGGAAUUCCAAGUCAAUUUCAAAUGCAAAAGGAGAAUAUGCAUGUACUAUAUUAUAGAUGUGUUUUUUAAUCUCAUAAAAUUUGUUAAUUAAGGAAGGAAGGUUUAAUACAAUGAAUUGAAAAAAAUAUAUUAAUAGGUAAAUAAAAAAAUUAUGAAUGUUAAUUAAACAUUGAAUGUUAUUUUUUAAAAAUAAGAAGUAAAAUACAGAUACAAAUACAAACAUUUUACAUCGACAUCAUUUUUAUUUUAUUUAUUUAUUCUGAAGCUAUGAUUACUAAAUACAUAUGAAUUUUAAUUUUAUAAAUACAAAAUACAGAUAUAACUAAUCUAUCUUAAAUCUAAAAUAAAAAAUAAAAAAUAAAUUAUAAUAAUUUUUUUUUGAGGUAUUGCAAAAUUAUAGAAACCAACCAAAACUUUUAUUUCUAUUAAAAAUAGUCAAACUAAACAACUUUAAAAAUGAGAAAGAGGAAAUUAAUUAAGAAUUAAACUAGAAAAAAAAAAACCAAUGAAAAAAAAAGAGAGUCAAGGUUACUUGACCUAGAAGACUAAGCCCACCCAUUUAACCUAAAAGGCAAAAGCCUAUACGGCCCAGUUCUCUAUUCUUUUUUUUUUUUUUAAAAAGGGUAAUAUGUUGUCUUUUCAAAUAUUUUUUUAAAUUAAUCAAACGACAAGUCAUCUGUCUAGAUUGACAACAUAUCAUUCACCAUUAUCUUUUCUAAUCACCUUUAAUGAUCGAAAAAUUAGAGUUUGACUUUUUGUACUCACAAAAACAAUUUUCAACCUGUUUUUAUGAAAAACACCCCUAAAAUACUUGAAACUUCCAUAAACUCAUUCCAACCCUAGAACAUCAUCUAAUCACUAUAAAAAAUGAAAAUCUAAUAUAAGAAUAAAAAAGCUUUACGGACCCUAGUCAUCCUUUUCUAGCAUGUUCAAAGGGCAACACACCACCUUCAUUAAACUCUCCUAUCUAAAACGAACCAAUUAACACACUACACCAUUAAACAGUUUUACCGACAGAUUCAUUCCGUUGGUGUAAGACACACAACUCGUCGGUAAAAUAUUUACCGACGGAAUCCUUUUGUUGGAAUAUUGAUCGUCGGUAAUUCUCCUUUUUGUCGAUGAUUCUGUCGGAAAUAAAAUAAUAAAAAACAAACACCAACAGUCUUACAGACGGGGGAAGCGCGCCAAUUUUUUUUUCUCGCGAGAACUAUACCGACGGACGUGUUUGGUCUGUAUUUCCAACGGUAAAUCACCGACGGACUGGCCGUCAGUGAUUGUGGCAUGGACGGUAAAUAUUUCAAAACUCUCUGUACAAUAUCGACAAAUAUAUUUCGUCGGUAAUAUCAACAACAAACACCGACGAAAUAUAUCAACGGUACACCAAAAUCAGCCUUUUGUGUCCAAAAUAUGGCUUACCAUACCCUUUCUCUUUCCUUUACCUUUUUCCAAUAACUUUAUCUCCCCUUCCUACAACCAAUGACUGAAAUGUAAACGAAAAAAAAAUUAAAGUUUAAGAUUGAAAUAUAAGAACCUAAAACAACAAAGUUCAAAUAUGCAAAAAUUUUAAAAAAGUAAGGGACUAAAGUGAUUUUUUCCAUGUCUUUGGAUAGUAAAGAUGAAGAAAAGGCUCUGUUUUUGUUUAUUUUAUUUUUGGUAAUUAUUCUAACUUUUUUUAACAAUAACCUAAAAUUCCAUUUUGUAAAAUUUUUCUUUCAUGUAAUAUCAAAAUAUUCUUUAACAUCUCGCACACACGAAAGCAUGCGAAUAAAAAAAUGUCAAAAUAUAAAAUCAUGAUAACAUAACUUUUGAAGACGAGAUUAAAAAAAAACCUUUAAUGAUCAAAACAAAAUGAACUAAAAACUUGAGGGUCCUAGAUUGAAAAAUUGUCUAAUAAACAGGGAAAUGAGUGUUGAUAAGAACAAUGAUUUCCUAGACUUUUUUAGUUUAUUAAGUAAUAAUUACACAAAUAAGUAUUUUGUUUUUUGAGUUACAACAAAUAGGUUUGUUAAUACUUAAAAGUUAUUCAAAUAUCAAAGAUAAGAUUUGAUAAGAUCCAUUCAUAUAUCUGAACAAAUUAUGUCUCUUUAAAUCAAAAUUAAUUCCUUAUGCAAUUUUCCACAUAACAAAUACAAGUUAUACAACAUAUGAAACAAGAUGAACAUAACUUGAUUGGAUUAGCUUGAUAUGGAAGUAGCUUUUGUAUUCGUUCAAAUUAGAUCAGAUUGAAGAAUUUAUUCACUUGUUAAGUAAUCAUUAUCCAUUCUAUUUUUUUUUUCUAUUUAAAAAUGAAUAAAUAUGUUAUUUUUAAAAACCAUAUGAAAUCACAUAGUUAAAGUAUUGAAAUAAAUAAAUAUUUAUUCAUUAAGAUAAAAUACAAUAAUAAAAAAAUAUUAAGUGAUAACAUAUAAAAAUCUCCACUCCUCCCUUCACCUAACCUUGUAAAACAUGACUAAUUAACCAAUAGUUAUUUAAACCAUACAAAAACUAAAACCAGCUAUGUCAAAUGACAUUGGUAACCAAUAAGCCAAGUAAAAUCAAGUAUAAUUCAAUCCUUCUAUUUUAAUGAAACUAAUUAAUUAUCAUCAUGAGUUUAGAAACUAUAUAUUCAAUCUUGAAAUUUUAAAAUAUGUUUAUGCAUUAAUAAGAUGGACAAUCCAUAAUCUUGUUUUAUCUUUCUAAAGCUCAUGAUUACACCUCUAAACACUAUAAGAACUGAGGUAUUCAUUGUUAUCAAAGAAAAAUAAUUUGUAUAGUAUCCUCCUUAUAUGUGGGGUAAUACAUAUACAUAAAAUCUCAAUAAAUAUUGUUUAUUCAAUAAGAAUAUAAGACUUGACACAAAAGAUUACAAUGCCUUGAAGAAAUAGGUAAAUAUAUUAAUUUCUAAGGCUACAUCUAACAAUUUAUAUAUAAAAAAAUAGAUGGAGAACUAGUGUUCAUCAUUUAUCUUUACCUAAACUCCUUUCAUAAGCCUAUUACCUUUUAUACCUCAUGAUGGAGAACAAGUAUCAUUUCCAUAUGAGGAUGCUUUGGUAAUAAUCAUUGUCCUUUCCAAUUAUAAAGUAUAAAAUAUGCUCACGAUAAUGGAAACGUGGUGAAUAUUUUCUUAAGUAAUGUUGUAAAUGGAAAUUAACCCCUUCAAGUUAAUCCUUGUUAAAACGCCUCUAAUUGGAAUAAAAGGGAAAAAUUUUCUAAACAAAUGUUUUAUUGAUAAACUAGUAAACAUUGAAACUUAUUUCAAAAGUCUCUCUGCAACAAAUUUUUAUCGUGAUCAAAAUGGACUUGGCUUAUAACUUCAUCAAUGACUAGCCUCUUUUUCAUGGGAUUAGAAUGACAAUCAAUAUCAAAUAUCUAGUUAUGAAAUUUUAUAUUGAAAAAGGAGUUGUCACAGUAAAGAAAAAUCAAUUAAUCUUAAAAAAAUACUUCUCCAUUUGCCUCAAAUAAAGCUAUGUUUAUUGAACAAACAAGGUUUUUUAAAGAGAGGGCAAAGAUAUGGACUAAAGCCAUGAAAAGAUAACCAAUCGACCUCUAUGAAAUAUGUCUUCAUUUACUUUAAAGAUAAGAAAAUUAUGUUUAUAAAACAAAUAAGGCCUCCAAAAAAAGAGACCAAAGAUAUGAAUUGAAGCCAUAAAGGGAAAACUAAUUAGCCUUUAGGAAAUGCACCUUCACUUUUCUUAAAGGCAAGAAAACUAUAUUCAUUGAACAUAUAAGGCCUCUAAAAAAUAGACUAAUUAAAGAUAUUGACUAAGGCUGUAAAAGAUGAAAAAGAAGUAAGUCUCUUUGAACAUGAUACUAGUGUAAUUAUUAAGAUUAGAUUUGCAUUAGACAUCGAGUAGGAGAAAGCCAUCACGAAGCUUUUUAAAAUCCAAAGGGCUAAUUUCACUUUUAAUCCCUCAGAUAUUCUAAGUAUAGACUAGGAUGUGGCCUCCCAUAUAUCAAACAUCAAUUUAUCUCUCAUUUUUACUAGGAAAAAAAAAGAGUUUUAAGGUGAAAGAUAAAAGGUCAUAAUUGAGGAGGUAGAUAAGUUGCUAGAAGCAACUUUCAUUUGAUAAGUAAUGUACUCUGAUUAGCUUGCCAAUAUGAUUAUGGUGAAAUAAUAGUCUUGAAAGAUUAUCAUGUUCUUUUUCAGUCAUUGAUCUGUACCCAUUGCAUCUCCUCCUUUGAUGCUAUUAUAGUAUAAGAACAGUUGGCCUGAAAAACUAGUUUUGAUGUGGAUUUUUCGCUCUAUAUAACAGUAUGUUCAGUGCUGCAAAACGGUUAUUAUUUCAUCCGGGCAAGAGUACAAGUGAUAGGGUGUAAAGGAGGGGUGUUUUUUUUGUCUUAUGUAAAGGAGAAAGGAGGGAGUUUUAAACCUUGCACACACACACACAGAGAGAGAGAGAGAGCACAGUUGCCCAUUCAUUCUGUCUCACGGGAAGUUGGAGACAAUCUACAAUGCUUCCUAAAAUGACUUUGUUUCCUUUAUAUAUAUAUAUAUAUAUCAAAACGAGGUGUUUCAUUUAAAUGAAACAACAUCGUUUUGACGGUUAAGGUUUGAAUUAGGUUAAUUCUUCUUUUUCAAUUUCAAUCUUUCAAUUUAUUCAAUUAGGUCCUUAAUUGAAUUUUAGGAAUCAAUUCAAUUUUACCCCUAUAUAGUUUCAAAAACAUCCCCUGAUUUCAGUGUGUUUUUCAUCUUAGUCCUUGGUUUUGGAUUUAUAAAAAUUGAUCCUCAAUUGAUCAUUUAACCUUUGAUUUUCUUCAAUUUGGCCCAUGAUUUCAUCGAUUUUAGCCCCUGAAGUCUCGCGCCUCUAACAAGUCGGUCCCUGAUCUUGAAGUUCUUUGAUUUUGCUCUUAAUUGACCCUAAAACUUUAUUUUUCUUGCAAUGUUGUCCUUAUUUUCACCCAAUUGACUUUGUAAAAAUUAAAUUUUGUCCUCUAAAAUUUUAAUCUUCUCAAUUAAACCCAAAUUAGGCUUUCAAUCUUAAUUUUUCAUCAAUGAAGUCUCUAGUAAAAUUAAAUUGACCAAUUAAAAGUCUAAUUAAAUCUUUGCACUUAAUUAAAUGUUUUAAUUUGACCCAAAUUAAUUCUUAAACUUAAUUAAAUCUUUAAUUGGACCCAUAAUUAAAUCAAAUUGACCUAUCAAAAGUUUAUUAAGUCCUCAUACUUAAUUUUUAUGUAAAUUCACCUAAUGGUCAUUUAAUUUGGCCUUAAUUUGUAUUGUCUCUCAGUCUUGGAUUCAAUUGGUUUAAUUGGGCUCCAAAUUCUAUUCAAAAUCCUAAUUUAAUUCCUCCAUGUGCUUGAAAUCCUUCUUAGCCUACUCUUGCUAAUAUUUUUUUAUUUUCAUUUUUAUUGUUAUUUUUUGUUACUUCUUAUUUUAUUUUAUUUUAUUGUAUUUUGAAAAUAUUUAGAAACAGAGGGUCAAAAAUUGGGUUAUGACAGAACCAUAGUUUUCUUAUUUCUAUUUUGUGUAUCAGAUCUAGAACACCUUCUAAAACGUUUUGACACAAAUUAUUGAAACAAUGCUCAAUUACUCUUUGUGACAUACCUCGGUUUAAUCUCUUCCACUUUUCAAUGUCAUAUCAGAGCUGACUUUUCUAAUUACUUGUUUAUGGGUAUGGGUAUCGUACCAUAAAUCAUGCAACCUGUUAUAGAAAUUUGUUAAACAAAAAAAAGGCAAGGAAAUAAAAGAAUACAAGUUUACAAUAAUAUAACAUUAGUUGGUUUAAACAUACCUAGUUGCACAAUGGUUUUCCCACAGUCUCCUAACAAGUGUCUUGUUGCUUUUGUCCCACAAAAAAAAAUUUCUUAAUUGAUUUCAUACCUUAAUUAGUUUCCAAAAUUUUAAAAACUAGUAACUCAAAGUAGAUAUUAUUUAAUUAUCUAACCUUAAACUUUCUCCAUCAAACAUUUACCAUGUUCAUCCAUUCAGGAUGCUCAUAAAGCUCACUCUAUUAAAACAAUGGUUCUUUAAACAACCACUUCAUUGUAGAGGUAAUCGAACAUGCAACUUCAAUAUUAGUGAACUUGAAAACCAUUUCAUCAAUGUCAUUUUCAUGUAAUAUAAAACUUAAAAUAACUUAAUACAAUAAAUAACUUCAAUAUUGAGAUAAAAUAUUAAUUAUAUACAAUGGUCGCCUUUCCAUUAUGCAAUAAUUUUAUCUGAAAAAGGCCCUAUCAAAGAAGAGAUGCCUACUAUGUUGUCCUUAUUGGUUAAGCCUUGAUCAGUAACUUUUACAUUAAGUGGUGUGUCCUUAUAAUCAUCAUCUAUAUUAGCAACACAAUCACCGACACUAAUACUUGAUAAAGUAGUAGCGCUCUUAUUAGACUUAAACAUAUUUCUUCUUGAAUAUAUGGUACCAAAAAAGAAACAAUAACAUAAUGACAACACAUACUCAUGAAAUUUAAAUUCAAACUCAUAUAAGCCAAAUUUUAUUUUGCCAAAUUUUCUAAUAAACAUGCUAAGAAAAUUAACACACAGAGAGAGAACAUAAAACAAAAAAUAAAAUAUUCAAAUAUGACUCUAUAACCAUAUAAAAAUAGCAUCUCACUUCAUCAAAAAAUUAACCAAUUACUACAUUUCCUUUCAUAGAUAACACAUCUAAAUUAGUAAUAGCCUUCACAUUUUUAUUUGUGCUACUCCACAACAAGUACAUUUAAGGAAUCCAAAUCAAGCAAAAAAUGAUAACAUUAUCCCUACAUAUAAAAAAACCAUAAUUUCUCAUUUUCCCGUACUUUCUUAGCUACCAAACAAAUAGGUUACUUACAUAAACAAUAAAAAAGAAAUCAUAUUACUAAACGAACAAUCCCCCCCUAGUCACAUAAACUUAGCCAUAAAUUAUCUUCUCUUCACUUCACUAUUUAACCAACCAAGAAACCAUAAUUGAUACUUAAACAAACUCUCUUCACUUCACUAAUCUCUUUUUCUUAGUUAGCUAAAUACUUAAAUUAUAAAUUAUAAAUCAUUACCCCACUUUUCCACCAACCAACCACGAACCCAAAUCAUCAAUAAAAAUAAUCCUCCACUAAACCAAGUAAAAAAAUAAACAUUUAAAACAAUACCUAAAAUUCAAAAAACAAUCUUCCUAUAUUACCAACAUGCAAAAAUUAACAAAACCCAAAAAAACCUAAAUCACAUAAACCAAAUAGCAAAUAAAUUACCUUCAAAUCGGGUAAAAACCAUAGCCCAAACUUAGGAUUUAACUAUGCCAAGUCCUUAGUUUAUUAAAUAAAAAAGAAGAAAUUAAACUUGAGAUGGGUAGAAAAGAGGUAUUAUCAAUGUGGGAUGUGUGAGUGGGGUAGGGGUUACUGUUGUUGUUUUGAUGAUGAUGAAUAACAAGAAGAAGAGGAAGAAGAAGAAAAAGAAAUAGGAAGAUGAGAGGAACUCUUGAGUUUUAAUUCAUUUUAAAAACAUAAAUGAAAAUUCAUUUAGUAAUUUAAAAAUAUUAAAAUACCAAUGUAAUUGUCGAUAAAAUAUUUUUAUUUUUUAUUCUGUUUAUUUUUUCCCAUAAAAAAUUACUGAAGAAAAUCUUUCAUCGUAAUUUCCAUCAGUAAAUAAUUAUGAAACAUUUUUUGUCAUGUUUUUGUUAUUAGUGUAUGCCCACAUCUAUUUGUUUUUGUUACUAUUCUCCAAUUUUUUAGUGGUGUAUGCUCAUGUCUAUGAGCAAGUUGGUUUGUUUUUGCAAGUAUAAAUACUUCAUGAAAAUGUCCGGCAAGGGAGGACACAAAAAAAGAAAUAGAUAGACUCCUACAAGGAGAAAACAUUCUCAUGUGCGGAAAGGUCCAGAAUCCAUCAAGGUUUUCAGCAAGGAAGGAAGAUGAUAAAAACUCUUGCUUAAAAUGAUUCAUGCAUGCAUGUCAUAUAAAAAAGAGAAAAGAAGAGAAAAAUCUUUUGAGAGACUACGACCGUGUCUUCAUCACAAAAUUGGAAAUUGAUUAUCAUCUUUAUAAAUUUAAGAACUCGAGGUCAGUCGGAGCACGUUGCAGGUGAAGUGUUGAACAAUCAAACUGUGAAUUUAAAGGACGAAGGUAGAGUAUACGAAGGUGGAAGUUUCUGACUCAAAAUAAACUUUAUUUAUAUUACAAUCCAUACAAAAAUACCAAAAUCUAUUCAAAAGAUACUCCAAAAAAGAAAAAGAAAAAGAAAACAAAACUGUAGUUAAUUGAGGUGGUGGGGCUGGGACCAAGGUUGUUAAAAUCGCGAUUCAACUCGUAAAAUCGUACGUUUUUACGAGUCAAUAUAGGCUUUACGUGCUAAAUCGUUCACAAAACUCGGAAAUGGGUAAAAUCGGGUCAAAAUCGGGUAAAAUCGUUAAAAUAGGGUGAAAUCGCUUAAAAUCGCGAUUUCACUGCCGAUUCAACGAGUUUGCCCGCAGGAGAUAAAACAGCAAUGUUGAUGACUGGUGUCAACCGCCUAUUGGCUUUAACUGAGCAAAAGUGACAAAUUGACAAUUGCAAAUUCAUCGAGGAUGCACUAUGCAGUCUUCUCUUCACAUUUCUGAUUUCACCAUUCACGUUCAGAACAGAAAAAAUCCCUAAAUUGAAAUCCAUAAGCAUACCAUCAAGCCAUGAAGUUUGGAAAAGAAUUCAAGACCCACCUAGAAGAAACCCUUCCUGAGUGGAGGGACAAGUUUCUCUGCUACAAGCCCCUCAAGAAACUCCUCAAACAAUUACCUUCCACCGUUGAUUCUCCAUAAUUUCUUCACUCUCUGAUCAUGGAAGCAGACGACUUGUCAGUCCUUCACAAAUCACUCUUCGAAGACAAACUCUCUGCCACCGAUCUCUUCUUACAAAAACUCUGUUCUGAUACUUCCAUCAAGUCAGCCCUCCAACGAUUCUACUCGAUUCUAAAACGCGGCGUUUCACUGAUCGAUGAUGAUGCUAAUAAUAGUGAACGCAAGUUAGGGUUUCAAUUAUGGACCGAUUCGCAAAUUCAAUCUGUCGUUUCACUCGGUAUCGCCAUCGUUUCGUCUUCUAGAUCUCUGUCAGGUUGUCUUUUUUACUCGAUUUCCACUUUUAUUUAUUGAUAAUUCUUUUAAUUCAUUUUUCUGUAUGGUUGAAUUUUAAUUAGCAGUUCAGUAGUUAACUUGCUAAUAAUUUCGAUUUUAUUUUAUUUAUUGAUAAUUUUUUAAUUCGCUUUUUUUUUGUAUGGUUGAAUUUUAAUUAGCAGUUUAGUAGUUAACUUGUUCAGUUUUUUUUUUAAUUUUUUCUAAAUAUUAAUUUUCAACUCCAUCCACGCCCUCCUCCGCUCACUGGUGAUGUUCAUGGUAAUACGAAUAGGACUUUGGUGGAUUUGCAAGAAUGGUUUGUUAGAAUUCUUAGUGAAGAGCUUGACAAGUUCAAUGAUUUCUAUGUUGAUAAAGAAGAAGACUUUGUUAUACGCCUUCAGGUUUCUUUCUUGAUUUUUCUUUUCUUUCUUUGUUUUACAUGUUUAUAGCUUUGUGCAUAUGGGUUUUUAAUUUCGAGGCUUUUGUUUAUUAUAGCUCUGGGAAUUUAAGGUAUUGUGGUUUGAUGGUGGCUUUUAAGGUUUUUUCUAUAUGCAUGUCUUGUAAAUCCGAACUCAUAGGUCUGGUUUAAGGGUUUUGUAAGUUUUUGAAUAAUCAGGAGAGGAGUAGAAUGGAGAAGACAUCGUGACUUCAUUGGAACAGGAGAAUAGUGGGAUGUCAAGGAAAAAAGACGCAUAAAAGUGGCUUUCCUUUCCCUGGUAGUGCUGGGUGGUGUUGUCAGAUAGUAUGUGAAGAGGAGAUUGUCGAUGGGAUUGGAGGGGCUUGAUAAAGUUAAGAAUAACUUUUCCAGUUUGUGGAACUUGCUGAAGUAGAGCAGAGUAUUUUGUAGUAUAGUUAUAAGGCCAACCAUCGUCAAUUAUAGCUGACAAUAGGAUUGUUGGAAGUCAGUUGAGGGAAUUGAGGGUGCUGAAAUGAGGAUAUUGAAAUGAAAUGCCAGGUCAUCAAUAUAUGAGAAUUCUUGGGUUAUAACUUAUGAUGAAUGGAUUCUGUCUAUUAUUUGUAAUUUGGAUGAAUGGAUUCGACGAAUGAAUUCUGUCUAUUAUUUGUAAUUUGGAUGAAUGGAUUCUGUCUAUUAUUUUCUGAUUGGAUAAUAAUAUAGAAGAUGGGCUGUUAUGUAUUAUGUUUUUUUUUGACAAAAAUUUAAUUACAAUUAUAAAAUGUUUGGAUUGAUUACAAGGCUGAUUUGAAUUGAUUCUUGAAUUUUUAUUUGAAGCAUGAAUUUUUUUAAUGUAUUUUAAAAUUCCUUACGAUUUUACGAUUUUACGAUCCGUUUUUACGAUCCGAGUUUGUUUUGCAUUUUCCGUGCCGUGUUAAAAUCGCGAUUUUAACAACCUUGGCUGGGACCUCAGUACCUGGUCCUUUCUUUUAUAGCUGUGUGAUAUUUGUCAGUGAAGGUAAGGCCCCCAUGCAGAUGUCCCUUUUUCACUCUUUUUUCUUUUUCCCGACCCCAGAUAUAUGUGGACUGUUUCAUGUUUAUUUUAUUGGACACAUGUAAUAUUUAAUCAAUCUUUGGACAUGUUGUUGCCUCUCUUUUCAUCAUAACUUUUGGGUGUUAAUGAGGGUUGCUUGCAGCAGCAGAUUUAAAAUAAAAAUAAAUAAAUUUUCAUAAAAAAAAAACACGUUGAACCUCAUCCACGAAUAUUAGAUAUGCGUUUACAAUCUCCACGUCUCGUGAUGCUGUCAGACAAAAUCUCCCAUAUUAUAGUAGAUCCAACUCUGUUUUGUGUGGUGUGGCUUCAAAGAUUUUAGCUCAGCCCCACGUUUACAAAAGUUUAUUGUUGCAAUAAAAAAAGAACAUAAUUAGAUGGCAAAAUCUAAAUUAGACCAACCAUAUUAGCUCGAUGUGUGAAUGCAGAUUAGAGAUGCAUCCCAUUAUCUAUGAAAGCUCUUCAGAAUACUUUUAAAAAUGAUACAGAAAGGGAGAGCAUUCCCGCACCCAAUUACAGCACAGGAGCAAGCUCUUACUGGUUCCAACUUCCAAGCCUUAACCCCAAGGAUGGGUCGACGGUCAGCUUGACUUGCUAGCAAUUGAAUUUUAUGUUUUGAAAAAUUGAUUUGAUGCCUAAUAACCAACCAAUGGUAUGCCCCGCAGUGUUUGUCAGGCUAAGCAUAUAUUUCCACGAAAAAAAAUGACAAUCACUACGCUCGCAAUGAUCACCACUUAAAAAUGAUACAGAAAGGGAUAGCAUUCCCGCACCCAAGGGCAGAGGGCAUGUUAAAGGAUACAUGUAAAGAUUUUAUCAAUAUUUUUUAACUAGUUUUAUAUAAAAAUAAAUUUAUAAUUAAUAAUUGAGUUGUUAAAAAAUUUUAAAAAUUUACGUGGAGCCUUUUAAUAUGAUGCUUUACCUUUGGUUAAAAUUUCAGAAUUUUUGAAGAAAUUCAGAGAUUUAAUGAAAAAUCACAAUUUAACUAGUUUUACCUUAUUGGACGUAAUUUUCAAUACGACCAUCAGAUUGAGCUGAAGUUUUACGAGGGAUCUUAAAAUAUAUAGAAUAAAAUCUGGUUAAAAUUUUAGGAUGAACAGAGUUUUAUUUGCCAUUAAAAAAUAAAACAAAUCAACUCUUUCUUUUUUUCAUAUGUUGCCGACCGGUCAAAAGUAGAAUAAAAAAAAAACCAAAAGAAAAAGUGUGAGAGAAAGAGAGAAAAGUAAGGGAAAACUAAAUAUAAAAAAAAAUUCAAGGAAAAAAAAUAAGAAAAGUGAGAGAAUAACCUUGUAAACUUACAAAGUCCAACUUAUAAAACACUAAUCUAAGGAAGAAUCAAGUGAAGGAAGGAGGAAUUGAGAGAGGAAAAAAAUUUAAUUACUUUCUUUUCCAGUUGACAUGAGAUUGUUAUUUUAUCUCGGUUGAGGGGUUGUUAUAAUAUUGAUUCAGAUUCGAUUAUAGAUGAAUUAUAUUUUACAAAACAUCGAAGGAUGUAACUUCAAUAGUUGAUUUAUUUUUACUUUCACUUCAAUUUUAUGUACUUUCAAAUUUAUUUUUUAAUAUUUUAGGUAGUGUAUUUGAAUUAAAACUUUACUGUUAACUUUAAAAAUUCAUGUACAUGAGUUAAUAAUUAAUUUUAAAAAUAUAUAUAUAUUUAAUUAAUAGCUCAGGGCAAGAAAAAUUCCUGACUCGCCUUGCCCGCACCCAUUUACAGCACAGGAGCAAGCUCUUACUGGUUCCAAAUUCCAAGCCUUAACCCCAGGGAUGGGUCGACGGUCAGCUUGACUUGCUAGCAAUUGAAUACUAUGUUUUGAAAAAUUGAUCAGGUCGUCUGUAUCCUAAUAACCACCCAGUGGGAUGCCCCGCAGUGUUUAUCGGGCUAAGCAUAUCUUUCCACGAAAAAAAAAUCAAUGUGCAGUCAAUUUAUUAGUAUUGGGAUGAUAGGUGGGCAGUUUUUUUUAUGAACGAAGGCUGGUAGUUAGGUGGCUAGUGCAGAAUUCUGGUAUAUUAAUUUGUCCUGGCUCAGAGAUACUUUUCAUUGUUGAAGCCUGAAGAAGAUGUCCAAUCCUAAACAUGUUUUCCUACAAUAUCUUGGUCCUGUUGGCUACAUCACAGAAACAAGAGCACUGCAAGAGUAAAAUACUCAUCAAUGACAUCAACUUGCAAGCGACAGCCGCGACUGCCACAUCCAACUAUCCAUAAUACCAAAUUUUAUUCUAGGAUUUGUUGGAAUUAUAUAUUUUGGAGAUUUAUAGUUCACCUUUCCAGGUGUUUUUUUAGUAAUGGUCUAUUUACUUAAUUCAUUAGGAUUUAUGCUAAAUAUCCUUGAUUAUAAUAAAUAUAUAUGAAGAAUUAUGGACUACAUGUAUGUUUUGGUUAUUUAAAUGAUGCAAGCUUGAAACCUUUUCUUAUAGGAUUAGGUUUGUUUAUCUAGGAUUUGUUGAUUAGGAAAGAAUUAGCUUGACUAAGAUUGGGUGCUUUAUGUUAAACUUGGAUUAAUUUUUUUGUUUUAAAAGAAAAAAAUCAACAAAAUCAUUUAUUUUUAAGGAUUAACGUGCGUCAAAUUUAUCGACGAGUCUUCUAUUCAUAGGAACCAACAUUAUUUUUAAAAAUAAAUCAUGAAUAAGUUUAGAAAUAUAUCUAAGUAAUUAAUGGCAUGUAUAGAAUAAAUUUAUGAGAAAACACAUAGUAAAAUAACAUUUUUUUUCAUUUGAAAAGAUAUUGUAAAGGUGAUAUUUAUCUUUUCUUAAGCAUAAUUAACUAACUUAGUAGCUGAAUCUUUGAGACCGGUGUCAAUUUUAGAAUUUUUAGUUUUUUUUUUAAUUAUAUCAUAUAUAUUCAUAGUGAUGUGAUAACUAUGUUAAUGUACGAAACCGGGUUAGAUUUAAAAACAUUGUAGAAUAGAUCCCAUGAAAACAUAUAACAUUACUUUAUAUAAUAUUACAUGUGAUGGAAACAGGUACUAAAGCAGGCAUAAAAAAAAGUAAAAAUAACCAUCAUAAUAUUUCAUUACUAAUUAUUUGUCCAUUGCAUAGAGAAAUAACAUAAUAUUAAUGGGUAGAGAUAACAUAUAUAGUAGUGGAUAAUAUAUAUAUAUAUAUAUAUAUAUAUAUAUAUAUAUAUAUAUAUAUAUAUAUAUAAUUUGCAAUAUCAUAGAGGUGAUAUGCAAUAUCUAAACCCUUUCAUGCAUAUAUAAUUAAGGCAAGGCUAGCAACAUAAGACAGCUAAAUAUCCAUUAGAAUUUUAAUGGAGUCUUGAUGACCAGAGGUUUGAACCCAUGUUGGAUACUUGCUUGCCAAACUUUGUCAAUGUCAGCCAUGGUAGAACCGCAUUCAUGCUCGUCCCAUCCUUCCAAGGCAUGCACUAUUCCAGCCACACGCCAUGCGCUCAUCACUCUUCUUGGCAGCCAAUUCUGUCAUCAAGUAUUUUGCAAUACAAAUUAAUUAUCUUUCCUAAAUUAAGAAAAUAAUGCAAAUAGUACUUUAAUUUUCUGCAAUAUUUGACUAAUUAAUUACCUCGCAAGAGUCCACAUUUUCAAGAGAUGCAGGGGCUGCCAUUACUGGUAUGCUGUGAUAGAAGCAAUCCUUGCGCAAUUUCUUUGGGGGAAAUUGCGAGAAGGGAAUAAAUAAUGUUCCUUCUGCUGCUUGUUUUUGGUCCUCUUCUUUCAAUCCAUCCCCAACUAACCACGUCUACACAACAAAGUUUAUUAUGAUAUUAGAAAUGUCAAUAUAUAUAUAUGCUACUUAAAUAAUUUAAGUUGUAAUUUUAUUUUAUUUUUGACAAAAAAAAAUUGAUUUCUAAUUCCUUGGUAGCUAAUGAAAGCAUACCUUUAUUGAAUAACUCUUUGAAAGAAUUAGAUUGUUCUGAUCAGAUGUGAUGCCGAAAGAUUUUUUAAGUUUCUGGUAAUCAUCCUCACAUGGUACAACUACCUAAAAAAUCAGUGAAAAUAAUCGUAAUAAUUAGGAAUUAUAAAUUAAAACAUGACCAUAAAUUAAAUUUGCCUAUACAAUCAAUUUAAAUAAAUUACUGUCAAAUUGAAGCAAGUGACAACCUGUGCCUAUUUGCCUAGUAGACAACAACAAUACCUGGAUUCCCCUCUGGCAGAGAUUUAAAGCAACAGCAUAGGCAACCUUAGAGAGAUUGCCUCUAUGAAGCACUUGUGUUGUUCCUUUAGGUAUGCUAUUCAGCACUGCAGCAACGGCUAGACUGCUUCCAUCCACCACCUUCGUUUUGAGCCUGGGAUGCCUUUGCACAUAAAGUUCACCAUACCUAUUAAGCUCCUCUCCCUGCAUAAUUUAUGUUUGAACAUGAUGAAGAUAUAAUUAAUAAUUUAUGGUAUCCAUGAAAUAUGGGAAAUUGAAAAGAAAAAAAAAAACCCUAUAAACUCAACUACGUGGCAUCUAGUAAUGGCCGUUCUAAAGUAACCACCACUGUUUUUUUUUCCCUAGAAAUGCAUUAUAUUGAAGUGCUUGCCUGAUUCAAGAGACCGAGACUUAACACUUUAACACCUUUUUCCUCAGCUUCAAGUACAGCUUCUUCAAUCAAGGUAUUUAUGGAUACUUUUUGCCAUCGCAAGUUGUACUGCCAAAAAUUAGAUAAGCAAAUUAAGGAGAACAGAUUAAACUGAACGCCCUUGAUUAAUCAAUGACAAAGAAAUAUCCUUCUUAAUUACUUGAAUAUUGUAUUUUGGUAAGGUCCACGUCUGUAAUCUGAGUUUGUGGAAGCGAUUCCUCUCGACAACAAAAGUGCGUCCAUAAGUCCAAGUUAACAUCAUGGUCCACAAGGUCACCGGCCACAUUAACCAUAGAUACCACUUCGAUUCUUGAGGGUUGGAAGCCAAGCAGGCAAGUCCAAGCCGUAAAUGAUAGAUGGAAUCUGGUGUGGUAAGAUGAGUUAGAUGCACUACAUCAGGGGCUUCCUCGGGUCUCUUGAGCGAAUCUUCAUAGAGGGUAACAGAAGACGUGUCCAUUGUGCCAUAGAUGUAAUCAUAGAUGGGCAUGAAUAGUGAGUAAUUGGUUCUGAAUUGAGUGUGGUGAAGAGAGUGGUACCUGCAGCCAUAUCAAGUGUUUAUUAGUUCAUCAUGGAGGGAGUAACUAGUUCUAAACUGGCUUUGGUGAAGAGAGUUGGAACUUGCAGCUGCAUCAAAUGUUAAAUCAUGCAUUCGCGCUUAUCAGAUAUUGUUUUGAACACUGAUUAAUAGACAACGCAAUAAUGCACUGUCAGUGAAAAUAUAGUGGAAAAGGUGAAAUGUACGCGUCAAAGCUAUUAAAAUACAGUAUAAAAUCACAAAACGAUACUAUGGAAUUAUAAUUAACAGAGUAUUUUCCAUAGACGACUGUAUAUUCUUUUCAUCUUCUUUUUAUGCAAAAUUUGGUGAAUCAUUUUCCUGCUUUUUGUUCAUAAGUAUGGAAGAAAUCCCAUUAAUAAAACGAAGAGGAUACUGGUGAGAAUUAAUGAUUGAAAAUGCAAAAAAUCAACUGAGAUACAUCUAGACUUACGAUGGGGUGUACAUGAGGUACUUGAGAGGGGGGAAAAUGAUGAAGAGCCAUCUGGGAAUGAGUUCAAAGUUGCAGUGACCCAUGUUGUUCAUCAAGUCGAUGUAAGUGAUAUAACCAGCAAAGGAUGUUAAAGAGGCUGUCCCCGUCACAAUAGUCGUUAUCAAAGGUAUUGCGAAUAGCAUGGAGUAGGAUAUGUGCUCGGCGAAUGGAUGAAUCACAGCUGCGAUGCAGAUUUCCAGAAAGAAAAUGUCAAAUAAUUACACUUACUGUAUAUCAUCAUCAUGUAUUGCUAAUAGUAAUGGAGAAUGGUAUGCGUUCCCCUCAAUCACACAAGAUUUUUCUUCCGUUAUUAUAAAAAUACUCGAACUUAAAACCUUCUAUGAAAGGUCAAUUAAACUAAGUUUAUCAACGAUCACACAAGAUUAUUAAUAAUUCAAAUGCACACCAUAUAUAAAUGUGUGUCAUUCUUCUUAAGGAGUACUUAAGAGAUUAACUAUUCACUUUGAAAUUCUUAAAUAACUUUUAAACCACCAACACCAUAUAUACAUGGGGGCCGGGGGUGUUUGGAGGGAGACUUACAAGUAAUGGGCUCUGUGACAAUGGAGGAAUGGUGGUGGGAAUGAUAGCGAGAGUAGAGAUAGUGGUGAUGAAGAAGUCGAUGAAGCCAAUAAUACAGAAAUUCCACCGGACCCAUAUGAAUCAGAGCUGUUAGAAUUACACCAUCUAACCUCCACAUGGGGAGAUGGCUAGCUCCUGGAAUUAUUUUGCUACCAACGUAGAAUAAAAUUCCAUUGAACAAUAUUUGGUCAUCCCUGCGGAUAUCCAACCAGAAAAUCCAAGUAUCAAAAAACUCACAAGCACUAGCUAGAGUGGAAAUUAAUGCAUGAAAUUAUUGAAAAAGUAUAUAUAUAUAUAUAUAUAUAUAUAUAUAUAUAUAUAUAUAUAUAUAUAUAUAUAUAUAUUUGAUUAUACAAAUACCAGUUGCUUUCUCUAUCAACUUGAUCAAAUUCAAUGCCUUUGUCAAUAAUCCUGUUAUUUCCUUUGGCUGUUCUGUAACGGGACAGGCUGAUCCAUAACUGGUUGUGAAGCACUCUCCACAACAGAAUUGGGAAAAUGAGAAAGCUUGGGAGAUCUUUUUCAUCUUUAACCAUGAAGGCGUAGAUGUUGUGAAUGACACAAGGAGCCAAUAUUACAUGCUGCAAUAUUUAAACACACAAACAAAACACAGAUAUAUAUUAUUGUUUUAGGGUUAUGAUAUAUUAACGUUGUUUGCACGAAAACGAGUUACUCUACGUGUGAUAUCAGAUAACGAGAAGAAAAGGAGCGAGAGAGAGAGAUGGGAGGGAUUUCCAUAUGACCUUAAAGCUUCCAAGAGGUUUCCAUGGCCAGUCUGUGAGAAUUCCAGGCCGAGAAGCCAUCACUUCACUGCUACUACUUGUCUUUGUUUCCUCGCUUGUAGGGAAGUCGUGUAUAUAUAGACGAUGAGUAAUAUAUUUUCUUUAGCGUUAACGUUAUAAUUAUUGAUGAGUAAUGUUUUUUUAAUAACAGUACUGCCGCUCGAUCAAGUUAGAGCUGAGUAAAUUAUAAAUUAAUCCUUUUAAUUUUGGAAAAUAAAUUAAUUAGUCAUCUUCUUAAAAAAAAAAACAAAUUAUUCAGUUUUUUUUUAUCUAUUAUAUGUUAUUUUCUAAAUUAUGUUUUAAUAAAUAAAUAGAUAUUAUGGAAAGAUUGAUGAGAAAAGUAGAUAUUUUUGUAAAUAAAUUAAUAUGAAAGUAAGCAUGAUUAACAAUGAUAAGUGAUUAAAUAAUUAAAAUAGAUUGGUCAACCAUAUUUGUAAAACGAUACAUGUUUCAAUAUACUAAACUCUCUUGCAGGGUAUUUUUUGUCUUUUUACCAUGCUUUCUUUUUAUUAAUAUCAAGGUUACUCAUGAUGAUUAUUAUAUAUAAUCAUAUAUUAAAUAUUAUUAAAAAAAAUUUAGUUUGUGCGUCGAGCUAAUAAGCAGGCGUCAUGUCAUUUGGACAGUAUAUGUGAGGUCAUGCAGUUAUCAAACACCACCUACUGCAGUAGUAUUUGAAUCAUCUCAGCGUCCUCUCCUUAAAGAGGUGACACGUGUUUCAAACGACCCUUCAGUUUGGCAUCAAUAGUCUUUUCAUCCUUUUCUUUUUCUCUCUAUCUUGAUUUUCGCACUACCCCUUAAAAAUCUUAAAACAUCCCAUUCAAUUUGUAUUAUAUUAAGAUUUUGUUCUUUUUAUUUUUAUUACUAUUUGUUUUAUUUUGAAUAACUUAUAGAAUUAGAAUUCUUUUUCAAUUUCAUCCCCCUUCAAUUUUUUAACCUUUCAAAUUUGAUCAUCAUUCUUUUAAUUGUUGUUUAUUUUAUUUGAGAUAAUUUUUAAAAUUGAUUUUUUUUUCAUUUUAUCCUCCUUGAGUUUUUUCCUAUCAAAUUUGAUCCUCUUUCUUUUGAUUGAUAUUUUUUACUUUGAAAGAAAUUUUAAAUUGAUUUUUUUUUCAAUUUCAUCCUUGAACAUUAAAUUAAUUGGGAAUUGAGCUUUUCAGUUGAGCUCAGGUCUAGGAUUUCAUGGGCUGCAAGUUUUAGAGAUUAGCCAAGGUUUAGAAGGCUUGCUCAGAUUUACUUGAUUUUUUUUAUUCAUUUAGGCUUUUUUUUUAGUUUCAUCCAUUUAUUCAAUUUGAGAUUAAGCUCCAUUAUUUUUAUUUAUUUUAUUUUUUUAGAAUUUUACACUAAUUUUUAAAAUGUACCAGGUUAUUUUAGGUCUUUUUUUAUUUUUUGUUCUUUGUUGAAUUUCUUUUGCUAAUUUUUUAAAUUGAUAAUUUUUUUAUAAUUUCAUCUUUCAAUAUCUAGAAUAAUUUUUUUAUAAAAUUAGAAUUCUUUUUCAAUAUUGUCCUUUUUGAAUUUCUUAAUCUUUCAAAUUUGGUCCUCAUUCUUUUGAUUGUUAUUAUUUUUAUUUAAGAUAAUCUUUUAAAUUAAUUUUUCUUACAAUUUCAUCCUUAUUAGGCUUUUUCUAUCAAAUUUGAUCGCCAUUCUUUUGGUUGCUAUUUUUCUACUUUGACAAAUUUUUCAAAUUCAUAUUUGUUUUUCGAUGUCAUCCUUAAACAUUAAAUUAGUUAAAAAUGGAGCUUCUUGAUUGAGCCAUAGUAUGAGAUUUCAAUGUUGAAUGAUAUUGUGAAUUUCACUUUUGCUUCUUCCAAACAUCAUUUUGAGUUAAAAUUGACUAAAAAAUAUGAAGUUCGAGAGUUGAUAAUAACCGGAGAACUUGAGAAUGUUAUAAAGGCAAAUGAAGCUUCUAUUUUACAUCAACCUGAAACAACUAGUUAGGGUUCUCAUUUUAGUUCAAUAAGGAGUUUAAUUGAGUUAUUUGAAACAAUAAGAACAUUGCUAUUAAAGAUUGAUGAAAAUGGACCAAACUUUCAAUUUCAUACUAAGGCUUUCAAAUAUUAUUUUGCCAUGACAACUUUUGACUUUGUCAUUGUCUUACUUUUUACUAACAAAGUUAUGAGAGUUUAUUGAUUUUCUUUAACAAACGCUUCAAAGAAAAGAUUAGGAUAUUGUAUAUGCUUUAAAUUUUAUUUCACAUUCAAAUUUUCAACUUCAAUGUUUGAGGGAUAGCGAUUGGGAUGAUCUAUUUAAAAGUUUGGUAUUUUUUUAUGAACAACAUGAUAUUGAGAUUUUUGAUAUAAAUUCUCCUUAUUUGUUUGAUACAAGUCAUUCUUAUUAAUAAAGAGAUUCUAAUAUAGUUAAGUAUCAUUAUCAAUAUGAUAUAUUUAACACUGUGUAAUAUAUUUUUAACUGAUGGAGUUAAAUCAUAUAUUUUCAUAAAACACAGUGGAGUUGCUUUAUCUUGGAUCAAUAUUGGAUCAUUUUCAUGCCUUCACAUCAUUUAAAAUUGACGAUACAUGUAAGCUUGCUGAGAAAUUCUAUGCUGAAGAUUUUGCUCUUUUAAAUUUACAUGGUUCAAGAAUACAGUUGGAAUAUUAUAAGUUGUCAAUGGAUCAUCCAAACUUUGAGAAUAUUGAUUAUCUUACUACAUUGUAUCAUCAUUUAGUUGACACAGGCUUGAUAAAUGAUUUCGACUUGGUUAAUAGAAUGAUUCGAAUGGUACUAGCUCUUCUUGUUUCUUCAUCAAUGACUAAACAAACCUUUUCAUCUAUGAAGUUCAUUAAAAAUCAGCUUUGAAGUAAAUUGGCCUCUUUAGGCCGACACCAGCGCCGUCUCGUUGCCAUUAAGCCUGAGCUGUUCACAGUUGUAGAGAAAUUAAUUCCAUUUGCGUGAGUAGUAUUAAUCAAGAUAAUAAAUUUCAAACACCAUCAUCUUCUGGCGACCCUCGUCUGGUACAGCGGCUUAAGGAAAAUAGGAAGCCAAUGAGCUCAAGCAAAUGGACAUGUCCUUCAAACACGAGAGCACCUGCUAUUGCCCGGUCAUUUUACAUGGUCCCACCUAUGCUGGCGAUUAUUCAAUUCUUUUUUUUUAGUUUAACGUAGGUGUCCGGAUUAGCUUGCAUGUAUUUCGACUAAUCCCACGGGUCCUGAAGUUAACGACCAUGUAAGCCUCCAGUGGCCAUCAUAUGAACAACCACAGGGCUCGAACCUGAAACUACAGAGAAAGCAAACCUCUUGGUCCCAAACUUUUACCACUGGACCACCACCUAAAUGGUUGCGAUUAUUCAAUUCUUAUUGUGAGUUUCGUGAACCUUAUAGAAUUGUUUACUCUCCUGUUGGCUUGAAAUGAUUUUUCUGAUGAGUAUCUCAUAUGCAUUAAAUAAGUGGAUUUCGUUAAUCAUUCAUAUAAAACUAAUAGUUGGUUUUUUGGUAAGUAAAUUCUGUAAAAUACUUAUAUAAAAAUAGCAUUAUUUAUUAUAGAAAUGUGAUGUAAAUGUCAUUGGUUCUAUUAUGUUAAUGGGUUCCUGAAAAACUCUAACAAGUUUUUUUUUUCUUUUUAAUUACAAUGAACUAGAAAUCUUAAGUUGCAUGUAUAUAAAAUUAGUUUAAAAAGUGAUAAGAAUAUUUUUAUAUAAAUUUUUUUAUUUGUAUUAUUUUAAUUUUUUUUAAGUGAAGUUUAAAAAGUAAUUAAUAGAUAUAGUUGGUUAUUCAUUGAGUACUAUAAUUGUUUUUUGAACGCUUGAAUUUAUAUUGAUAUAGAAAAGAAUGAAGUUUCAAAAAUUGUGUAGUAUUUAUUUAAUCUUAAAUUUUAAAAAAAUGGAUAGAGAGAUGACAUUAAAAGUUUUUAGGUAAUUAGAUUAUGAAAACUUUUUUGUUUUUUUGAACGCAUCAAGAGCACUGAAAAACUAAUAAUAUUGUAACAUUAAAGUAUAUGUCUCGGUAUUGUAAAAACCGGAAGUAAUUAUAGCAAUUAAUAAAGGUACUACAUUAAAAAAAAAAAUAAGAGGAUGUUUUUCAGGGACAUGCGAGCAGGCUGUCUUUUCUCACUUUAAUAUUUCAUCAGAAAUAACAUCUCAAUAUAUGCCAAUAAAUGUGAGGGUGCGUGCGUUUUCUGGUUAUUCAACCUGGAUCAGCCUGAUAGGUGAUCCGAGACUUGAUUAAUCUAGUAGUUGAACCAAUUUAGAUAAGUUAAAAGAUUAGGGUAAGUAAAAACCCGGCAAAACCCGGAUGACCCCUCAGGUUAACUUGUAAGCCGGGCAACCCGGCAAAACCCAGUUUUUUUUUUUUCAAAUGUGUUUUUUUUUCUAGCCAAAGACCCCUCUUUUUUAUAUAUAUAUUUGGUUAAUUAUUAACCCUUUUCAAAGUUCACUAUAUAAAUACUAGAAGAAUGUUUUAUUUUUUCAAUAUGAGAUUUGAAACCUUUUAAUAUAUAUAUAUUCUAUGUUUACAAGAAAAAAAUUAUUUUUUCAAUAUGGGAUUUGAAGCUUUUUAGUAUAUAUAUUCUAUGUUCACAAGAAAAAAAGUUAUGUUUUUUCAAUGUGGGAUAAAAAACCUUUUUGGUUUAAAUACUUCAACUUAAAAGGAUAACAUACUAACAUAGUUUCUUUUGAAUGUGAGAUAAAAAAAUCUUUUGAAAUAAUUUUUUAAUCUUUAUUAUUGAUAAUAUGUAUAGUUGUCACUGGGUAAAUUUUUCGCUCCACAAAUAAACCCGUGUGGCAGCCUAGUCCCCACUAGACUCAGCCUUUCCUCACAAAUCUCACUCGUGUUUGCCUAGUAACUAAGUAUUUCCCUCACUCAAGAGGUUUUCCCCACUUUCACUAGUUAAAAGACAAGCAGAAUACACAAGUAAAAUAAGUUAAUUAAAGUACACAACAAACUUUACAUGAACUAUUUCUCAACCUUUAUUAAUCUCGUAAACAAAGGAAACACUAUACACAAAUCCCAUGUGUGCUAUGCACAAAGAUUGCAUGCUACACCAAGCUUACAUGCUCUAUUUCAUGCUCCUACAUGCUCUCCCAACCAAGAGUUGCAACAACUAUUUAUAGACAAGCAUUUACAAGGGAUAAUUUUAGCUGACUUUGGACCCGAUUUUCUCCUCUCUCAGACCCUCAAAAUCACCUUUAUUUAUAGAUGAUGGAAGAGGAAAAUCUUGUCUACACUUGGGGAAAAUUUCAGCCCAUAAUUCACUUGGAAAAAAUCCUAACUGUUGGUUCAAAAUAAGAAUUCUGAGUUGUCAAAUCUGCAGAAAAAACAAACUGAAUUGCCCUCUUUAGACCGGCACCAGCUCCGUCUCGUUGCCAUUAAGCCUGAGCUGUUCACAUGAGGUUGUCGAGAAAUUCCAUUUGUGUGAGUAGUAUUAAUCAAGAUAAUAAAUUUCAAACACCAUCAUCUUCUGGCGACCCUCGUCUGGUACAGCGGCUUAAGGAAAAUAGGAAGCCAAUGAGCUCAAGCAAAUGGACAUGUCCUUCAAACACGAGAGCACCUGCUAUUGCCCGGUCAUUUUACAUGGUCCCACCUAUGCUGGCGAUUAUUCAAUUCUUACUUGUAAGUUUCGUGAACCUUGUAGAAUUGCUUACUCUCCUGUUGGCUUGAAAUGAUUAAUUUUCUGGAUGAGUAUCUCAUAUGCAUUAAAUAAGUGGAUUUCGUUAAUCAUUCUCAUAAAUCUAAUAGUUGGUUUUUUGGUAAGUAAAUUCUGUAAAAUACUUUUAUAAAAAUAGCAUUAUUUAUUAUAGAAAUGUGAUGUAAAUGUCAUUGGUUCAAUUAUGUUAAUGGGUUCGUGAAAAACUCUAACAAGUUUUUUUUUUUUUUUAAUUACGAAGAACUAGAAAGUGAGAAGAUUGGACUUAAGUUGCAUGUAUAUAAAAUUAUUAUAAAAAGUGACAUGAAUAUUUUUAUACAGGAUUUUUAUUUUUAUUUUUAUUUUUUUAUAAUGAAUUUUAAAAAAUAAUUAAUAGGAUAUCACUGGUUAUUUAUUAAACAUAAAAAAAUUUAUUUUUGAAAUCUUAAAUUUAUAUUAAUGUGGAAAAAAAUAAAGUUUAAAAAAUUAUGCUAUGUUUAUUUAAUCUUAAAUUAAAAAAAUAAAAUUAAAAAAAUUAGUGUUCACGUUAACAUGAACAGUGUGAGUGAAUAUUAAUUAAUUCAUUGUCUAUUUUUUAAAAAAAAAUAAAAUUUAAAAAAUUAUGCCAUGUUUAUUUAAUUUUAAAUUAAAAAAAGAAGAUAAAGAGUUCACAUUAAGAGUUUUUAAGUAAUUAGAUUAUGAAAACUUUUUUUGUUUUUUUGAACACAUCAAGAGCACUGAAAAACUAGUAAUAUUGUAACAUUAAAGCAUACGUUUCAGUAUUUAGUAUUGUAAAACUGGAAGUAAUUAUUAACAAUUAAUAAUUAACGGCACUACAUAUGCGAGCAGGCUGUCGUUUCUCAUUUUAAUUAUUUCAUCAGAAAUAACAUGUGCCAAUAAAUGUGAGGGUGCUUUUUCUGCUAGCUGCGGCAAGGUUUGUUGCCGACAGUGAUUUUGUUUUCUUUUUUUGUUUUUUUCCUCAUCUUACACUGUUAUUCAAAAUUUUUAGAAUUGUCGUUGCCCGCAUUUUAACUUUGGAUUUUAUUUUUGUUUUUAUCUCUUUUAUAAAAUCUUAAUUUAUUUUAAAUUUUAUUAUUUAAUUUUAAUUUGUGAUAUAUUAUUUUUUUCAAUUUAAUCUUUAUUUUUUUAAUUAUUUUUUUUUCAAGUCCUUUUGUUAAAUUGAUUUUUCUUUUUGGUUUCAUACUUCAAUCAAAAAUUUAUUUUAAUUUUUAUUUUAAUUUUGAUCCUAAUUAUUUUGAUUGUUUUUUUAUCCUUUUGUUAAAUUAAUUUUUCUUUUUAAUUUUAUCCUUCAAUCAAAAAUAAAAUUUAUUCUUUAUUUCAAUUUUGAUCAUCAUUCUUUUAAUUGUAACCUUUUGUUUUGGAUCCUUAUAUAUAAUUGAAAUUUCUUUUCUAAUUACAUCUUUUAAAAUUUGAUUUAUUGAGAAUUGAGUUUUGUGGUUUUUAGAUUGGGUGCUCGGAUUUUCUCUACUUAUUUUAUUUUCGACAUUGGUUUCUUCAAAAAGACUUUAAAAAUAAAUCAGUUAAAAUUAAUUAUAUUUUUAUAUAUUUUUAAAUCAUUAAUAUGUUAAUGUCAAAAAUAAUUUUAAAAAAUAAAAAGUAUAUUAUUUUAAUAUAUUUCUGUGCAAAAAAUACUUUGAAAAUAACCACCAUCACGCUUUCAAACACUUAUAUAAUGAACCAAGCUUACUAUUUUAUAUUUCUUUGUGGAGUAGAAAUCCAUCAAGUGAUCCCUCAAGUUUUAAAAAUUAGCUAAAUCACCCUCUUUAUUUCAAUUUAUUUUAGGAUUUCUUUUCUCUUUUUUGUUAUUAUAAAGGAGAGAUUCAAACUUAAAGCCUCUUAAAGGAGAGAAGACAGUGAUACUAAUUGAGUUACAACUCUCCUUUUUUAUAAGAAAAUAAAUUAAUAUGAGAUGUUAACCCUCGUGUUUUGAAUUUGUAGUCAAGCAUGUAUGGUCAACCCUGGCGACUACAAACUGAACUGUUGUGCCUAAAAUUAAAGUGUAAUGGUCGAUUUAAUCAAUUUCCAAAACUUGAGGUAUCAAGACAUGAAUUUACUUUUUAGAAGAAAAAAGAAUACAUCGAAUGACCCUUCUUGUCGUAGUUUUGAAACUCGGCCCGGCCCGGCGGGUUGACCUGGGGCUGGAACCGAUCCGGGUUAAAGAAAAAAUGGGGGAAGGAAAAACUCGGUGUGACCCGGCGGAUUGACCCGGCGACCCAGUCAAGACCCGGUUGCAAACCCGUUGACUUUUGCUUUUUUUACUAAAACGACAUCGUUUUGAUUUAAAAAAAACUGACCCAGCCAACCCGGUGAUCUGGUCAAAAUUCAGAACCCGAGCCUUAGACCGGACCGGCCACCUGACCGGGUCUUAAAACUACGCUUCUUGUUUUGAGAGUGAAUAAUCAUACUCGUAGAAGUUUGGAAGCAUUUCCAUUUAUUCCCAAAUAAUCAUGCCAUUCACAUAUACUUAUCGUGUCUACUUGUAAUGUAUAUGUAAUAGUGAAUGUACCCAUGCCACGCUUUUGGUGGAAUUCCAAGUUAAUUUCAAAUGCAAAAGGAGAAUAUGCAUGUACUAUAUUAUAGAUGUGUUUUUUAAUCUCAUAAAAUUUGUUAAUUAAGGAAGGAAGGUUUAAUACAAUGAAUUGAAAAAAAUAUAUUAAUAGGUAAAUAAAAAAAUUAUGAAUGUUAAUUAAACAUUUAAUGUUAUUUUUUAAAAAUAAGAAGUAAAAUACAAAUACAAAUACAAACAUUUUACAUCGAUAUUAUUUUUAUUUUAUUUAUUUAUUCUGAAGCUAUGAUUACUAAAUACAUAUGAAUUUUAAUUUUAUAAAUACAAAAUACAGAUAUAACUAAUCUAUCUUAAAUCUAAAAUCAAAAAUCAAAAAUAAAUUAUAAUAAUUUUUUUUUGAGGUAUUGCAAAAUUAUAGAAACCAACCAAAACUUUUAUUUCUAUUAAAAAUAGUCAAACUAAACAACUUUAAAAAUGAGAAAGAGGAAAUUAAUUAAGAAUUAAACUAGAAAAAAAAACCAAUGAAAAAAAAAAAAGUCAAGGUUACUGGACCUAGAAGACUAAGUCCACUCACUUAACCUAAAAAGAAAAGGCCUAUACGGCCCGGUUCUCUAUUUUUUUUUUUAAAGAUAGGUAACAUGUUUUCUUUUCAAAUAUUUUUUUAAUUAAUCAAACGACAUGUCAUCUAUCUAGAUCGACAACAUAUCAUUCAUCAUUAUCUUAUCUAAUCACCUUCAAUGAUUGAAAAAUUAGAGUUUGACUUUUUGUAUUCACAAAAACAAUUUUCAACUUGUUUUAUAAAAAACACCCCUAAAAUAUUUAAAACUUCCAUAAACUCAUUCCAACCUCAGAACAUCAUCUAAUCACUAUAAAAAAUGAAAAUCUAAUAUAAGAAUAAAAAUGCUUUACGGACCUAGUCAUCCUUUUCUAGCAUGUUUAAAGGGCAACAUACCACCUUCAUUCUAUUUAAAAUAAACCAAUUAACACCAAAAUCAGUCUUUUGUGUUCAUAAUAUGGCUUACCAUACCAUUUCUCUUUCCUUUACCUUUUUCCAACAACUUUAUCUCCCCUUCCUCUGCAUCCAAUGUCUGAAAUGUAAAAGAAAACAAAUUAAAGUUUAAGAUUGAAAUAUAAGAACCUAAAACAACAAAAUUCAAAUAUGCAAAAAUUUAAAAAAAAAAUAAGACAUUAAAGUGAAUUUUCUCGUGUCUUUGGAUAGUAAACACGAAGAAAAGGCUUUAUUUUUUAUUUAUUUUAUUUUUGGUAAUUAUUCUAACUUUUUUGAACAAUAACCUAAAAUUCCAUUUUAUAAAAUUGUUCUUUCAUGUAAUAUCAAAAUAUUCUUUAACAUCUCGCACACACGAAAGUAUGUGAAUAAAAAAAAUGUCAAAAUAUAAAAUCAUGAUAACAUAACUUUUGAGGACGAGAUUAAAAAAAAACUCUUAAUGAUCAAAACAAAAUGAACUAAAAACUUGAGGGUCCUAGAAUGAAAAAUUGUCUAAUAAACUGGGAAAUGAGUGUUGAUAAGAACAAUGAUUUCCUAGAAUUUUUUAGUUUAUUAAGUAAUAAUUACACAAAUAAAUAUUUUUUUUUUGGGUUACAACAAAUAGGUGUUUUAAUACUUAAAAGUUAUUCAAAUAUCAAAUGUAAGAUUUGAUAAGAUCCAUUCCUAUAUUUGAACAAAUUAUAUCUCUUUAAAUCAAAAUUAAUUCCUUAUGUAAUUUCCCACAUAACAAAUACAAGUUAUACAACAUAUGAAACAAGAUGAAUAUAACUUGCUUGGAUUAGCUUGAUAUGGAAGUAGGGAUGAUAAUGGAUGGAAUUAUAGUAAUUUACUUCCUAUGUUGUGUAUCUUUUCUAUUCGUUCAAAUUAGAUCAGAUUGAAGAAUUUAUUCACUUAUUAAGUAAUCAUUAUCCAUUCUAAUUUGUUUUUCUAUUUAAAAAUGAAUAAUUAUGUUAUUUUUAAAAACCAUAUGAAAUCACAUAGUUAAAGCAUUGAAAUAAAUAAAUAUUUAUUCAUAAAUCACAUUAAGAUAAAAUACAAUAAUAAAAAAAUGUUAAGUGAUAACAUAUGAAAAUCUCCAUUCCUCCCUUCAAGGUAAAAUCAAGUAUAAUUCAAUCCUUUUAUUUUAAUGAAACUAAUUAAUUAUCAUCAUGAGUUUAGAAACUAUAUAUUCAAUCUUAAAAUUUUAAAAUAUGUUUAUGCAUUAAUAAGAUGGACAAUCCAUAAUCCUUUUUUUAUCUUUCUAAAGCUCAUGAUUACACCUCUAAACACUAUAAGAACUGAGGUAUUCACUGUUAUCAAACAAAAAUAAUUUGUCACAGUAAAGAAAAAUCAAUUAAUCUUAAAAAAAUACUUCCCCAUUUGCCUCAAAUAAAGAUAUGUUUAUUGAACAAACAAGGUUUUUUAAAGAGAGGGCAAAGAUAUAGACUAAAGCCAUGAAAAGAAAACCAAUCGACCUCUAUGAAAUAUGUUUUCAUUUACUUUAAAGAUAAGAAAACUAUGUUUAUAAAACAAAUAAGGCCUCCAAAAGAGAGACCAAAUAUAUGGAUUGAAGCCGUAAAGGGAAAACUAAUUAGCCUUUAGGAAAUGCGCCUCCACUUUUCUUAAAGGUAAGAAAACUAUAUUCAUGGAACAUAUAAGGCCUCUAAAAAAUAGACUAAAGAUAUUGACUAAGGUUGUAAAAGAUGAAAAAGAAAUAAGUCUCUUUGAACAUGAUACUAGUGUAAUCAUUAAGAUUAGAUUUGCAUUAGACAUCGGGUAGGAGAAAGCCAUCACGAAGCUUUUUAAAAUUCAAAGGGCUAAUUUUACUUUUAAUCCCUCUGAUAUUCUAAGUAUAGGCUAGGAUGUGGUCUCCCAUAGAUCAAACGUCAAUUUAUCUCUCAUUGUUACUAGACAAAAAAAGAGUUUUAAAGGGAAAGAUAAAAGGUCAUAAUCGAGGAGGUAGAUAAGUUGCUAGAAGCAUGUUUCAUUUGAUAAGUAAUGUACUCUAAUUAGCUUGCCAAUAUGGUUAUGGUGAAAUAAUAGUCUUGAAAGAUUAUCAUGUCCUUUUUCAGUCGUUGAUCUGCACCCAUUGCAUCUCCUCGUUUGAUGCUAUUAUAGUAUAAGAACAGUUGGCUUGGAAAACUAGUUUUGAUGUGGAUUUUUUGCUCUAUAUAGCAGUAUGUUCAGUGCUGCAAAAUGGUUAUUAUUUCAUUCAGGCAAGAGUACAAAGGACAAGGUGUAAAGGGGGGGUUUGUCUUGUGUAAAGGAGAAAAGAGCGAGUUUUAAACCUUGCACACACACACAGAAAGAGAGAGAGAGAGAGAGAGAGAGAGAGAGAGCAGUUGCCCAUUCAUUCUGUCUCACGGGAAGUUGAAGACAAUCUAUAGUGCUUCCUAAAAUAUAUAUAUAUAUAUAUAUAUAUAUAUAUCAAAACGAGUCGUUUCAUUUAAAUGAAACAGUAUCGUUUUGACGCUUAAUGUUUGAAUUAGGUUAAUUCUUCUUUUUCAAUUUCAAUCUUCCAAUUUAUUCAAUUAGGUCUUUAAUUGAAUUUUAGGAAUCAAUUCAAUUUUACCCCUGUACAGUUUCAAAAACAUCCCCUGAUUUCAGUAUGUUUUUCAUCUUGGUCCUUGGUUUUGGAUUUAUAAAAAUUGAUCCUCAAUUGAUCAUUUAACAUUUGAUUUUCUUCAAUUUGGCCCAUGAUUUUAUCGAUUUCAGCCCCUGAAGUCUCGCGCCUCUAACAAGUCGAUCCCUGAUCUUGAAAUUCUUUGAUUUUGCUCUUAAUUGACUCCAAAACUUUAUUUUUCUUGAAAUGUUGUCCUUAUUUUCACCCAAAUGACUUUGUAGAAAUUAAAUUUUGUCCUUUAAAAUUCUAAUCUUCUCAAUUAAGUCCAAAUUAGGCUUUCAAUCUUAAUUUUUCAUCAAUGAAGUCUCUAGUAAAAUUAAAUUGACCCAUUAAAAAUCUAAUUAAAUCCUUGCACUUAAUUAAAUCUUUUAAUUUGACCCAAAUUAAUUCUUAAACUUAAUUAAACCUUUAAUUGGAGCCAUGAUUAAAUCAAAUUGACCUAUCAAAAGUCUAUUAAGUCCUCAUACUUAAUUUUUAUGUAAAUUCACCUAAUAGUCAUUUAAUUUGGCCUUAAUUUGUAUUGUCUCUCAGUCUUGGAUUCAAUUGGUUUAAUUGGGCUCCAAAUUAUGUUCAAAAUCCCAAUUUAAUUCCUCCAAGUGCUUGAAAUCCUUCUUAGCCUACUCUUACUAAUAUUUUUUAUUUUCAUUUUCAUUGUUAUUUUUUAUUACUUCUUAUUUUAUUUUAUUUUUUUGUAUUUUGAAAAUAUUUAGAAACAGGGAGUCAAAAAUUGGGUUAUAAAAAAACCAUAGUUUCCUUAUUUCUAUUUUGUGUAUCAGAUCUAGAACACCUUCUAAAACGUUUUGACACAAAUUAUUGAAAGAAUGCCCAAUUACUCUUUGUGAAAUACCUCGGUUUAAUCUUUUCCACUUUUCAAUGUCAUGUUAGAGCUAACUUUUCUAAUUACUUGUUUAUGGGUAUCGUACCACAAAUCAUGCAACCUGUUAUAGAAAUUUGUUAAACAAAAAAGAGGCAAGGAAAUAAAAGAAUACAAGUUUAUAAUAAUAUAACAUCAAUUAGUUUAAACAUACCUAGUUGCACAAUGGUUUUCCCACAGUCUUUUAACAAGUGCCUUGUUGCUAUUGUCCCACCAAAAAAAUUUCUUAAUUGAUUUCAUACAUUAAUUAGUUUUCAAAUUUUAAAAAACUAGUAACUCAAAAUAGAUAUUAUUUAAUUAUCUAACCUUAAACUUUCUCCAUCAAACAUUUACCAUGUUCAUCCAUUCAGGAUGCUUAUAAAGCUCACUCUAUUAAACAAUGGUUCUUUAAACAACCACUUCAUUGUAGAGGUUAUCGAACAUGCAACUUCAAUAUUGGUGAACUUGAAAACCAUUUCAUCAAUGUUAUUUUCAUGUAAUAUAAAACUUAAAAUAACUUAAUAGAAUAAAUAACUUCAAUAUUGAGAUAAAUAUUAAUUAUAUACAAUGGUCGCCUUUCCAUUAUGCAAUAAUUUUGUCUGAAAAAGGCCCUAACAAAGUAGGGAUGCCUACUAUGUUAUCCUUAUUGGUUGAGCCUUGAUCGGUAACUUCUACAUUAAGUGGUGUGUCCUUAUAAUCAUCAUCUAUAUUAGCAACACAAUCACCGACACUAAUACUUGAUAAAGUAGUAGCGCUCUUAUUAGACUUAGACAUAUUUCUUCUUGAAUAUAUGGUACCUAAAAAGAAACAAUAACAUAAUGACAACACAUACUCAUGGAAUUUAAAUUCAAACUCAUACAAGCCAAAUUUUAUUUUGUCAAAUUUUCUAAUAAACAUGCUAAGAAAAUUAACACACAAAGAGAGAACAUAAAACAAAAACUAAAAUAUUCAAAUAUGACUCUAUAACCAUAUCAAAAUAGCAUCUCACUUCAUCAAAAAACCAAUUAUUACAUUUCCUUUCAUAGAUAACACAUCUAAAUUAGUAAAAGCCUUCACCUUUUUAUUUGUGCUACUCCACAACAAGUACAUUUAAGGAAUCCAAAUCAAGCAAAAAAUGAUAACAUUAUCCCUACAUAUAAAAAAACCAUAAUUUCUCAUUUUUCCCGUACUUUCUUAGCUACCAAACAAAUAGGUUACUUACAGAAACAACAAAAAAUAAAUUAUAUUACUAAAAACAAUCUCUACCCCCUCAAUCACCUAAACUUAACCAUAAAUUAUCUUCUCUUCACUUCACUAUUGUCAUAACCCAUUUUUGGGUUAUUUCCUAAUUCAUAUUUUUUUCUCUCUUCAAAAAAUACAAAAAAAUAAAAAAUAGUAUCAAAAAAUAUAACAGUGAAAAGAGGAUGCUAGAACACUAAAAAAAUGGUUAAAAAUUGGUUGAGGAGGUUCAAAACUACAAAGGUUAAAAUUUUACGGUAUUUUGUUGAUUGAUGAGAGCCCUGUUGACAAAGAAAAUUCAAUUUGAGGAUGAAAAGUCCAAAAUCAAACAUUUAUGGACUCAAUUAAAUUUUAUUGAAGGUUUAAUUGAAUUUAUGGAGAAUUUGAUUGCAAGAAAAAUUGAUUUUUGGAGUGAAUUUGGGCUUUAAUUGGAAGAAAUUAAAGUUUUGUGGUCAAAUUAUAAUUUUUUAGAGUUAAUUUGGUCAAAUCAGGGGCUUAAUUGCAUAAAUAUUGAAGUUUGAUGGUCAAUUAGAGACUUAAUUGAAGAAAUCAGAAACCAAGGACCAAAAUGAAAAACACGCGUAAAUAGAGGGGCUGUAAUUAAACCGAAUCAGGGGCCAAAUUGAAGAAAUUAGAGUUUAUUGAUCAAUUGAGGGUUAAAUUGCAUAAAUUAAAGACCCAAGACCAAAGUGAAAAUGGCGGCCAACUUCAGGGCCACUGUUUUCUUUUUGGCAGGGAUGCAAUUGCAUUAAUUUUUAAAUCAAAAUUGUAAUUGAGGACUUGAUUGAACAAAUCACAAAUUGAGAACCAAUGUGAACUCUGACACGUUUUUUUUUGCCGCCUUUUCCUUUUAAAUGAAACGGUGUGUUUCUUCUAAAACGGCGUCAUUACAUACACUAUUCAUUAAAAAAGAAGCAAAAAGCUCAAAACGGUGUCGUUUUGAACGACAGUGUAGCCUUUCUUGUUCCCCUGGACGCGCGAGGCAGGGGAAGAAGAAGUCUUUUCUCCCCUGCUUUGCUCGUUCCCUCUUUCUCCGAAACCACCAAAAAGACGCCGACCCAAAACACCCCACUUGCCUAAGUUCUGACCUGUGGCCUACCACGAGGUAAAGAAAAACAGAGGGGAUGCACCACUUGGGCGGUUGUGAGGUCGCUGCACAGUGGUCGCCCCUGCCUCUCUCUCCCCUCUGUUUUACCUAUAAAUACAGAGGGGGAGAGCACAAAAGGAGAGCACGAAAAGGACAGGGGGAAAGACCGAAAGAAAGAAAAAACAAGAAGACCCAAAGAGGAAGAAAGGUUGGAAGAACAAGAGAAGAAAAAAAAGAAAAAAAAGAGAGAAAAACAGGGGAAGACAAGGGGGAAGAAACUGUCCACCGCCUGCAACCACCACCGGCCACCACAGCAUGCCAUCGCGAACCACCAGCAGUGCCACCGCUUCAGGUAACUGGCUCUUCCCCACCGUUUGUUUCUUUGCCGGCGUCGCUUGCAUUUUUGUAUACAGAAUGUUAAUAUUUCACGUUCUGCUGCAAAAUGCAACGUGGGCUGGUCAUUAUGCUGAUGCACAGUAACCAGCCCAUUUGGGCAUGGGCCGAGACAUCAGCCCAGCCCAUAGUAGAUGGGUUGGAUCCGGCCCAGCCCAGAAGGGGGUGGGCCAAGCCCAACCCAGUUUUUUUGGGAAUUUUACUAUUUCCUAUCUUAUUUUUACGUCUUUUUUUAUUAGUAUCGAAAUAUUUUUUUACGUCGUUAAAAAUACAAAUCCGGUAUUAAAAUACCUAGUUUUCGUCAACUUAAAAAAAAAUUGAAAUAAAUGUUUUUAUGCAUACGUCCAAGUGUCUCAAAGCUAAAAAAUCAUAUUGUGUUUUUCAUACACCAAAAAAACAAUGUUAUAGCAUGCAUUUUGGCUUUAAUAACCAGUUUAUUAAAGUCAAGAGAACAUUGACCAAAAUAUAAAAAAAAAAGAAUUUAUUUUGUGUUGUUUUAGUAUUAAGGAUUACGAAUUUAUAUGUAAAACAUAUUCCCGAUAUUAAAAAGGUAUUUUCUUUUGACGACAUAGAACAGUUAGGUUUUUACCCGAUAAGAUAAGGAUCUCCUUACAGAGGAGGACUUUUCUUAAAUCGUAGACAGACCGACAAUUAGAAACCAUAACAAGACUUUAGAUUUUAUCAGACAACAAAACAAUGCAGCUUACCUUAGAUAGCGCGUAGUUGGAGUGCUAAUACCUUCUCUUUACGCAACCAGUCUCCGUACCUGAUCUCCGAGACCAGUUAGGGUUCUUAGUGACCAGAACACUAGGUGGCAACUCUCAUUCUAUUUUUACUGAUAAGAGACAAGAAUUCCUUGUAUCUUCAUAUUUGCCAGAUAGACCUAUAGACCAUUACAUUUUUCUUUGAGUGGGUGGACGAUCGUCGCAACGCUGAACACGUGCGACAACUAUUUAACCAACCAAGAAACCAUUUUUGAUACUUAAACAAACUCUUUUACGAAGAUCUCAAAAAUUCACUAAUCUCUUUUUCUUAGUUAGCUAAAUACUUAAACUAUAAAUUAUAAAUCAUUACCCCACUUUUCCACCAACCAACCAAGAACCCAAAUCAUCAAUAAAAAUAAUCCUCCACUAAACCAAGUAAAAAAAUAAACAUUUAAAACAAUACCUAAAAUUCAAAAAACAAUCUUCCUAUAUUACCAACAUGCAAAAAUUAACAAAACCCAUAAAAACCUAAAUCACAUAAACCAAAUAGCAAAUAAAUUACCUUCAAAUCGGGUAAAAACCAUAACCUAAACUUAGGAUUUAACAAUGCCAAGUCCUAAGUUUAUUAAAUGAAGAAGAAGAAAUCAAACCUCAGAUGGGUAGAAAAGAGGUAUUGUCGACGUCGGAUGUGUGAGUGGGGUAGGGGUAAGAUAGUUACUGUUGUUGUUUUGAUGAUAAUGAAUAAGAAAAAGAAAAAGAAGAAGAAAAAGAAAAAGAAAUUGGAAGAUGAGAGGAACUCUGAGUUUUAAUUCAUUUUAAAAACAUCAAUGAAAAAUCAUUUAGCAAUUUAAAAAUAUUAAAAUACCAAUGUAAUUGUCGACAAAAUAUUUUUAUUUUUUAUUCCGUUUUUGUUCCCAUAAAAAAUUAUUGAAGAAAAUCUUUCAUCGUAAUUUCCAUCAGUAAAUAAUUAUGAAACAUUUUUUGUCAUGUUUUUGUUAUUAGUGCAUGCCCACAUCUAUUUGUUUUUGUUACUAUUCUCCAAUUUUUUAGUGGUGUAUGCUCACGUCUAUGAGCAAGUUGGUUUGUUUUUGCAAGUAUAAAUACUUCAUGAAAAUGUCCGGCAAGGGAGGACACAAAAAAAGAAAUAGAUAGACUCCUACAAGGAGAAAACAUUCUCAUGUGCGGAAAGGUCCAGAAUCCAUCAAGGUUUUCAGCAAGGAAGGAAGAUGAUAAAAACUCUUGCUUAAAAUGAUUCAUGCAUGCAUGUCAUAUAAAAAAGAGAAAAGAAGAGAAAACUCUUUUGAGAGACUACGACCGUGUCUUCAUCACAAAAUUGAAAAUUGAUUAUCAUCUUUAUAAAUUUAAGAACUCGAGGUCAGUCUGUGAAUUUAAUGGAAAUUAAUGCAUGAAAUUAUUGAAAAAGUAUAUAUAUAUAUAUAUAUAUAUAUAUAUAUAUAUAUAUAUAUAUAUAUAUAUAUAUUAAGGCAAGAGACGAUAUACAUGUAAAUACUCUUAUAUACUAUUGUAUAUAGGAAAUAUUGUAGACAUACUCUUGUGUGGUAACCUCCGCCAUUACUAUUGUAUAUUGCCCUACAUAUAUAUAGAAAGGGUUGGCUAACCAUUAAGUUAAGCCUUCUAAUUAUUCUCAACUUGGUAUCAGAGCCUUUUGCCGUCAGAACUCCUUUCUCCCUCCCUCCCUUUGCAGCCGGCCCUCUCUCUCUUUUUCCUCCAUGGAUUCUACAGCUGCCGCCAACUUCCCUCUCUCCACCGGUGGUGCAGCACAGCCGGCCAGCCAUCCCCAAGCUGCUGCCGGUGGUAUCUUUUCUCCCUAACAGCAGCCUCCACUUGCAGAGCAUGUCUCUGAUUCUUCUUCACAAGUCUCUGUCGUUCCUUUGCCUCUCAUGGGAACACACACUCCAGCUAUCGUUCCUUUAUCAAACACCCACCAAGUUGUUUCGUUGAAACUUAUAAACACAAAUUAUCUCUAUUGGCGAAUGCAGAUGAAGCCAUAUCUCCUUGGUCAAGGUGUUUUUCACUUCGUUGACUGCUCCGUGCCGUGUCCUCCAUCUCAUAUUUUUGACAGUUUUGCUGGUUCUUCAUCUACCACCAGCCCUUCUUUUCUUCGUUGGAAGCAACAAGAUCAACUUAUUUUGAGUGCUUCACUCUCCUCUCUCUCUGUGGAUGUGUUGCAUCUCGUGGUAGAUUGUUCUACCUCGCAUUGUGUUUGGCGCACUUUUGAGAAAGUGUUUGCCUCUCCGUCUUAUUCUCGCAUCAUGCAACUCCAUGGCUCCUUUCAAGACCUUCGUCAAAGUGACUCAAAUGCACACCAUAUAUAAAUGUGUGUCAUUCUUCUUAAGAAGUACUUUAAGAUAUUAAUUAUUCACUUUGAAAUUCUUAAAUAACUUGUAAACCUCCAACACCAUGGGCCCGGGGGGUGUUUGGAGGGAGACUUACAAGUAUGGGCUCUAUGACAAUGGAGGAAUGGUGGUGGGAAUGAUAGCGAAAGUAGAGAUAGUGGUGAUGAAGAAGUCGAUAGAGCCAAUAAUACAGAAAUUCCACCGGACCCGUAUGAAUCAGAGCUGUUAUAAUUACACCAUUUAACCUCCACAUGGGGAGAUAGCUAGCUCCUGGAAUUUUUUUGCUACCAACAUAGAUCCUGGAAUUUUUUUGCUACCAACAUAGAAUAAAAUUCCAUUGAACAAUAUUUGGUCAUCCCUGCGCAGAUAUCCAGCUAGAGAGUGGAAAUUAAUGCAUGAAAUUAUUGAAAAAGUAUGUAUAUAUAUAUAUAUAUAUAUAUAUAUAUAUAUAUAUAUAUAUAUAUAUAUAUAUUAAGGCAAGAGACCCUAUACAUGUAAAUACUCUUAUAUACGGAUAGUUAUUAUGUGUAAUACAUUCCAAAUUAUAUUGUACACAACCCUAAAGGUAUACUUCAACAAUCUGCUGCCGCUGCAUCAGCACUUCGGUCUUCUUUCUCCCCUGUGGCGCAAUCAGUUAUCUAUGGCGUAUCCACUACUGCUGCCAUCAUACCUAUUCUUAAAACACACCAGGUAGUCUCUUUAAAACUCUCCAACACCAAUUUUAUGUAUUGGAGGAUGCAGAUGAAACCGUUUUUUUAGGCCAAAGCGUGUAUUCCUUCGUUGAUGGCACAUCAUUAUGUCCUCCUUCACAUAUGGCAUCUACUGCGACAUCAGCACUCUCUGUCAACCUUGCAUAUUUGUCAUGGAAGCAGCAAGAUCACUUAAUCAUGAGUGCCCUCCUAUCUUCUGUCUCGGUGGAAGUUCUGCACUUAGUUGUGGAUUCUAACACCUCUCAUGACAUUUGGACAACGCUGGAAACAACUCUUGCCUCUCCUUCAAAUUCUCGGAUUAUGCAACUUCACGACCCAUUCCAAGAUUUACAACAGACUGAUGAUUCUGCCAGCAUCUACUUGCAGAAGGCAAAGAUCUUAUUUGAUGAACUUGCUACAUGUCAUGUGCACCAUUAAAACCCAAUGUUUCAAGCAUUUGACUUGUAAUCAAACGGCUAUCAAUAUUCCAUCCUUUAGCAUACUUGAGGGUAUACCACUAGUUGCCCGCAAGAUCUGUGUGAAGACUCCGAGACAUAGUGAAGAGGAUAUUGUUUUGUCACUGUGUAAUAUAAUCUGCCUCAUUUCUUGGCCAUUGUUAUUAGCAUGCUAGUUUUAUUUCGAAGAAAGCAAGCUCUGCUUCCUAGUAAAAGUUUUUCUUUAUAGUUUGAAUAAACCUCCAUUGCUAGGUUAAAGUGAACCAAACCAGCAGAAACGAACUAAGUGAUUACAUUGAAAAGCCCGUAGAUUGCAAUGUUUUUUUUCUAGAAAUGCUAGAGAGCUUCCCAACUCUCUUUCUUUUUUCUUUUCAUUUUUGUCUUUUUUAAAAUAAAAAAAUUCCAUCCUGAAACGUUUUUUAUUGAAUUAUUUUUUAUGACUAAAUUCUAUGAGAUAAAGUUUUAAAAAGUUGCGGAAAGAUAAAAUUAAAAGAGAAAGGAUAAUAAUGUAAAACAUACAAAAAAUACGUGGUUAGUCUCAAAGUUUUUAGAAUUUUGAUUUUGAUCCAUAGAUUCAUUUUUUUAUUAGAUUUGACAUCUAAGAGAGAACAUUAUCGAAAAUGGCAAAUGAGAGAAAAAGUUGUCAAUUGACCAUAUUCUAACAACAAAAAAGCACAAUCUUGGUAUUAACGGUUUCAUUCAAUAGAAAGAUUUUCAUUGAAGUGUUUUUUCACCUUAAUUUAUCUUUUCAAAAAAAAUAGAUCAAGGUUGUGAGAUGAUUUUUUACCAUUUUGAUUUUAUGUUUUUAAAAGUGCUUUGCGUUGAUAGAUAGUUUAUUGAUAUUAUAAGGAUGUUUAUUAGGUGUUUUCAAAUGAAAAUAGGUUGGAAAAAUAAAUUAUUGAGUCGAAAAAACCCUAACUAGAUAUGAUUGGAAACUAAGCAAGUAGAUAAUGCGCAUUGUCUACUUUUAUUUUAUUUUUUUUAAAUGGGCCAGGCAUUGGGCCACAUAGACCCAACCACCUAGCCUUUGUAUAUUUGAUUAUACUUUUUUUUUCUAAUUAAAUUUUAUGAAAAUAAAUAAAUUCAAAAUAUCAUUUUCAAGAAUAAGAUUAUAGUUGUUUUUUAUAAAAUUAACAAGCACUUUUUUUUACAACCCUUUGUGACUUGUAUAUAUUUUUUUUCUUAAAUUUUGAUUUUGGGAUUUUUUGCGCAAUUGUUUUUUAUUAUCACAUGAUCGCAAAAAAAAACAUAGUCAAAAUGUUUUUGAUGUAUUAUUUUUAUAUUUUUGUAAUACAUUCGAGACCUAAUAAUGAAACCAUCGAUUAUUGUUUUAUUAGAUUUUUCUUUUACGACCCUAAUAAUUUUUUGCUUCAUAAAAUAACAUUUUAAUAAAUACUUUUCCAAAAAAGAAAUUGAAUUAAUAAAAUAAAUAGGUUUUAAUUAAAAGGAUGUUGUUUUUAUCAUUAUUUUGAAUCCCUUAUAGCCUAUUAGAUAUUUAUUUUAAUGGCCUUCGGAUUUUAUUAAAUGAAGUAUAUUGCUUAAAAAGCUAUGUUUUUUUGUUGAAAAAAAUAGAUUAGUAAAAAAAUGAAUUAUAUUAGAAAAAUAUUUAUUUCAAUAAAAUUUAAAUUAUUUUAUUUUUUUAUAAAAAAAUCAUUACAUAUAAUGACUUAAAAAAAAUAUAAAUUGUUUUAUAUGGCACGAGAUUUAAUAUAUUAAUCUGUAUUUAUUUCUCAGUUUUCCAAUUUAAUUUUUAAUAUUUAGUUAUAUAUAAAUUAUUUUUUAAAUUAAUUAAUUAAAUGCAUGUAUUAAAUUCUUACACGUAACAAAUUUUCUUUAAACUAAAAAAGCUCAAAUUAUAAAAUAAAUUUUGAGCCGAGGCGAGCAAAUUUGGCCGGUGAAUUACUAUAUAACAAUUUAACUUCAUACAAUGUCGUGCUUCAAAAAUUCCAGAUGUCAAGUCCAAGAACGUUCUGAUUAUUGUCUGAAAAAUCAAAAUCACUCCCUCUUCUUGCAACAACAUAUUGACCCCACCUUAAUAUUUUCUUUGGAGGGCAGCCAGGCUUUCUCAGUGUUCCAUUUAUCUUUUCUGUGAUGUAAAUUCUCCAUGCACCAUUUUUAUCAAAUUCCUACAAUACCCAUGUCGGUUUUGUAGCAUAAUGUUCCACAUCAAAUUCAUGGUUAAUAUAUUUUAGUUAUAGUUUUGUUUUGUAAACUAAUUUUUAUUUAAAAAGUAUUAAAUUAAUGUUUUUUAAUAUUUUUUAUAGUGUUAAAUCAAAAAUUAAAACAUCUGAAGAUGGGCAGAUCUGAUAUCUCUCAUUGGACAAAGAAACAGGUACACACAUAUCUAUGCAUUUAUAUAAUCUUCAAUCAGAGCAAACUAAAGAGUUCUUUAUUCGUUCAUUGAUUGAAUGGGAUGAAUGUAUCAUAUAUUCCUUGCUUAAUGUUCAAGAUUUGCAAUCUUAUUAAAUCACUUUUUUCUUAAUUAUCAGGUUGUGGAUUUCAAACCAAGCAUAAAUAUAGAUUUGGGUGGUUUAGCAUGAAGCUGAAAUUGGUUGGAGGUGACUCUGCAGGUGUUGUGACAUGACAGCUUAUUAUGGAAGUCUUUCUUCUACCGCCCCAUACGCUCAAAAUGCCUUAAAGAUUCAUGGCUGUGAAGCUUAAUCAAAGACUUCAUAAAUAUUUUAACUAUUUUUUUGUACUUAAUUCUAGCUUGACAGCAAGUACAGGAAAUUAUCAGGGACGGAGGCUAAAGUGGAUUCAUCUGUUUUUUUGCAGAUGUGUACAGAGAAUGGGGCAGGGCCAACAAGAGAUGAGCUGGACUUUGAGUUCUUGGGGAAUAGAACUGGAGAACCCUAUUUGAUUCAAACAAAUAUAUACAAGAAUGGUACUGGUAACCGUGAAAGGAGGCACAUGCUUUGGUUCGACCCUACCGAGGAGUUCCACACCUAUUCCAUUCUCUGGAACAAUCUACAGAUAGUGUAAGUCCUUCGAUUCUAUGCUACAGCUAGAUCAAGGCACCUGAUGAUUCAAGUUUUCAUGCUGCAAUCUUGCACAAAAGCAAAAGCAAAAAAGAAAAUGGCAAAAACAGUAGAUUAAAGGGCUGGUUGCGUCCCGGUGUGUUUGGUAACGUAGAUGUUUUUCCAUUGAAAAUGCAUAUUACAAUUAUGUUUUUAUAUUAACACAUUAAAAAACACUUAAAAACAUCAAUUUAAUAUCUCUGAGACGAAAAGCAAUAGCUACUGCAGGAAGAGAUAAACAUUGUGGGAACAGUCAAUAAAUAAGCCUCAGAGAUUUGCUUGCAACUUGGGUUCGAUGGACAGUGACACUGACUUGGAUUUUUCAUACGCUAAGCAGGUUUUUUGUUGAUAAAGUAGAGCAAUAAGGGUGCCCAAGAACAAUGGAGAACCAAAUAAUUUCUUCCCCAAUGAGAAGCCCAUGUACCUAUUUUCAAGUAUCUGGAACGCCGAUGAUUGGGCUACUAGAGGAGGGCUAGAGAAGACAGACUGGAAAAAGGCCCCAUUUGUGUCCUCUUACAAGGACUUCACUGUUGAAGCUUGUCAAUGGGAAGAUCCAUACCCUGCCUGUGUAUCAACAACGACUAAAUACUGGUGGGAUCAAUACGAUGCUUGGCAUCUCUCAGAUGAACAGAAAAUGGACUGUGCCUGGGUCCAAAGAAACCUUGUGAUCUAUGAUUAUUGCAAAGACACUGAAAGAUUCCCAGCGCUGCCAGUGGAGUGCAAAUUGAGCCCAUGGGAUUGAUGGGCAAGUGAUGAGUUAAUUGUUAUUCUUCAGCAUCAUAUAUUUUUUCUAUUUCCUUUUUGUCUUUUUCUUGGUUACCAUUUUGAGAUGGGUAUAAAUCACAAUGUAUUUUUCUGCCAGCUAUUCUAUUUCACUAUUGCACAUCUAUUUAAUUUAUUCAAUUAUUUAUAUUCAAUUCAAAUAUAAAUUCCUGUACUUUGUCCAUCCUGUAAAGUGUUUUUCUCUAUCUUCUUAAACUCCAAUAAAAAUAUAAUCAAUGAAAAACACUUCGUAGAAUAACAGUUUUAUUUUUAUUUUGGGUAGAAUAUAUUUUUUAAAAGUUAUAAGAUUUUAAAAAUAUUUUGUUAUAUAUGUUGAUUAUAUUAAAUUUCACCUAUAUAUAUUUUGUUUUGAAUUAUUUAUUUAGUUAUUAUUUUUUCAAUUUUGUCUCUUAAAAUUUGAUUUAACUUGAUUUUUAUAUUAUCUUGGGUUCUUAUUUUUUUUUAUUGUUAUUUGUUUUUCUUCUAUCCUUUUCUUAAUUGAAUUUUUUUUAUCUUGUUAUUGGUUUCUAUUCUUUUGAUAUUUACUCGUCUUUUAAUUUUUUUUUCUGUCAGAUUUGGUCCUUAUUUUUUUAUGACUAUUUUUUUAUUUUAGAUAAUUUAUGAAAUUAGAAUUUUUUUUAAUUUCAUCCUCCAAAUUUUUCAUCAAUUAAUUUUGAUCCCUAUUCUUUAAUAAACUUGAAAAAUAUUUAAAAAUAUUAAUAAGUUAUUUUCUAACUUAUUUUUCAUGGCAUAGCUAAAUACUAUAAAAUAUUUUCCAACUUAUUUUUCAUGGUAUUGUCAAAUAUAAAAAAAUAAUCUACUUUUUAAAAAUUUACUUUCCAUGAAAAAUAUUUUUUUUAAAAAAAAAACACUUUCCGAUAGAUAAAUUAGGCAAGUAGAAGGAUUUACAGUAUAUCGUUUUUUGGCAACCCACUAAUAGUUCUUGUAUCUUGAUUUUCUAUUUUUAUAUUUUAUUUUUAAAAAGUGUUCAAUAUUAUUUCAAUGUAAAGCCACUUAGACGAAAAGGGUACAAUGUAAGAAUAAAUAGCAUAAUAAAGUAGUUGACGUAAAAUAAAUAAAAAUAAUAUAUCCUUCUUUUAAUUAAAAAAAAAAAUCAUUCUCAUUUGUUAUUUUUAUUCUCACCUUCCACUAUGAAAAUAAAAUUAGAUUUAAUUUUUAUUUUCAUUUCGAUUUUGUUCUUUUAACCAAAUAGGCUCUAAGUUUUAUCAAUUUCUAAAAGAAACAUUCUUGGACUAACCGACUAUGAAUUUGGCUUAAUCAUCAAAACAUGAGGGCUACCUCAAUCGUUUGGUGGUGAGAUUUAUACAGUAUGCAGUCGUGCCUACACAAUUAUUCUUAAAAAUGAUGCAACUUACAAGUCCUUUUUCAAUUCUCUCAAAAGAGAAAAGGAAUACUAUAUUUUUUUUUAUAUAGUUGACGAUUAUAUUAUUUGAUGGCCUAUCAAAACAUACCUUCUAGAUUUUUUAAAUUGUUUUUUCCAAUUUUUUUCAAGUUAUUAUACUAUCUACAUUGGUCGGCGCUUCAUUUGACCAUUCGCUAAUGAUCAUCCGGUGGCUUCUCUCUAUAUAUAUACAUAUAAAAUUGGAAAAAAUAUUGCUUAAAUAUAUAAUUUAGGCCGCCUCUGUAAGCUUUAAACUUGUAGAUAUGGGGGGAUCAUGAGUUUGACUUUUAUGUUUUCCAAUCUCCGUUUCUUAAAAUCUUUUUAAUUCCAUUAUUGAUUUUUGAAAGACCCAGUUUUUUGUUUAACUAUAUAAAUACAAAACAACUCAAGUAAACCAUCUGAAGAAAUUCCCGUCAGUUUGGAAUUGUUCGAGUCGUAAAUAUAUAGUUAUCUUCCAUGAAAUUGAUGUGCUAGGAUUUUCCAAAAUGUUGGAGAGCAUACAUAGUCAAAUAGAAUUUUAUAUGGUUUCAAGGGUGAUUUAUUUGACGAGGACAUAAAUUAUUUAAUUUAAACAAAUAAUGACCAAGAACAGAAUAUGAAGAAUUAAUUAGCACUGGUCAUCGACACAUAUAUGUGAUCCUUUCACACCACAUAACCUUCAAUUUCAUGCUAUAAAUACUACCUCUCCUCCUCUUGUUUCAGCAUCACAAAAACAUCUUCCAAAUCAACAAAAUCUCUCCCCCCCUUCUCAGUCUUUUAGAAUCCCAAGUUAAAAUGGGUGUCAUCACUUUGGAAAACGAGUUUGCUGUUGCUGUCGCCCCGGCCAAGCUUUUCAAGGCAUACUGCCUUGAGACCGACACUCUUUUGCCUAAAAUUCUACCAGAGCACAUUAAGAGCUCUGAGAUAAUUGAAGGAAAUGGAGGGCCUGGAGCCAUCAGGAAGAUCACUUUUGCUGAAGGUUAGUAUAUUAUAUGUUGCAAUUACUUUUAAUUAUAUUAACUAUAUUGAAAUCAGCAUAACACUCGCUAUAUCUACCGCACAAAGAAGUAACAAAUUGAUUUUGCACUUGCAGGAAAAGAUCUCAGUUAUGCCAAGCAGAAGAUUGAGGCAAUUGACGAAGAGAACUUGACCUACAGCUUCAGCUUGAUUGAAGCCAAUGUUUGGAAGGAUGCAGUUGAAAAGGUGACUUAUGAGCACAAGUUCGUGGCAACUCCUGAGGGAGGUUCCAUUUGCAAGAGAACCAGCACAUAUUACAUCAAGGGUGAUGCUGAGAUCAACAAAGGCCAAAUCAAGGACGUGUAUGGCAAAAAGACCGCAGGCUUGUUGAAGGCUGUUGAAGCCUACUUCUUGGCAAAUCCAGAUGCCUAAAUAUGAAAAUUCCCAUGUGUGUGUGUGUGGCCUUUUUCUUGGUUGUCUUUGGCAGUGUGGUUAUUGCCUUUUCUUCUUCCUUUGGGUAAAUUUUCCAUCCUUGUUACUGGCAAAAAAAAAUUGAGAGUACAGAAGUAUAUCUUCUAUUACUUUAAUAGUAUUUGAUUAUGUGGUCAUUUGGUUAAUUGUAUUGAAGCAGUUCUUUUCAAUAGUUGAUGUUAUUGGUAUUGUUUUCAAAAUACAUAAUAAAAAUCACCAUGUCAUCAAGUGUUUACUUUGAAUCGAUGUAUCGAAGGUUUUCUUUAUACAUAAUCUGUUUUCUUAAAGAGCACUUGAAUUUAUGGACCUUUCCCUCCUUCCUCAUUUUUUUUUUCAAAUGAUAAUAUAUUGAAGAGCAAAAACAUUUGUCAUGCUGGUUAUGCACGCAUAAACUAUCCUUUUGGAAAGAUUUUAUGUUUGUAAAAUCCAACGAAUAGAAUGUAUGCACGUAAGAAAAUAAUUUAUAUGACCAGGGGGUGGUUAAAUGAUUUUCUUAUUCAAACUUCACUUUCUCUUUUAUUUUUUUUAUGUUAUUUUCACAUCAAUAAUAAUAAUAAUAAUAAUAAUAAUUAUUAUUAUUAUUAUUAUUAUUAUUCUUUUUUAAUAAAAAAAAUAAUAAUCUUAACACUUCCUCUCUAAGUUGGUGCAUAAAUAUCACAUAUGCCUAACUUGUUUAAAGUUGAGAAUAAUUAGCAGGCUUAAUCUAUUGGUUAGCCAACCCUUUUUAUAUAUAUAUAUAUGUAGGGCAAUAUACAAUAGUAAUGGUGGAGGUUACAACACAGGAGUAUAACUACAAUAUUUCCUAUACAGUAUGCCUACAAUAUUUCCUAUAUAGAUGCAUUAAUAUGCCCCCUCAAAUUGAGGGUGAAGGAUCAGCCCGAAACUUGAAAUGAAAAGUUGUAAAAAAAAUAGUAGGAAGUGGCUUAGUAAAGACAUCUGCAAGUUUAUCCUGAAAGGAAAUAAAAUGAAUCUAGAUCUCCUUCUUCACAACUCUAUCUCGGACAAAACAUGAGGGCUACCUCAAUCGUUUGCUGGUGAGAUUUCAAGUUAGAAUUUGGCUUCAUGAGUAACCGACUACAUCUGAUCCGAUCCAUUGACUUGGAUUACUGAGAUUUUGGAUGGUGAGAUAAUACACACACACACACACACUUCAGUUGAAUGUCUAAACUUAGAGUCACAAUAUUGUUAAGGUUAUUGAUAAGAAAAAUCCUAUUCAGGAAGUUUUUCAGAUAAAACUUCCUUAUGAUCUGCAGUCAAUCCUGCAUAAUAUGGUGCUAUAAUUCCUUAAGAAUAUCUGUUAUGAUUAUGUACAACUAUAAACUAAAUUAGCUCCACAUUUAUCUUCUUCUUUUACUCUUUUAUAAUGUACUCCUAUAUAUAAAUACAAACUAAUGUACAAUGUUUAAGUUGAUCAGAUAAGAAUCAUACAAAAACAUUCUUCUCCUAACUUGGCAUCAGAGUCAUUAUAGCUCACAGAUACCUUUUCUUUGAUUCUGCUUCCACAUAAUGUCUUCUUUAUUACCUUUACAUGAUAUCAACAACCCUCUCAAUCUUUCUCAUACCUCACCUCUAUCAUCCUUUAAACUUGAUGGAUCAAAUUAUCUAAUCUGCUAGUCCCAAUUUCUAUCAUUUCUAAACAGUAAUGAUCUUCUAGUGUUCGUUGAAGGUUUUGACCCUGUCACUGGGAAAACCAAUGCUGAUAAUUCACCCAAUCCCUCUUAUACAACAUGGUAUAAGAAAGAACAAGAUCUAUUGGGUAUUAUAUUAUCAUCUCUUAGUCUAAAUUUUGUUAGAAUAGUGUAUGGUUUAACCACAUCCAAACAAGUCUAGACUGCUCUUAAGACUAGAUUUUCUAAUCAGUCACAAUCUCAUAAUCUAUGUUUGGAUUUGUCUUUUAUGUUGUGAUCCGGUCUUAUGAUCAUUAUCACAAGUUUUAAAGGUUGAGUCAGGUUGGCUUCGGUCAUUUUUAUUUUUUUUAUUUUUAAUUUCAUCUAUCAUCAUUAGAUUCGUUGGUAAUUUGUAUUUUUUUUUUUUUUUUGCCUUUUCUUUCUAUAAAGUUAUUCUAAUAUCAUGUUCUAAGUUAUGGAUUUAGCAAGUUUACUGGGUUUGACUUGGUCUUUUUUUUCAUUGCUUUUUAAGUUUUUUUUAAUCUCGAGUCAAUGACCAGAAUCUUAAAUAUUUUUUUAAAAAUGUUUGCGUCAUCUUGAUGUUUUUUUCUACAAUGAAAAACAAAUAAAUAGACUCGUGGUAUAGCGCUGGACACCUAUCUAGUAAUAAUCUAAAAAUUAAUAAUAUGAUAAUCUAAAACUGAUAAUAUGAAAUGAAGUGUUAGUGAAAAUGAUACACUCAUAUGCGAAAACAUACAAAUACAUUUUGAUCUUAAAUAGACAAGAAAUUUAACCAUAGUCUUAUUAUUACAAUUUGAUCCUUUGGUUUUAAAAAUAUACAAGCACAUCAAUAUUUACUUAAAUUGAAAAUGGGACAUCACUAAUUCUAUUAUAAAAUAGGACAUUAAGAACAUAUUAUUAUAAUUCUUUUUAUUAUUUUCCAUAUAAAAUAAAUGAGAUCAUAAAUGGAUGGUAAAUUGUCAUUUUUAAAAUAUUAAUAUUUAAAAAAAAUAUUAUAAAAAAUGGAUGAAACAAUUAAUUGAGAAUUUUCAAAAACUUUAUAACACAACAAAAUUAUUAGGCAUUUAAUUGAUAUUCAGGAUAUAAUUUGAAAACUAAUUUAAGUUAAAUCUUUUAUUUAUUUAUUUAUUAUGCAAUCGUGCCUGCACAAUUAUUCUUAAAAAUGAUGCAACUUAUAAGUCCCUUUUCAAUUCCCUCAAAAGAGAAAAGGAAUACUAUAUAUGUUAUUAUUUGAUGGCCUAUUAAAACAUACCUUCAAAAUCAUCCAGCAGCCGUUCUUCAUAGCAGAGAUCUUCAUCUUUUUCCUCUGUUACUUCUCAUCUAUUAUAUCCACCAGCAGCCGUCCUUCUUAGCAGAGAUCUGCAUCUUCUUCCUCUGUUACCUCAUAUCUGCAAUAUCUGGAGGUCCUCUUCCUCCUUAAAACCAAACUGCAACCUCUUCUACCUUGCAACAUGGACAAUCAAGAACUUCAACAAUCUGUUGCUGCUGCAUCAGCACUACAGUCUUCUUUCUCGCCUGUGGCGCAACAGUUAUCUAUGGCGUAUCCACUACUGCUGCCAUCAUACCUAUUCCUAACACACACCAGGUAGUCUCUUUAAAACUCUCCAACACCAACUUUUUGUAUUGGAGGAUGCAGAUGAAACCGUUUCUUUUAGGCCAAAACGUGUAUUCCUUUGUUGAUGGCACAUCAUUAUAUCGUCCUUCACAUCUGGCAUCUGCUGCGACAUAUGCACUUUCUGUCAAAUUUGCAUAUUUGUCAUGGAAGUAGCAAGAUCACUUAAUCAUGAGUGCCCUCCUAUCUUCUCUCUCGGUGGAAGUUUUGCACUUAGUUGUGGAUUCUAACACCUCCCAUGACAUUUGGACAACGCUGGAAACAACUCCUGCCUCUCUUUCAAAUUCUCAAAUUAUGCAACUUCACAGCUCAUUCCAAGAUUUACAACAGGCUGAUGAUUCUGCCAGCAUUUACUUGUAGAAGGCAAAGACCUUGUUUGAUGAACUUGCUGCAGCUAGCAGACCAAUCUCCUUGGCCAAAUUCAACUUGUAUGUGUUUCGAAGGUUACGCAGUGAGUUUAAGGAUCUUGUCAUCAGCUUGUCCACUAAGGAUGUUACCAUCUCCUAUACUGAUCUUCAUAGCAAUCUUCUUACACAUGAGUUUCUUCACAAAGCCUCUCUCCAACCAUCUGUAACAUCUCCUCUGUUACCAACUCCAACGCAGCAGUCAGCUAUGUUCUUUGUGCAACAUCAAUCUGGCUUUAGUACUAGCAAACAAGGUUGGUUUUGUGGGGGCUGGAGACCUAACAAUCAACAAUGUGGCCAACAUGGAAACCAGUUCUCCUCUGGUUCUUCCCAACAUGGAAACCGGUUCUCCUCUGGUUCUUCCUCACGGAUAACAAGCAGCUUUAGGCAGCAAGGAAAUCGUUUUGGUGGUUAUAAUCGCAAUACUACCCAACAGUAUUCUCAAUUGGCUACUCAUCUUACGCAAGCAAAUGGUAAUCUCGCAUUUAAUAAUGUAUCUACCACUACUCCUAUUACUUGGUUUCCUGAUACAGGUGCAAAUCAUCAAGUCACGCCGGACCUUGUAAGUAUGACGAGUUCAGAACAUUACCUUGGAAAUGAUCAUCUGCAUAUUGGUGAUGGUAAGGGCCUUGUUAUUUCAAAUAUUUCCCACUCUAAAAUUCGUUCACCCAAAUGCACGUUUACUUUAUCUAAUAUUCUACAUGUUCCUGCCAUUAAAAAACCUCUGCUAUCUGUUCAAAAAUUUUAUCUUGAGAAUAACGUCUUUUUUGAAUUUCAUUCCUCUCUAUUUUAUGUUAAGGGGGAGUAGAGAUGGUCUAUAUGUUUUGUCUGAGUCGUCCGCAACGUUGUUGCCUCAAGUUUUCUCAUCUACUUGUCUCUCUACUUUCGCUGAUGCCUGGCAUCGUCGCCUUGGGCAUCCCAAUCCACGUAUUCUACAUUUUUUGGUGAAAAAAAAGUGUCAUGUACAUCAACUCAGUUUACUUUUAAUUGUUGUCGCACGUCAUUAAAUCCGCACGGCAUCGGCUGGCGAUUUUUCUUUAUGCGUUUUGCUUUGAUUGGUUCGUUGGAGUCGCCACCUAGUAAUUUAUUGAGGGCUACUAGGAAACCUGAUGUACUGGUCUUGUUAGAGAUUCACGGGAAAGGGACUGGUUGUGGUUAGGGAAGGUAUUAGCACCCCUAACGCACCCUACCUGAGGUAAGCUGCUUCGUGGACUUGAUGUGUUUUUAAAAAUAAAAUUUUAGCCCAAUUCUAAGGCUUUGAUAAAUCAGUUAUUAGUUCCCAAAAUAUAUGUAGAUACAUGUUCUACAUUUUCAUGGAAAAUACAACAUGAUUUUAUCUGUCCUUUAGAUAUUUGUGCAUAUAAAUUAAAAUAUUAAAUUCAUUUUUUUUUAUUCAAUAACAUACAUAAAAAACAAAUACACAAACACACACACAUCUCUUUUUCUAUUAUUAUUUUCUCUUUCUUUUCUUUUCUUUUUGUACAUCACAUUACAAAAUUAUAAAAAAUUUAAACACUAAACAAAAAUUACAUUACAUAAUUUAAAAAUUACAAAAUAGUCCCUAAACUCCAGAAAUUGCAGAGGGACACUUCUGGAACUGCCUGAACAGUUCUGGAACAAUGGCGGCGCGUGGCUUCACGCGCCGCCGCUGACAGUGCUGGAAAUGGGCGGAUCUGCCCUGCUUUCUCCUUUUCUCUUCUCUGCCGAUGGUGACCUGCAAAAUCAACCAAAAACGCAACACAGGCAGUUGAUUUUAGUUGUUUUUCUUUGUUGUUUUUUAGAUCUGCUCUCGGGUUCUUCUCCCGGAUCUGUCCCGUUCGGGUCUGCUGCUAUGGAUUUCAUCUCCUUCUCCUCUGCUUCGGGCGGCGCUGCUGGCUGAUGGUGGAUCUGUGGCUGGGCAUGGAGAUCGGAGGAGAAGCUGUCGUGGCCGGCUGUUGUGGGGAGGAGCUGCUGCUGUUGCUCGUGGGUCUCUCUUUGAUUUACAUCUGCUCCUUCUGCCGAUGGCAGGACUGGUGGAGGCGGAUCGCGGUGGACGCGGGCGGAUCCGCCGGUGCCUGAGGGCUUCGGUGUGGAGCAGAAGGGAGGCGUUUCCUUGUGGAGCUGGAUCCGUGGGCCACUGGCGGUGCGAUUCUGCCGGCGUUCAGCGAGCUGGCCGCUAGUUCAGGAGGAAAGAGCUGAGGGAGGCCGCGGCUGAGGAAGAGAAUGGGGGUUCUCUUGUGGGUCUUGCUGCUGUCGUCUGCUGGCUGCUGGAGCUGAGUCGGCCAAGAGAGGGAAAAAUGGUGGUUGGCCGAGAGAGCAAGAAGAAGAAGGAAGGUGCUGGGAGCAGGAAGGAAAAGGAGAGCUGCAGUGGCUUGGGAGGUGAAGAAGAUGGUGGAACCGGCUGAAAAGGAAAACCAAAAACGUGGGGGGCCGGCCAGACGGCGGCUUGGAGAAGAGAUAGAUUUAGGGUUUUGUUUUUGUGUUGUCUCUCCCCUCAAAUAUCAAAAUUUCCCCCCUUUUAUGUGUGUUGAAGGCUGCUAUAUAUAGGCAAAUUAAUGUUUGGGCCUCAAAAUUAGUCUUCAACUUUCUCUUUUUUUGUAAAUUCUGAUUUUUCUUAUUUUUUUGUAUUUUUUGAAAACGAGCAAUAUCAACGUCAACUUAAAUGAGAAAAAUCAAUGAUUUUAAAAAUAACACGUGAAAAGUCGAACGCGUUCCAAAAAACCUAUGAAAACUUAAAUUCUUUUUUUAGACGACGUUAAAAAUGCUAAAAACGAUGCACACAUAUUAAAAACAUAUUUUUUUGGAUUUUCGUUGUUUUUCGCUAUUUUUGAAUUUUCCGAAGAUUUUAUCAAAAAGGUAGGUCAAAAAUUGGGUAACAACAAUUGUGUUGAGUGCCCUCUGGGCAAGUCGUCUCGUCUGACUCUAAAAACUACGGGUCAUCAAACUCGAGCUCCUCUUAACUUGAUUUUUAGUGAUGAUUGGGGUUCAUCCCCUAUGUUGUCAUCUGAUGGUUUUUGCUAUUUUGUUAUUUUUUUGGAUGCCCAUACGAAGUUUAUAUGGUUUUAUCCUUUGGUUGCUAAGUCUGAUGUUUUUCAAAUUUUUCAUCAAUUUCAGGCGCUUGUGGAGCGCCAAUUCUCCUUAAAAUUUAACUUUGUUCAAAUCGAUUAGGGUGGUGAAUAUCGAAAACUAAAUACAUAUUUUAAAAUGAUUGGUAUUCAUCAUCGUGUGAUCUGCCCGCACACUCAUGAACAAAAUGGCAUGGUUUAACGUCGUCAUAAACAUAUUGUUGAAACUGAGCUUACUCUUCUUGGGUAGUGCCACGCUUCCCUUAAAUAUUGGAGUUAUGCUUUUGAAAGCUCUGUUCAUUUGAUUAAUCGCAUGCCAACUCCAGUUUUUAAUCAUAAGACACCUUUUGAAUGUCUUCUAAAAUCGAUUCCUGAUUAUGCGUUUCUUCGUACCUUUGUGUAAACCCCGGGGGAAAAAAAUAAAUAAAAGUGAAGAAAUUCAUGCAUAUGGUUAAAUAAAAACAGGAAUUCAGAAAUUUUUUAAUAUAAAUUUCCGAGUGAAAUAAUUCGAGACAUUAUAAUAAACCCGGUACUGUUGAGGGUUGGAUUUAAUUGAAGAGAAUAACACACUUAAAGGAAAAGGGGGCCUAAAUGCAAAUAAGGGAAAAUAUAGAGUAUAAGUACUCUCUCCUCACCAAAAAUUUAGAGGAACCAUAAGGAGAGAAAAUAAGGAGUUUUAUACCCAUUCUUGCGAAAUCAAGAGAGAAACACUAAAAUUUCAACAACCCAUCCAACAUUAAGGGUUUAUAGAUGGGAUAAACACUUGAGAGCAAGGGAUUACCAAGAAAUUGAACAAGAAGAAAAGAAAGGAGGGAGUUAAAAAUCUUCAACUGGUUGAAGAUCAAAAUCUUAAUUCGUACUGGGUAAAGUGUUCUAAACAUGAUCUUAAAAAUUCAUUUUAAAUUCGAUAAUGAAUUGAUGUCUUGAUAUUGAAUCAUAGGUUAGGGUUCUUAGACAUGAAUUGGGGAAAAAGUACUUAUUGUUAAGAUUAAGUUAAUUCAUGUGUGUGGUAUGUAGUUUAUGAAAGUAUUGUGUGAAGGGGAGGGGGAGACGAAUCUGGACAGACUUGUCUCCUGACUUUCAGUGAGAUUUCAGGUAGGAGGAUGAGGGAAUUAGGAUUGGAUUCCUUCAUAGAAAUUGUAGAUUUGAAUGAUAGCUAACCAAGGAAACUGGUCUUCCUCAAUUUAGAGAUGUAGAACUCCAGUUAUGGGUUAUCAACCGAGACUGAGUUGUGACUGAUUAUGUAGGGCAGUAGGACUGAUUAGUUGAUGAGCAGUUUUGACUAUCUUGGAGGAAGAACUGGGUUCUCCUUUCUUCAGAGAACUAGUAGUCUCGUGUCUUAACUUUCUAACGAGAUCAAUCUCACUUAAAAUGGAGUUUUAAAACUUUAGAUAUAGUUAAAAAUCUGAUGAGCGUUCAGACAGUAACAGUUCAAAUGUCUAGACAGUAACAGUUGGACAGUAACAGUUCAAAUGUCUGGACAGUAACAGUUCAAAUUUAAACAGUAACGGUUGGACAGUAACAAUUCAAUGUGUAGACAGUAACAGUUCAAAUGUCUAGACAAUAACAGUUCAAAGUUAGACAGUAACAGUUGGACAGUAACAGUUCAAUGUGUAGACAGUAACAGUUCAAAUGUCUAGACAGUAACAGUUCAAUGUGCAGACAGUAACAGUUCAAAUAUCUAGACAGUAAAAAAUUAUAGUUUGCAAUUCAAGCAUUUGUGCAGGAGGAUAAAUAGGCAAUACAAACAAAACAUGUGAAAGUAUGCCACAUUCACCGACGUCACUACCGACGGAUAAACUUCUAUCGGUAUCUUACAGAGAGUUGCAAAAUAUUUACUGUUUUUUACCACAUUCACCGACGUCACUACCGACGGAUAAACGUCCAUCAGUAUCUUACAGAGAGUGGCAAAAUAUUUACUGCAUUUGCCACAAUCACUAACGGACAUACCGACGUCAUCACCGAUGUACGUUGCAAAUUCCAAUGCGCGCAACUGUCAGAGUGCCAGGUCGGUCAGUCCGUUUACCGACGGACUCACCGACGGAUUUUGCAAUUCUAAUGUGCGCGUGCUCUAACACCUCGAUAUCAACAUAAUUGCCAAAGGAAAUUGAAAAUUCUGGAGGGAUUUCCACAAAUUUUGGUGAGAAAUUCAAAAUAUACCGACGGAAAUUACCGACUAAAUUUAAUGCCACCGCCAAAAAAAAUAUUAUUUUAAGUUCCGUCGGUAAAAUUGCAGUAUAAAACCGACCCCCCCUCUCAUUCAUCUUCUAUUCUCCUAUGCUUCCUCAACAGUUUUGUUAUUGUUUUGAUUGAUUUCAACAUAUUAAAAGGUAUGAUUCUCCUUUCUUUAUCUAUGUAUUUGUUUACUUUUUUAUUUUACUUAUGAUUAUUUUUGUUGUGUUUUUUGUUUUGUGUAUUGUUUGUAGAUAAAAUAUUUAAAUCAACACACUAUUAAGGUAAAUAUUUUUCAUUGCUAAAGUCUUUAGUUUUUUCUUUUUAUUUGUUUAAUUUAUUUUAUUGUUUGUAUUGCCAUAAUAAUUGGAAAUUUUUUUAAAUUUGAAUUUUUAUUGUUGAAUUUACCUUUAAAAUGUUAAUUUAAAUAUAGAAUUAAAUUUAAUUAUUUUAACUCAAUUUUAUUCUAUUAUUGCUUGUUAUGUUUUUUAUUAUUUCCAUUAAUUUUAAUUGUCAUUUAUGUAUUUAUAUAGAUGUUACUUGAAAAUAUAUAGAUGUUAAAUUUCUAUAAAUGUUAGGUUGUAUAUAAGAUUUUCCAAUGGAGUCAAUUGGUUUGUGGUUAUUGUAAAUAUUUGCAGGUUUGAAAACUGUGGGUAGUCUCUAGUAUAGAGGAGGUGCUGCCGAAUGUUUUUUAAAUAAUCAAAUUUAAUUAUGUAAUUAUUCAUAUAAAUUUGUGUAGAUGCAUAGAAUGAAAUCAACAGCACGUCAUCAGCAGACGGUUGUAACUAGUUCUUCUAGCAGCGAGGAUGACUUAUCCUUAGGUGCUGAUCACGAAGAGGCAUCUACGCCAACUUGUGAUGCUGCCUCUUCUAGCGCAGUUUCACAGCGCAGAGGCGGUGUGCCUUCACAGCAGGGUCAAUUCACCCGCAAGUACCAGGCACAAUGGAAGGAUGACCUUUCAAUGUCAGUUUGUUUAGGUUUUAGUUUCUUUUAUAUACUUAUAACAUAAUUUAUGAACAACUAAUUAAUAUUUUAUUAAUUUUAUUUAAUUUCAGGUUCACAAACAUUGAGGCUGCCUGGACAAUAACAUCGCGUUUAAAUCAUCGAUGGAGAUUCCAUUGUUUCAAUGGAGUCAGGUUUCCAAACUUCCUGAGUGGAGACCUAAUAUCGAUGCAUGGUUUCGACGAUUUCAGGUAAGUGUAACUUCUAAUUUCUAGCUUAUUUUUAAUAAAUUAUUUUUAUAAUUUUAUAUCUUGUACUAUUUUUAUUUUAAAUGAAUUAUUUAUACACAUCACACAUUUGAGUGGGAUAGAGCGAACAACAAUGUUGUGUGGAGGGAAUGGGAGAAUCACGCGGCAACUAGGUAACAUCGAAAAUAAUAUAAUUUUUUGUUUUAUAAUUUUAUGUUCUAAAUUCUAAUUUGUUACUAUGGAAGUAGGUUGCGUGAUUUUUGAUAUGACACAAAAAAAAAAGCAAAAAGAUAUGCGAGAGAUAACGGUCUAGAAGGCUGAAAUGAGGUGGUGGUUUGGUGGGAAUUCAAACCACCAUUCAUCUCGGGGGAUAUAUGGACGCAAUAUAUUGAGCACGUGACGUCUGAGCGGUUCGCACAACGCUCACAGUCCGGUGUCGCCAAUCAGAAUCGGCAAAUUCAUGGUUCGGUUACCACGCACACCAACGGCUCUUUUCUGUUCGGUGCACAUGCGAAGCGGAUGGUAAGAUUAAUUUAAAUGAAAUAUAUCGUUAAUUAAUUUGUUGUUGCUUAUAAAUAUAUUUAACUUGCAACCUUUUUUUUCCUUACAGACUUCGUCUCUUGGACGUGUGUCGAGCCCAAUGGAGCUGUUUAUAGAGACGCACGUGCGGAGUCAAGACCGUCAAAAAGGGGUGCAACAGUUCGUGGACAACCAUGCUCAAUACUUCGUGGUAUGUUCGUUCAAUAAUUUUAUUUCGUAAGUUAUUAUUUUCUUGAAUUAAAUAUGAUGAUUUUUUAAACAAUUUUCAGGAGACCUAUAAUAACCGGUUGAGGGAGAGAUAUGGGGACAAUCCUUCGACCCAUCUGGAUUUCGAUCCGGAUUUGUGGAUGGAGGUAGGAUCGUCUGGUGGACCCGAUAAAAAUCAGGUCUACAGGCUCUCCAACACUACGGCCGAAAACUUGCGGACAGCCUAUAGUGUCUCAACCGUUGGGAGCUCUACAUCAGUAUCGAGCACCUAGUCUGAGGAAUUCAUGGCCUUGAAAUAAUAAUAUGAACGACUCUCGAUGGAUUAUGAUCAGCUCCGUCAAAUGGUCAUCGACAUUAGAUCAAGGAUGGGUGAUGAUACAUGUGCAGCCCCUUUUUGGCCGUACAGUCCCGGGAACAACCAGCCUCCUCCUUCUCCUCCUCCUCCUCCAACUCUGCCGUUAUUCUAAUUUAAUUUUGUUUUUGAAACACAUUAAAUUUAUAAUGAAUAUUUGGAUGAAUAUUAUUUAAAAUUAUUUUUAUAUUUUUAAUGUUUAAUACAAUUUUAUUUGGUUAAUUAGUGUUUUUUUACUAUAAAUCAAUAUAAUAUUUGAAAAAAAAAUUAUUUAUUCUAAAUACUUUUUUAAAAAAAAAUUUAAAUAAAUGCCGACGGACUUGCAGAUGGAAUAUGUCAGUCGGUAUUAGACAAAGAGUUGAAAAAAAUUUACGACCCAUGCCACAAUCACCGACGGCCCAUCCGUUGGUGAUUUACCGUUGACAUUGCCGACAGCCUAUAUCCGUCGGUAUUUUACAGAGAGUUCUGAAAUAUUUACGGCCCAUGCCACCGUCACCAACGGACUGGCCGUCAGUGAUUUACCGUUGGAAAUACAGAUGGAAUACGUCUGUCAAUAAAGUUCUAGCGCGGGAAAUUUUUUAUGGAUGCGCUUUCCUCGUCUGUAAGACCGUCGGUGUUUGUUUUUUUUCUGACAAACAUACCGAUGGAAGUGGGAAUUACCGACGAUCAAUAUUCUAACAGACAUAUUCUGUCGAUGAGACCGUCGGCAAAAAUUUUACCGACGAAUUGUGUGUUUUACACUGACAUAAUUAUUCCAUCGGUAAAACUGUUUAAUGGUGGUGUAGUGUAAUUCAUUGAUUGCCUAGGACUUUAUGCCUAUAAAAAGGCUUGUAAUUAAGCAUUAUUAAGAAGUACAAAAGAGAGGGAGAGAAUAGCUAAGAGAGGCAAAUUUGGAAAAGGAGUUUGUGGUAGCCAUAACAGGUCAAAUGAUCGAACACAUGAAGCAAAUCGGUCGAUCGAUUACAUUAAUAGUGACAAUCCAAAAUCUAGGUUUGACAAAUCAAAAGUUAAAUGCUAUAAUUAUCAAAAAGUAUGUCAUUAUGCUAGGGAUUGUUGGAGUCCAACUAAAAAGUUUUAGAAGAAUGCAAAUCUAGUAAUAUAAGAGAAAAGGGAAGCCACCCUAUUACUAGUGCAUGAUGAGAGAAUGCAAGACAAAUAGAACAUAUGGUAUCCAAACAAUGAAGCUAAUGUGUGGAGACAAAGACAGGUUCAUGGAGCUUGAUGAAGCAAUUAGAGGUGAUGUCACCUUUGCGAAUCAUUCAAAGGUUGCCAUAAAAAAAAUAUACGAUUUUGAUUAAAUUGAAAUAUGUAAGUCAUCAAUUUAUUCAUGAUUUUUAUUAUAUACCAAUAGGAAAAAGCAACAUAUUGAGCUUAGGACAAUUGUUGGAGAAGGGGUAUGAGAUUAAGAUGAAAUAUCGUACUUUGACAUUACUACAAAAGGAGCUCUGAUUGCAAAGGUAGUUAUGAUAAAAAAAAAAAAAUUAUAAUGUUCUUGUUAAACAUAGAGACAAAUGUGUCUAAAUGCCUAAAUGCAUGUGUGAAGGAUGAGACUUGAAUUUAGCAUAUGAGACUUGGGCAUGUAAACUUUGAUAGUUUGAAGAUGAUGGCAUAAAAGGAGAUGUUGAAGGGUCUACCAUCCAUUAUACUCUAAAUUAGUUGUGUGAAGGAUGUUAAGUGGGCAAGCAAUUCCCUAAGAUUUUUCUGAAGAAGUCUACAUCAAGAGCAAGUCAACCCCAACAAGAAAUACAUAUUGAUGUUUGUGGUCCUAUCAAACCAUUUUUUUGGUAAAAAAUUGUAUUUUUUACUUUUUAUUAAUGAUUAUAGUAUGAAAAACUUGGGUAUACUUCUUAAAAGAAAAGUCUAAUUGUAAUUUUAAUGAGUUUUAUGAAGAUCAUGAUAUAAAGAGACUCCUAACGGUGCCUAUAUUCCCACAACAAAAUAACAUGGUGGAGAGAAAGAAUAGAAGCAUCCUCAACAUGAUAAGAAGCAUGCUCAAAACCAAGAAGAUGCCUAAAUAGUUUUGGGCCAAAGUUGUAGAUUGUGCUAUUUACUUGUCAAAUAGGUGUCUCAUUAAAGGCUUGAAUGACAUGACUACAUAAGAAGCAUGAAAAUGAUCAAGUAAGGACCAAACUAGAUGAUAAGAGCAAAAAAAUAAUCUUUGUGAGUUAUGAUCAAAUAGAUUACAAAAACCAAAGUUAAUAAUGCCAUGCUUAUGACCUUGGUCAUGAGUUGGGCGGGUUAUCCCAGUUAGAGCCAAGUCAAUUCAAAAUGUCACUAUUUCAAUAUUUGUUUCUAUAAAAAAAAUGUUAAGCCGACAUCUUUUAAGAAAAAACUUAAAAGUCAAACUGAGUUUUAACUAGGUCGAUCCAGUUGUGAGUGCACCUACUAGAUCAACCGGGUUACACCAGGUCAACUCCCACAUGGAUUACUUUAAAACUCGGUCCAUACUAAAGCUCGGUCAAUGGAACACUAUUAUCAUAACCUAAUUUUUAUCCCCUUUAAAAAAUAAUUUUCAUCAUAAUAUUUAGUAGAUAAAAUUCGAUAGAUUUUCAAGAAAAAGACAAUUGUUGAAAAUUAAUCACAAUACAAAACAAAAUCAUAAAAAUGAAAGAAAAAAAGAAAAAAAUAAUUAAAGAUAAAAUCAAACAAAUAAUGAAUUUUCAAAAAGCAUGGACUAGGUUAUAGCAAUUACAAAAGGUUAAGGAUAAUUUUGAGAAAUAAUAAUGGAUUUGAUUGAAAGAAAAUUGAAUAAAAAAGUUGAAAUUGAUCAAAUUUGCAUGAAUUGAAAGACUUAGGACCAAGAUGAAAGAUAUGGAAAAGUUUGAAGGUCUUUUUAAUUUAAACAGUGACUUAAUUGAAGAAAUUUUGAUAUUUAAUAUCAAUUUAACUAAAAAUAAAAGAAUUAAAGGAUCAAGAACUAAAAUGUUGAAGAUACCUUAAUAGUAGUUUGAAUGCCACAAUAACACUCCCAAGUUGUAAAAUCAGUUUUGGUUUUGAAAAAUAAAACAACAAAAAUCAAUCAUAAAACAUGAAAUAUCCUCAAAAUGAGCCAUUCUUGUUAUGAAAACCAUAAAAAAGAUGUGUUUUUAGUUGUGUUGUUUGUCUUUAACCAAGCUUGGUCAUUAAGAGUUAAUAAUGAACAUAUCUUAGUAUGUUUUUAUUGAUGCAAUAAUUAAUAAAUAAAGUGCAUUACAUUUCAUACUAAACCAAAUAAUUCUUUUGGAAGCAACUUAUGGUUUUUUCAUGGUGGAAGUUGACCUAUUCUAAGCAUGAAAUAUUGUUGUUAUUAUGCAUGAGAAAAUAUGGUACGGAAAGUUUCUCUUCGUUAUUGGAACAAGGUUGGAUAUAACAUAUUGUGUGUAAAGCUGCUUUUGAAUCCUAAAUAUGUCAAUUUUCUAGGUUUCCAACCCAUUGUUUUGGUUAGAAAGCAUGUGUCAUUUGGUUUGGAGACUAUGGCAACUUAUGGUUAUCAUAAUCUAGAUUUUUUUUUUAUUCUUUUGAUAUCAUGUUUAACUUUGGAGAUUUAUAGUUCACCUUUCUAGGGUUUUUUUAGUUAUAGUGCACGCUCUAUUUGCUUAAUUCAUUAGGAUUUAUGCUAAAUAUACUUGAUUAUAAUAAACAUGAGGAAUUAUGGACUAGAUGCAUGUUUUGGUUAUUUAAAUGAUGCAAGCUUGAAACAUUUUCUUACAGGGUUAGGUUUGUUUAUCUAGGGUUUGUUGAUUAGGAAAGAAUUAGCUUUACUAAGAUUGUGUGCUUUAUGGUAAUCUUAGAUUAAACUUUUUGUUUUAAAAGAAAAAAAUCAACAAAAUCGUCUAUUUUUAAGGAUUAAUGUAUGUCAAAUUUAUCGAAGAGUCUCUUAUUCAUAGGGACCAACAUUAUUUUCUAAAAUAAAUCAUGAGUAAGCUUAGAAAUAUAUCUAGGUAAUUAAUAGCAUGUAUAGAAUAAAUUUAUGAGAAAAAACAUAGUAAAGAUAACUUUUUUUUCAUUUGAAAGGAUGUUAUAAGGGUGAUAUUGAUCUUCUCUUAAAGCAUAACUAACUUUGUAACUGAAUCUUUGAAACCGGUAUUAAUUUUAAAAUUUUUAGUUUUCUUUAUUUAUAUCAUGUAUUUAUCGUGGUAUAGAUCCCAUGAAAACAUACAACAUUACUUUAUAUAACAUUCAUGCGCGUCCCAUCCUUCUAAAGCAUGCACUAUUCCAGCCACACGCCAUGCGCUCAUCACUCUUCUUGGCAGCCAAUUCUGUCAUCAAGUAUUUUGCAAUACAAAUUAAUUAUCUUUCCUAAAAUAAGAAAAUAAUGCAAAUAGUACCUUAAAUUUCAGCAAUAUUUGACUAAUUAAUUACCUCGCAAGAGUCUAUAUUUUCAAGAGAUGCAGGGGCUGCCAUUGCUGGUAUGCUAUGAUAGAAGCAAUCCUUGCGCAAUUUCUUUGGGGGAAAUUGCGAGAAGGGAAUAAAUAAUGUUCCUUCUGCUGCUUUCUUUUGGUCCUCUUCUUUCAAUCCAUCACCAACUAACCACGUCUACACAACAAAGUUUAUUAUGAUAUUAGAAAUGUCAAUAUAUAUAUAUAUAUAUAUAUAUAUAUAUAUAUAUAUAUAUAUAUAUAUGCAUGCUACUUAAAUAAUUUAAGUUGUAAUUUAUUUUAUUUUUGACAAAAAAAAAAAUUAAUUUCUAAUUCCUUGGUAGCUAAAGAAAGCAUAUAUGUAGGUAUAGCGUACCUUUAUUGAAUAACUCUUUGAAAGAAUCAGAUUGUUCUGAUCAGAUGUGAUGCCGAAGGAUUUUUUAAGCUUCUGGUAAUCAUCCUCACAUGGAACAACUACCUAAAAAAUUAGUGAAAAUGAUCGUAAUAAUUAGGAAUUAGAAAUUAAAACAUGACCAUAAAUUAAAUUUGCCUAUACAAUCAAUUUAAAUAAAUUACUGUCAAAUUGAAGAAAGUUACAACAUGUGCCUAUUUGCCUAGUAGACAACAACAAUACCUAAAUGCCUAAAUGCAUAGAUGAAGGAUGAGACUUGGCUUUGUCAUAGAGACUUGGGCAUAUAAACUUUAAUAGCUUGAAGAUGAUGACAUAAAAAGAGAUAUUGAAGGGUUUACCAUCCAUUAUACAUCUAAAUUAGUUGUGUGAAUGAUGUUUAGUGGGUAAACAAUUUCACAAGAUUUUUCUGAAGGAUUAUACAUCAAGAGCAAGUUAACCCCUACAAAAAAUACAUGUCGAUAUUUGUGUUCCUAUCAAACCAUGUUCUUUCGGUAAAAAUCUGUAUUUUCUACUUUUUAUUGAUGAUUAUAAUAGAAAAACUUGAGUAUAUUUCUUAAAAGAAAAGUCUAAUGUGUUUAGUUUUUUUAAGAAGUUUAAGGCCUUUAUUGGAAAAAAAAAAAAAAGUGAUUAUUCUAUAAAACCACUUAGGACGGAUAGAGGAGUGAAUUUUGUUCUAAUGAUUUUAAUGAAUUUUGUGAAGAUCAUAGCAUAAAAAGACUCCUAACGAUGUUUAGAUCCCCACAACAAGAUGACGUGGUGGAGAAAAAGAAUAGAAGCAUCUUCAACAUGGCAAGAAACAUGCUUAAAAUCAAGAAUAUGCCUAAAUAGUUUUGGGUCAAAGCUGUAGAUUAUUCUAUUUACUUGUCAAAUUGAUGUCCCACUAAAAGCUUGAAUGACACGACUCCAUAAAAAGCAUGAAGAUAAACAAGUAAGGACCAAACUAGAUGACAAGAGCAAAAGGAUUAUAUUUAUGAGCUAUGAUCAAAUACAUUACAAAAAGCAAAGUUAAUAAAUUUAGUCAUGCUUAUGACCUUGGUCAUGAGUUGGGCGGGAUAACCCAAUUAGACCCAAGUCAAUUCAAAUUGUCAUUGUUUCAAUAUUUGUUUCUACAAAAAAAAAAAACAUGUUAAACCGACAUCUUUUAAGAAAAAACUUAAAAGUCAAGCUAAGUUUUAACUAGGUCGAUCCAGUUAUGAGUGCACCUACUAGAUCAACCGAGUUACACCAAGUCAACUCCCACAUGAUUUACUAUGAAACUCGGUCCGUGCCAUUUAAUAGAACACUAUUAUGAUAACCUAAUUUUUAUCCCCUUAAAAAAAUAAUUUUCAUCAUAAUAUUUAGUAGAUAAAAUUCAAUAGAUUUUCAAGAAAAAGAAAAUUGUUGAAAACUACUUAUAAUACAAAAAAACAAAUCAUAAAAAAUGAAAGAAAAAAAAAAGAAAAAUACAAUUAGAGAUAAAAUCAAACAAAUAAUGAAUUUUCAGAAAACAAGGACUGGGCUAGAGCAAUUACAAAAGGUCAAAGAUAAUUUUGAGAAAUAAUGAUGGAUUUGAAUGAAAGAAAAUUGAAGAAAAAUGUUAAAAUUGACCGAGUUUGCAUAAAUUAAAAGACUAAGGACCAAGAUAAAAGAUAUGGAAAAGUUUGAAAGUCUUAUUAAUUCAAACAAUGGCUUAAUUGAAGAAAUUUUGAUAUUUAAUGUUAAUUUAACCAAAAAUAAAAGAAUUAAAAGAUGAAGAACCAAAAUAUUCAGGAUGCUUUAAUAGUAGUUUGAAUGCUACAACAACACUCCCAGAUGGUAAAAUCAAUUUUGGUUUUGAAAAAAAAAACAGCAAAAAUCAAUCAUGAAAUAUCCUUAGCCAUUCUUGUUAUGAAAACCAUAAAAAAGAUGUGUUUUAAGUUUUGUUGUUUGUCUUUAACCAAGCUUGGUCAUUACGAGUUAAUAAUGAAGAUAUUUUCAUGUUUUUAUUGAUGCAAGAAUUAAUAAAUAAAGUGCAUUACAUUUCAUACUAAACUAAAUAAUUCUUUUGGAAGCAACUUAUGAUUUUUAAAUGGUGGAAGUUAACCCAUUCUAAGCAUAAAAUAAUAUUGUUGUUUUUAUCCAUGAGAAAAUAUAGUAGGGAAAGUUUCUUUUAUUUAUUGGAAUAAGGUUGGAUAUAAAAUAUUAUAUGUAAGGCUGCUUUUUAAUCCUAAAAAUAUCAAUUUUCUAGGUUUCCAACCCGUUGUUUUGGUUAGAAAGCAUAUGUCAUUUGAUUUGGAGAAUAUGACAAUUUAUGGUUAUCAUAAUCUAAGUUUUUUUUUUAUUCUUUUGAUACUAUGUUUAACUUGGAAUUAUAUAUUUUGGAGAUUUAUAGUUCAUCUCCCUAGGGUUUUUUUUAUGGUGCAUGCUCUCUUUGCUUAAUAUCCUUGAUUAUAAUAAACAUGAAGAAUUAUGGACUAUAUACAUGUUUUGGUUAUUCAAAUGAUGCAUGAAUGAAUAAUAAGAAGCUUGAAACCUUUUCUUAUAAGGUUAGGUUUGUUUAUCUAGGGUUUGUUGAUUAGGAAAGAAUUAACUUGACUAAGAUUGUAUGCCUUAUGUUAAUCUUAGAUUAAAUUUUUUGUUUUAAAAGAAAAAAAAUCAACAAAAUUGUUUAUUUUAAGGAUUAAUGUAUGUCAAAUUUAUCGACGAGUCUCCUAUUCAUAGGGACCAAUAUUAUUUUUAAAAAUAAAUCAUGAAUAAGCUUAGAAAUAUAUCUAGGUAAUUAAUAGCAUGUAUAGAAUAAAUUUAUGAGAAAACACAUAGUAAAGAUAACUUUUUUUUCAUUUGAAAGGAUAUGGUAAGGGUGACAUUGAUCUUCUCUUUAAGCAUAACUAACUUAGUAGCUGAAUCUUUGAGACCGGUAUCAAUUUUAGAAUUUUUAGUUUUAUUUAAUUAUGUCAUGUAUUCAUCGUGGUGUGAUAACUAUGUUAACAUACGAAACUAGGUUGGGUUUAAAAACAUUGUAAAAUAAAUCUCAUGAAAACAUAUAACAUUAUUUUAUAUAACAUUUAUGAUGGAAUCAGAUACCAGAGCAGGCAUAAAAGAAAGUAAAAAUAACCAUCAUAAUAUUCCAUUACUAAUUAUUUGUCCAUUGCAUAGAGAAAUAACAUAAUAUUAAUGGGUAGAGAUAACAUAUAUAGUAGUGGAUAACAUAUAUAUAUAUAUAUAUGUAGUUUGCAAUAUCAUGGAGGUGAUAUGCAACAUCUAAACCGUUUCAGGCAUGUAUAAUUAAUUAAGGCAAGGCUACCAACAUAAGAUAGCUAAAUAUCCAUUAGAAUUUUAAUGGAGUCUUGAUGACCAGAGGUUUGAACCCAUGUUGGAUACUUGCUUGCCAAACUUUGUCAAUGUCAGCCAUGGUAGAACCGCAUUCAUGCUCGUCCCAUCCUUCCAAGGCAUGCACUAUUCCAGCCACACGCCAUGCGCUCAUCACUCUUCUUGGCAGCCAAUUCUG
rnacentral:lncRNA from 1 species